rnacentral:lncRNA from 1 species
UUUAGGAUACUUAUGAUGUUGGCCUGACUAAUUAAUUUGCUACUUUGCUUUCUUAAUGAAUUCAGCCCUUUGUUAAGAGAAUUGCAAUCUCCGUUACUCGGAACAUCCAAAGAGAGAAACAAGGUCUAAUUGAAGAACAAGAAAGGUACAACUUAUUAAUAGGCCGGGCAUGAUCCAUGUUAAACCUCACAUUAUGGAGCAAUUAGGUUCAUCUGCAUAGCCCAUGCUAGCAAUAAAAACAUGUUGGCUUUGACAACAAUUCUUCGGAUCUGGCUUUGGCUUUUCAUCACCUUUGCCCUUUUCCUUUACUUCUUCCACGCUUACAAGAGUCGCAUACCCAAGCUUCUUCCUCAGACAGCAGGUCAAGCUAGCUGAAUCAACUCCGUCUCCAAUCACCACAACCCGAUCCUUUUCAGCUCCUUCUAUAGCCACUGAGAUCACACCUGUCACAUAAUCACAAAAGCCCAAAAAUGGAUCGACUGGGACUAUGAAUAAAUGAUUUGAAAUAACAAGCCUUUAUACUUUCUGUGAACUUCUUGUGGAAAGAAAAAUAGUGUUGAAAUGUGUAUCAUACCUUCUUCAACUGCAGCAAUCUUCAUGGCUUUGGUUCUGCAUUUGUCACAGUUCAUUUGCACUUUCACAACUAUCUUUUGCUACACCAUCACACAAGGAACAUAUCCAAAUCUGUUAUAGCUAUAAUUUCAUAUGCUUCUUUUUGGAUCCAGCUAGAACAGAUUAAGCUACACAAUAAACAAAAAGCAUCAAUGGAGUUCCAGAUCAAAAGGCUCACCUUCAUGUUUUGCACUAGGCGAACACAAGGCAACUUUUUUGAAUCUCUGACUGAAUCUCUGUGAACUUAAUUGGCAAUGAUGCCGAAGGGGAAGACUGACUUCCUCUUAUAUAUGAGAGUUUCAGGGCAAGCUUCUUCUGUUUAACUUCGAAUACAGCCAGAUCUAUUCAUAAUAAAUUUUGACAUUUAGACAGUGAAUCUGACCAUCUCAACACUGCAGUUCUAUAGACUAAGUCAAUAUUCAUCCAGCAUGUGCAAGUAAUUUUCAAGGCUGUUUUGUGGUAUGUUCUUACCUGAUUAAUUUAGUCCCCGCCAGCUUGCAAUUCAUGAAAAUUCAAUGCCCACCAGUGACUUUUAUCAAGAAAAUCAAACUUACAAGAAGCAAAAUUAGACUCGGUGACUUUUUUUUAAGUUUUUUAACACUUAAAAUUUUUUAUCAUUUAAAUCUUAGAAAUGUUGAAAAUAUUUUCUAAAAUCAAAAUACCAAACGUACUCUUCAUUGAAUUUCUUUAACAAUUGUAUAUUUAUGCAAAUCAUAUUGUACAUUUAUGCAGCAAAUUGUCUCGGGCUAUGUUUGAUUUAUGGAAAAUUUAAGAGAAAUAUGCAAGAGAAAGAAAAUAAAUAAAUAAAUAAAUAAAAAAGAAAAAAAUGAAAGAAAAUAAAAAAUAAAUUUAAAGUUAAUAAAUUAUUUUUAUAUGUUACUCAAAACUUAUUUAAUUUAUUUUAAUUUUUCUAUAUAAAGAAUAAAUAAUUUGAAAAUAUAUAAAUUUUUAACUAAUUUUAAUUAUAUUCGAUCUUCUUUCCUAUUUUUCAUAAUAAAACAAAAUAUGAGAAAAUCAUUUUACUUUAUUUUUUUUUUCUUAAUUUCUUUGAUACUUUCAAAACCCAAAGAUAACCAAGUUUUACAUUUUUUCUUCAGUCAAUUUUUUUUUUAAAAAAAUAAGUAAUAAGUAAAAGAAAAAUUAAAAACAAACAUUUAAAAUAUUCUAAAAGCAAAUUGUAUUCGGUAUUAAACUAAAAAAACAAGCAUCAUAUUAAUCUUCUCUUUUAUUAGUUGUAUGUUGACAAGGCUACUCUUCUUUUCAUGAUUUUAAUUAGUUUAAUAUAUGCUUUUAGAAUUACUAAUGGGUGGGUUGAUGGAGUUGUUAAAAGACACUUAAGGUGAGGUGCUUCUAGAAAAAACGGAUCCGACUUAUGUUUUUCUUUUGUUUUUAAAAACCGAUGAAAACAACUCCUACUUGUUUUCUAAAUUUUUUUCUCUAUUUCACUUUGUUUUUAAAAAUUAUUUCUAGAAAACAACAACCAAGUAGUGUUAAAAUUUUUAAAACAGUUUUUUGUUUUUAAAAAUUGAAAAUUAUUUUUAAACCACACGACCAAACAGGCUCUACAUGACGCAAAUUUACUAUUUAAUUUUAGUAGUUAAAAGAUUCUUAUUUUUGACAAAGAAAGGAAAAGUAGAGAAUAGUCUUAGAACUUUAAGAUGAUUCAGAAUUAGGGAUGAUGAAAUGGAAUCAGUCUUGAUAUGUAUCAAGAACAUCAACAUUAAAUUUGAAAAUAUUAACAAAUAAUUGCAAACAAUAAUGUAGAAAUAUGAGACAAACAAAUGGUUAUAGUUUUGUGACUUCGAUUCUUUUUCGUCUAACCUGAAAAGCUCGUGGUGCUAUAUAUAUGAUGAAACUAAAAUUAUGAGACUUUUUGGGGGGUUUGUGGUGGUAGCAAAGGGGUCGGGCCUAUGUAGGGGCUUGCCCUUGUAGUAUAUACAUGUGUAUAUGUGUGAUGAUAUAUAGUCUUAAGGUUAUGAUAAUUAUGCUUUUAUCAUAGUCGCCCUAAACUCUCCCCUCUUGUACCAAUUUUUAACAUAGUGGAUCAUCUUCUUCUCUUCCUAUAAUGUUUUUCGUCUAGGGUUUUUCACAUAAAUCUAUAUAUUCUUUUUUUUUUUUUUUAUUGCCUAUUCUCAUUUGCACUUUGACAAUUAUCCUCUGCUGCACCAUCAUGCAAGGAACAUAUCCAAAUCUGUUGUAGCUAUAAUUUCAUAUGCUUCUUUUUGGAUCCAGCUAGAACAGCUUAAGCUACACAAUAAACAAAAAGCAUCAAUGGAGUUCCAGAUCAAAAGGCUCACCUUCAUGUUUUUCACUAGGCGAACACAAGGCAGCCUUUUUGAGUCUCUGACUGAAUCUCUAUCAACUCAAUUGGCAAUGAUGAAGAAGGGAAGAGACCGACUUCCUAAAUAUGAGAGGUUCAGGGCAAAAUUCUUCUGUUUGACUUCGAAUACAACCAGAUCUAUACAAUAACAACAACUGAGAUUAGAUGAAUUGUAUUUAACCAUCUCAACGCUGCGGUCUAUAGACCAAGUCAAAUAUUAAUCCAGCAUGCAGCAUGUGCAAGGAAUUUUUAAGCCUAUUAUUGGUAUGUUCUUGAUUUAUUCGGCGCCAGCUUGCAAUUCAUGAAAACUCAAUGGCCAAUGACUUUUAUCAAGAAAAUCAAACUUACCAGAACCUAAAUUAAUUGAACUUCUUUAACUACCAAAAUCUUUUGCAUAUUUCUGCAAUCCAUCUUCUACAUUUGUAGAGCGGAUUCUUUUUUUAUUUUCAGAAAAUUUAAGGAAAAGAAAAUAAAAAAGAAAAGAAUAAGUAAAAUAAAAAAUAGAUUUAAAGUUGAUAAAUUAUUUUUAUAUAUUAUUUUAAAUUCAUUUCAUUUAUUUUAAUUUUCCCACAUAAAAAAAUAUUUUGAAAAUAUAUAAAUUUAACUAAUUUUAGUUUUAUUUAAUCUUUUUUUCUAUUUUUAAUUUGAUAAUAAAAGAUGAAAAAAUCAUUUCCUUUAAUAUUUUUUUCUUAAUUCCUUUAGGCUAUGUUUGGUUCCCGGAAAGUACAAAGGAAAGAAAAAAAAUGCUAAGGAAAAUGAUUUUCUCAUGUUUGGUUGUCCUAUGAAAAAUAUCAAAGAAAAUCAAAUAUAAUUAAAACUAAUUAAAAACUUAUGUAUUUUUAAAUUAUUUAAUCUUUAUAUUGAUGAGUUAAAAUAAAUAAAAUGGGUUUGAAGUAACAAAAAAAAUAAUUUAUCAACUUUUAAUCUAUUUUUUUAUUUUCCUUCACUUUUUCUUUCUUUCUACUUUUCCUUUGUAUUUUCUUUCUCUCGCAUUUUUCCUCAAAUUUUUCGGGAACCAAACAUAGUCUUAAUACUUUCAAGAACCAACAAAAACCUUAGCAAACCUUUUGAUGUCUCCAAAAGAGUUUCACAUCUUACUAGUAAUUUCUUAAAUCUCUAGAUGCGUAUUUUCAUGUAGAGCACAAAGGAGCACAGCUGCAUUUCGACUGAGGAAUGGCAACAGAGAACCAAUCAACAUAUGAACCUCCAAAUGUUGUGCUUUACUACACAGCCUACUAGAAAGCACUGUUUUUUUUUUUUUUUUAACUUAAAUCUAAAUAGAAAUUAAUUUAACUUAAUGUUAUAUACAUAUAUAAAUAUUAAGUUAUUUAUUUAUUUAAUAUUUUAUUUUUAUUAAACAUUAAGCAUUAAUAAGAUGAGAGUGUAGACCCCAUGGCUCGUUUUCAUUUUAUUUUCUGCAGCCCAUUCUUUGUGGAGGGCUCUCAGCAAGCCACAUGUCGACUCCUUGGUGGCUGGUAGGGAAUCAGGUAGUGGAGUUAAGGGACCAAUCAGAAUUGGACACCUGUAAAGGACAUUCUGGAAAAACCUGUAGGCCAUUAUUUGGGAGGUGGUGUUUUCGUUGCUGCAGAGGAGGAAUGGAGGAGAGAGAGGAUAUUCUGGCAGAGAGGAGGAGGUGCAUUUGGAGACGGGUGCUGGGCAGGAGAUAUUUUCGGCAGAAGAUUCUUUCUUGAGGGGCAAGUUGAGACGAGGAGGAGAUAGGUGCGUUUUGGGACGUGUUGCUGUGGAGAUAUUUUGAGGGUGAGUUUCUUUCUUGGCCGCAAGAGAGCCAGACGGGGAGGGGAGAUUCUUUCUGGAAGGACAAGCUAGAGCUUAGAGAGGGAAGAUGCAGACUGGUUUCCUGGAGAUAGCUGAGAGGGAAAACAAGAAGAGAGGUGAGAGUUUGCAGCUUGCUGGGAACCAAGUGAUUUUGCUAAAAGGGUGACAUUCGGGUUUGAUCAUCUCCCGCUUUAGGUUUUUCACUUUUACAAUCAUACUUUACUCAUUGCUGAGGUUUGAAUGCUUGUUUUUUUUUACUACCUAAGAUGUUAAGCUUGUUUUUCAUUUCUGUUUGCCUGAUCUCUGUUUCUUCCCCCAUGAGUUGUAUGAUGAUUGUGUUAUCUGUUUGCAUUUUGAGACCAUUCAAACUUUCCCACCAGGUUUUUUUCUUAGCUUUUUUAUUUUCAUGAAAUGGAGUUGGGUUUAAUGGUAUUAUCCUCCCUUAUGCAUGCUCUGUUUUACUUCAUGGUGUCCUCUGUUUCUGGUUCUUCUUGGGUGAUUAGAUACCAUGUUUUGGGUUAAUUGUUUGAAUGAGGCUGUAUCUGAGAAGACUCAACGUCAGAGUUUUGGGAGAUAUUGUCAUGUUUGUGUGUUAGGUGAGUUGAAGGUUAUCCAGCAAGUAUGGCAUGAAGAAGAUCAGUUCUUAACAGGAUGUGAUGUUGCUUAUCUUGAUGGAGAAGACGAAAAUAACAUAGUCCAGUGAAGAAAUCCAUUCCAAUGUCAUCUCUACUCCGAUCAGAUGUUGAAAGAGGAACCUCUCCAGAUAGAUGAUAGAACGCUUCCUUCUCAAAUGUCAGAAUUCUGGGUAUAGAAGGUACUCCCUGACGUAUGGCCAAGAAAUUGGCGAACAUGCUGCCUUUAAUUCAAGGAAAUGAGAUUCCCCUGACUUCGCAUUAUGAAAGGAUUAAAAGUCUGGUUAGCCAAGUUGAGACAGCUUAUGGAGUUUUAGAGAGAAGCUAAAGAGAGAAAGACUCUGAAGAGACCAGCGUUUGUGUUUUGUGUGUGUGUGGAGACCACGACUGCCCCCACCACUGCUAGCUGACUAGAGAAGCCUAGAGAGAGACUCGUCCUCGAAUCCACAAUUCUAGAGAAAGAGGGACGCCUCCGAAUCCUAAGGAGAGAAGGAAAGAAGCUGAGUCGAGUUCUUGUUUUUGGGCUUGGUGUUUUCAAACUGAUAGAGGGAGUUUAGGUGGGGUGUGAUUUGCUCAUCUGUUGCUGUCUUUGGAUGAGUUGAAGAUCGGGAUCAGUUUGUUGGAAUCCAUGACUGCAUCGGUUAAUAUAGUUGUAGGUUCUCAUGUAUGGGUUGAAGAUCCAGUGGAUGCAUGGAUUGAUGGUGAAGUUUCUAGGAUCAAUGGUCUUGAGGUUCAUGUUCAUACCACAAAAGGAAAAACAGUUGUUGCGAAUAUGUCUAAGGUGUUCCAAAGGAUACUGGAUCUCCACCUGGAGGUGUAGAUUACUUGACAAAGCUUUCAUAUUUGCAUGAACCUGGGGUUCAGCAAAACUUGGCCUCAAGCUAUGAACUUAAUGAGAUUUAUACGUACACUGGAAACAUCUUAAUUGCAAUAAAUCCUUUUCAAAGAUUGCCGCAUCUGUAUGACACCCACAUGAUGGAACAUGUUAUAAAUAUAGAAUAAUUGUAUUCUAUUUCUUGAUUAAAGAAUAUACAUCAGUGCCUUUAUAUAGGAGGCAUAUGUGUGCGGUACAAGUAAUAUGUGUGCAGUACAAGUAAAGUGUACUAUACAAGUAACCUAACUGGGCCUAAAGCCUAUAACAUAAUAUACUUUAACAACCCCCCUCAAAUUCAAGGUGGAUGUGAGACCAACUUGAGGUUGUCAACUAAAUCACGAGUGCGUCUCUUAGGUAGUGACUUGGUGAAGAUAUCUGCAAGUUGAUCUUUGGAGGAGAUGGAAAAAAGCUUAAGAGCACCAUGGACAAGAUGAUAACGGAUAAAAUGACAAUCAAUCUCGAUGUGUUUAGUCCGUUCAUGAAAGACAUCAUUGUGAGCAAUAUGAAUGGCACUCUGGUUGUCACAAUAAAGAGGAGUAGCAAAGGAGGUGGACACACCCAAAUCCUUAAGAAGCCAUCUUAGCCAAAGGAGCUCAUAUGUGGUAUCAGCAAAGGCAUGAUAUUCUGCUUCAGUACUGGAGCGGGCCACAAAAGUUUGUUUCUUACUUCUCCAAGAAAUCAAAGAAGAACCAAGGAGGAAGCAAUAACCUGUAGUGGACCUGCGAUCAGUAGGAUCUCCUGCCCAAUCAACAUCAGAGAAUGCAAAGAGUACAAGAGAAGACUGAGCUGAGUAGAAAAGGCCAUGAAAAAGGGUACCCUUCAGGUAUCGAAGAAUGCGCAGAACAGCAGCAUAGUGAGUUGAUCGUGGAGCAGACAAAUACUGGCUCACCUGAUGAACAGCAUAGGAGAUGUCUGGACGAGUAACUGUGAGAUAAACUAAGCUGCCAACCAAUCGUCUGUAAAGAGAAGGAUUAGACAAUGGUUUCCCCCCCCGAGGGUGUCAGAUGCGCAUUAAGUUCAACUGGAGUGUCAUCAGUCUUGCUGUCAGUGAGUCCAGCUUGAGACAACAGGUCAGAAGCAUACUUGGCUUGAGUAAUAUAAAGACCAUCUGUGGAAUGAGUAAUUUCAAGACCCAAGAAAUAGCUGAGAUGUCCAAGAUCUUUCAUUUCAAACUGCUGACUGAGAAAAUCCUUGAGUUCUUGAAUGCCACUAAGGUCAUCACCAGUUAUGAUCAUAUCAUCCACAUAUAGAAGAAGUAAAAUAGUGCCUUUAUCAGUACGACGAAGAAAUAAGGCAGAAUCAUAUGGACUGGCAGUGUAACCCAAGUGAAAAAUAAUGGAGCUAAACUUGGCAAACCAAGCUCGUGGGGCUUGUUUAAGACCAUAAAGUGCACGUCGAAGAUGACAAACCUUGUUUGAUUCAAUAGAGAGACCAAGAGGAGGUUGCAUAUAGACUUCUUCACUCAGAUCCCCAUUAAGGAAGGCAUUUUUAACAUCCAUCUGAAAAAGAUCCCAUUUACGAGCAGCAGCAACAGCUAAGAGAGCACGAACAGAUGAGAUACGAGCAAUUGGAGCAAAAGUCUCUUCAUAAUCAAUCCCAUACUCCUAUGUAAAACCUUUGGCAACAAGACGAGCCUUGUAGCGCUCAAUAGAUCCAUCAGAGCGAGUCUUGAUCUUAUAGAUCCACUUACAACCAACCACAGACUGUCCAGGAGGGAGAGUAACCAAGUCCCAAGUAUGGUUUUUGGUUAAUGCAUCAAGUUCCUCUUUCAUUGCAAUCUGCCAUAAAGGGUCAGUAGAAGCCUCACGAUAGGUUUGAGGCUCGUGAAGUGUAGCAAGGGCAGUGUAACAAUGAUAGUCAAGGAGGUGUGGAGGAAUGGAUCUUACCCGGGUUGAGUGGCGAGGUGGAAUGUCUUGUGGAGGAUCUUCAGGUAGAGCAGGAGCAGGGGACCCAGGCUCAAAGUGGGGUAGCUCGUCAUCAAUCUGUUCAUCUGCAACCUGUCUAGGAGAAGCAUCAAAGAUAUCUGGAGAGAAGUCCAAAGGAGGAUAAAAAGUAUUUGUAGAAGGAACAAGAGACUCAUCUAGAAAGAUUUCUAAAACAGAUGAGUUAGUCAAGGAAGAACGAAAGUGAGAGAGUUCAACAAACAAUCGGUGUUCCCAAAAGACAACAUUACGAGAAACACGAAGACGAUGAGAGAUAGGAUCAUAACACCUAUACCCCUUUUGAGUUUCGCCAUAACCAAGGAAACAACAGAGUCUAGAUCGAGGCUCAAGUUUGUUGUGCUCAUGAGGCUGAAGAAGAACGAAACAAGCAGAUCCAAAUGAGCGAAGGUGAUGAUAGUCAGGGGGUGACCCAAAGAGACGCUCAUACCGAGUCUGAUUAUGGAUGACAGCACUUGGAAUGCGGUUAAUUGCAUGAACAGCAUGAAGACUAGCUUCACCCCAAAAUGGGGCAGGAACUUUGGCAGAAAGAAGGAGAGCACGAACAGUGUCAAGAAUAUGACGAAGUUUUCUUUCGGCUCGACCAUUUUGCUGAGAGGUACCUGGACAAGUUAGAUGAUGUAUAGUGCCAUAGGAAUGUAACAGAGCUUGAAACGCAUAUUGAGUAUAUUCAAGAGCAUUAUCAGAUCGAAAGGUUUUGAUACUUUUGAAGAAUUGAGUUUCAACCAUUUUUGCAAAAUUGCUAUAUAUUGGUAAAAUUUCAGAACGAGAUUUCAUAGGAAAAAUCCAACUAUAACGAGAAUAAUUAUCAAUAAAAACAACAAAAUAUCGAGAUCCACCAAUACUAGCAACAGGAGAAGGUCCCCAAACAUCAGAAUGAAUUAACUCAAAAAUACUAUUAGAAAUGGAUUCACUGUUAUUAAAAGGCAAAGCUGGCUGUUUUCCUAACUGACAUGAAGUGUAAUCAAAAUUGUCUUUAGACACAGAACCCAACAGACCCCUAGACACUAAUUGUUGUACCCGAGAAGAUGGUGCAUGACCAAGACGAGAAUGCCAAAGUGCAAGAGAAGGUAAGGAAGAAACUGUAGCCGCUGCAUCAGCAACAGAAACAGGAGCAAUAGGUGGAAGAUGAAGAUUGUUCACUGGAAACAUACGUCCAACUCUAGGACCGGUCUCAAGCUCCUGCCCCGUCCUCGGAUCCUGCACAAUACACCCAAAAUAGUAAAAAAUAAGGCGAUAACCUAGUUCAGCUAAUUGUCCCAUAGAGCACAAAUUAUAGGAUAGGGCAGGUACGUGGAAGACUCCAAGAACAUAAAGAUUAGAGGUUGAAACAAAACCUAGACUAUUUCCAUGCAUGGUGGAACCAUCAGCUAUAUGAAUAUUUAGAGGAUGUGGUGCAGGGUCAAGGUUGGAGAACAGGGAUGAGUGAGGUGUCAUGUGAUUGCAGCAGGCAGAAUCAAAAAGCCAAGUUUGAGACUUACCAGGUAGAACAGAUAAGGCAGUGGAAAGAGAUGCAUUACCAGCCAUACGAACAGCUUGAGCUAUGAUCUCCUGUAGUUCAGUGGAGGAGAGGUUGAUAGUAGAUCCAGAAGACUGGGACUCAGUUGAGGUGGAAGCCGUUGGCGGAGUAGGCUCAGUAUUAGCAACAACAGCAGUAGAUUUGUUACGAUGGUAACAAGUCUCAAUGGUGUGGCCAGGACACUUGCAAUAGUUGCAGAACUUCUUGUUGGUCUGCUUGCGACGAUUGCUAGAGCCAGAAAAAUCACCUAAUUGCUGAGGUUGCUCUAUGAGUGGAGUAGAUGGAGUAAUAGCCAAAACAUUGAGCUUAUUCUGGGCUUGAAGGGUUGCAAGACGAGCUUCUUCUCUAACCAACUCAUUCACAGCAGUAUCAAGAGAGGGAGCAGGACUGCGAUUUAGCAGCUGACCACGAAUGGGCUCAAAGUCCUUGUGAAGUGACAUCAAGAAUUCAUAGAGGCGAAAUUCAUCUCUGAUGGAAGCAUAUUGCUGAGCAUCUUUUGAGCAUGCCCAAGUUGGAUCAGAAAGGUCAAUUUGGUCCCAAAUGAAGCGAAGCUGAUCAUAAUAGUCAUUGAUGGAUUGCCCCGGUUCUUGCCUGAGUUGAUGCAAUUCAACCACUAACUGAUAUUUCAUGGAUCCAUGAGUAGUGGAGUACCUUUUGGUCAACAUAUCCCAUGCAGAUUUUGCAUCUUCAAAGCUGCCCAAUAUAUUGGAAAUAGAGGGAAUGGAAGUGUUCCGGAUCCAUGUGAGGAUCAUGUGGUUAUGACUAUCCCAUUCAAUCAUGCGACUAAGAAAGGCAACAUCUUCUUCACUUGCUCCCUUGACAGGAAUACUCAUUGCACCAGUACAAUAAUGCCAGAACAUGCGACUCUUAAGAAAACUGUGCAUAGCUUGAGACCAGGAUAAGUAAUUUUUAUUCCCCUCCAAUACAGUAUUGAUGGGACGAGGAAGAAAAACAUCCUUUUUAUCCAUUUAGAGACACAAUAUGCAAAAAUCGACUGCAAAAAUGAAAUCUACACGAAAAACUAGGUAAGGAGAACCUAGACAGAAAAAGUCAAUUGGAAAAGUCAACGGUCAACGGAUGAAGAUGACGUGGAGAUGACGUCAGCAGAUCAGUGGAUGCUGACGCAGCUAGGGCUGACGUGGCAGAGAUGAUGAUGUUAGCAGACCAGUCCUCGGCGCGUGAGAGCACGUGGCAGCGCGUGAAGGCGCGUGAUCAGCGUUGUAGAAUCUUUGAGCGGUGCGUGGGGGCGCGUGCGGUCUCCGAUGGCAGCGAGGGUUCCAUGAAUGUGUAGAUCGGCGCUGGACAAUCUCAGUGGUACCUUAAAAAAUGAAAUCGGAGCAAUAUUCGCAGCGGUGAUGCAAAGAGCAGUGGUCUGUGCAGUGUGAAACUCCUUAACGACGACGGCUGCAGGUCCGGAACCCAAGGACGACGGCUGGAUGACGUCGGAGGUUCAACGGCAAGAGGCUGCGGCGGCAGUUGUGAUGGCGGAAGCGUUUAGUGAAAGAAAGGAAGUCACACUAAUGAAGACAAGACUGCUAAGAAAAGGUCAGAGCAGUGGCUCUGAUACCAUGUUAUAAAUAUAGAAUAAUUGUAUUCUAUUUCUUGAUUAAAGAAUAUACAUCAAUGCCUUUAUAUAGGAGGCAUAUGUGUGCGGUACAAGUAAAGUGUACUAUACAAGUAACCUAACUAGGCCUAAAGCCCAUAACAUAAUAUACUUUAACAUGAGUCUGUAUGACACCCACAUGAUGGAACAAUAUAAGGGAGCGGGUUUUGGGGAGCUCAGUCCUCAUGUGUUUGCUGUUGCAGAUGUUGCAUACAGGGCAAUGAUUAAUGAAGGAAAUGAGAUAGAUUCCUCAGUCAUCAAGGAUGAACAGUCCAGAUUCCAUCAUAACAAUGACGACCCCAUCAAACCAUACCACUCACCAAACCAUCCUUGCCUUCAUAUUUCUUUCAUACCCAUUUCUUCCACUACCUGUGAUUUUACUCUAACCCACUCCAUGCUCAUGAUCAUUCUCAUUUCCUCACAUCCUCAUUCAUACCCACCAUACCCACUACCGUUCAUACUCACCAUUUUUCCAUUUUCCUUAUCUAUCAUACCGCUUCUUCCCACCACCCGUUCCACCAAUAAUACUCACUCCCAACCCACUUCCAGUCUCUUUCCUUUCAUUUUCCAUGAACGUAAAUCCCAUGCAAAAUAUCACUCAUGUUUUAUUCCUCUUCUCAUCCUUUGUACUAACCAAAAACCCAAUCACCUGGACCACUUGCCCGACACCAUUCAACUUUGAUCCCUCCGUGUUACCAGUACCUCUUCCCCAUUCUCCUUGCCACACACUCCAACCUUAUACACCCAUUUUGAGACCGAAAUAUUCUCUUGUUUGAUGAUGGAGUUCUGCCCAAGAGGUGAUUUACUCACACUUAGGCAGAGGCAACCUGGGAAACAUUUUUCUGAGCAAGUUGUAAAGUUCUAUGUAGCAGAGGUUCUUCUUGCUUUUAAAUGCCUUCACAUGCUCGGGAUUGUUUAUCGUGACCUGGAACCAGAGAAUGUCCUUGUGAGGGAAGAUGGGCACAUUAUGCUUUUUGAUUUUGACCUCUCUCUCCGGCACACUGUCAGUCCGACACUGGUCAAGUCCCCUUCUUUUGGCACCAAAUCCUUACGAAAGGAUCCAGUAUAUGGUGUCCGACCUACAUGCAUUGAACCUUCUUAGAUUCAGUCAUCCUAUGUGGCCCCAACAACACGUUUUUCCCCUCUAUUAAGGAAAUUAUAUGUUAGUUAUUGUAUGAUUAUCUUGACAUAAUUAGCUGAUUGUAUAAGAGCAUAAUUAGCCUUAUAUUUCUGAUUCUGUAGCUAUAAUUUAGGAGAAGAUUAGAUCAAACAUGUGUAUAUAUAUACUACAUUCUGUUAAUGAGAAAAGUAUCCAAUUUGAAGCCAAUCUCUUUAUUCUUGUUAUGGUAUCAGAGCAAGAACAACAAACCACCAUGGCUGGCAGUCAGAAGGCUUCUGGAUCAGAAAACAAGACCAUCGAUCCUUCACAUCCCCUCUAUAUUCAUCAUUCAGAUCAACCAGGCCAUGUUUUGGUGCCCAUCAAAUUAAAUGGGGUCAACUAUCAAUCAUGGAGCAAAUCAGUUAUUCAUGCCCUUACUGCCAAGAAGAAGAUCGGCUUCGUCGACGGGACAAUUGAAGAACCAUCGCAGGAAGAUGAACCCUUUAUGUUUGAACAGUGGAAUCAAUGCAACAGCAUGAUACUUUCUUGGCUAACUCAUGUUGUUGAAUCGGACAUUGCUGAAGGAAUUAUCCAUGCUAAAACAGCACGCGAAGUGUGGGUUGAUUUACGCGACCAGUUUUCUCAAAAGAAUGCUCCAGCGGUUUUUCAAAUACAGAAAUCAAUCGCCACCAUGUCGCAAGGAACGAUGACAGUAGCUGCAUAUUUUACAAAGAUCAAAGCCUUAUGGGACGAGCUUGAGACAUACCGUUCCCCACUGACCUGCAACCAACGACAAGCACAUCUCGAGCAAAGGGAGGAAGACCGUCUUAUGCAAUUUCUAAUGGGUUUGAAUGAGUCAUAUAAGGCAGUGAGAUCCAAUAUUUUGAUGAUGUCGCCAUUGCCCAAUGUCCGUCAAGCAUACUCUUUAAUUGUCCAGGAAGAGAUGCAACGACAAGUUUCUUCUGAGCCAACCGAGAAUUUCUCAAUAGCUGCCGUAGUCCCGGGAAAAUGAGGUAAUCCAAGACAGAAAAUGUGUGACCAUUGUAACAGAUCUGGACAUACCAUAGAUGAAUGUCGGACUCUUAAAUUUCACUGUAAGUUCUGUGAUAAAAGAGGUCACACGGAGGAUAGAUGCCGACUGAAAAAUGGGAGCAAUAACAAAACGGGACAAUUCUGAGGACAACGUCCUUUUGGUCGUGGGAAUCAGCCCUCAGCAAACGUGACAGAAUCCCAGGAAAUGUCUGAUUCGACUUCUUCUAGUACAGUCCAGGGGUUCACUACAGAACAAAUACAACAGUUGGCUCAAGCAAUUCGUGCAUUAAAUCACAGUAAUUCCGGUAAUAUUGACGCAUAUGCAAAUGCUGCAGGUUUGAUUCCAUCAACUCUUGUGUCUGUUAAUUCUAGUAGUACAAGUUCUUGGAUUUUGGAUACAGGUGCCACGGAUCACAUCGUUUCCCACAUGUCUCUUUUCACUGAUCUCAAACCUUCUAAUGUCACAAUUGUUAAUUUACCAAAUGGUGCAGCAUCACCAAUAACACACACUGGCACCGUUAUUUUUUAUUCCCAAUUGACCCUUAAAGAUGUUUUAUGUGUCCCAUCCUUUAACUUGAAUUUAAUUUCGGCUAGCAAACUCGCAAAAGAUCAGAAUUGCUGCAUCAUAUUCUUUCCUGACUAUUGUAUUUUGCAGGACUUGGUUUCGGGGAAGAUGAUUGGCUCGGGUAAACAGCGUGGUGGUCUAUACUACAUGCAUCCAUCAACAAAUAAAUCGGUUNNNNNNNNNNNNNNNNNNNNNNNNNNNNNNNNNNNNNNNNNNNNNNNNNNNNNNNNNNNNNNNNNNNNNNNNNNNNNNNNNNNNNNNNNNNNNNNNNNNNNNNNNNNNNNNUCUAUACUACAUGCAUCCAUCAACAAAUAAAUCGGUUGUCUUUCAUGUUUCUCAACCGUCUGACUUAUGGCAUUUACGCCUGGGUCAUCCCUCUUUUUCUCGUUUUAAAUUAUUAUCACAUUUGCUUCCAGAUAUUCAUAAAGAAUUAGGAAAUCAUUGUCCAAUUUGCCCACAGGCUAAGCAGACACGCUUGCCCUUUCCCAAAAGUUCAAUAACUACAAAAUUUCCUUUUUCUCUUUUACAUUGUGAUGUCUGGGGUCCUCACAAAAUUCCUGCACAUACUGGUUCACGUUAUUUCCUUACAAUUGUUGACGAUUUUUCUCGUUGCACAUGGAUUUUCCUUAUGCAUCAUAAGUCAGAAACACAAUCUUUGUUAACUAAUUUUGUGCAAUUCGUCAAAACUCAAUUCCACAUAGAUGUUCAAACGGUAAGAAUGGAUAAUGGCACAUAAUUUAUUCCUCUUCGCAUCUUUCUUCAAAAUAAAGGAAUCGAACUUCAAACCUCUUGCAUUUACACUCCGCAACAAAAUGGAGUUGUAGAACGCAAACAUCGACACAUUUUAAAUGUUGCCCGUUCUCUCAUGUUUCAAUCAAAUGUCCCACUUGAGUUUUGGGGGGAAUGUGUUUUAACAGCCAUUUAUCUGAUAAACCGCAUUCCGACUCCAUUGCUCUCAAACAAAUCACCAUUCGAGGUCUUAUAUAAUCGGCCUCCUUCACUCACACAUUUGCGAGUUUUUGGUUGUGAAUGCUAUGUAAUGUUCACCCCAAACAGAAAUUUGACCCUCGGGCAUCUAUUUGUGUUUUUUUGGGGUAUCCACAUGGAAAAAAAGGCUAUAAAGUACUCGAUUUGCAAACACAAAAAAUAUCAGUCAGCCGAGAUGUAUUCUUUAGGGAAAAUAUUUUAUCUUUCCAUUCUAGUUCUUCUCAAUCUCUACAACUUUCACCUUCUCUUCCUUUACCGCUUCCCAUUUCUUUCGAUUCCACACCUCAGCCGAUAUCUCUUCCUCGUUUUUCUCCAAGUUCCACUCCUCCCUUGUCGCAUCACAAUCCUGUAUCAUCUCCACUUUCCUCUAAUACUGAUGUUCCCGAACCUUUAUCCCCAGAAUCAGUUGCGUCACCCUUACCUUGUUCUCCAUCUCCUUCUUCGCUUUCUUCCCCACCUUCAGUGCCCUCAGUACCCUCCAACACGUCAACCCCUUCCCCCACCCAUGAACCCCCUCUUCGACGUUCCACUCGUCAUAUUCAGCCUCAUGCCUGGCACCACGACUAUGCCAUGUCUACCCAGCUUAAUCAUUCUUCCACGCAAUCAAGUUCUCGUCAAGGUACAAGGUAUCCCCUCUCUUCUCACCUUUCUUUUUUUCGUUUUUCACCCCAUCACCGUGCUUUUUUAGCUCUUUUGACAGCCCAAACCGAACCUUCAUCCUUUGAACAAGCUGACUGUGAUCCACGUUGGCGCCAAGCCAUGUCCACCGAACUUCAGGCUUUAGAACGAAAUAACACUUAAGAGAUGGUCCCUCUUCCUCCGGGACACAAACCCAUUGGCUACCGCUGGGUGUACAAGAUCAAAUACCAUUCUGAUGGAACCAUUGAAUGCUAUAAAGCCCAUUUGGUUGCCAAGGGCUACACACAGGUCGCCAGUAUCGACUAUCAGGAAACCUUUUCUCCAACUGCCAAACUCACCACUCUUCGCUGUUUGCUGACUGUCGCAGCUUCCAGAAAUUGGUACAUCCAUCAGCUUGAUGUGCACAACGCAUUCCUUUAUGGCAAUUUACAAGAAGAGGUUUAUAUGACUCCACCUCCUAGUCUUCGCCGACAGGGGGAGAAUCUGGUAUGUCGGCUUCGCAAAUCUAUUUACGGUUUGAAACAGGCAUCACACAAUUGGUUCUCAACUUUUACAGCUACUGUUAAGUCUGCGGGUUACAUACAGUCCAAAGCAGAUUAUUCACUUUUUACUAAAUCCCAAGGUAACAAGUUCACUGCUAUUCUCAUUUAUGUUGAUGAUAUCCUAUUGACUGGUAAUGAUUUGCAUGAAAUCAAGAUGCUCAAGACUCAUCUGCUCAAGCGUUUUUUUUAUUAAAGACCUCGGUGAAUUGAAAUAUUUUUUGGGUAUAGAAUUCUCUCGCUCUAAAAAGGGAAUCUUUAUGUCUCAAAGAAAAUAUGCAUUAGAUAUUUUGCAAGACACAGGAUUGACAGGAGUGAAGCCCGAAAAAUUUCCGAUGGAGCAAAACUUGAAAUUGACUGAUGAAGAUGGCGAGUUACUUCAUGAUCCAAGUAGGUAUCGGAGACUGGUUGGCAGAUUAAUAUACUUGAUUGUAACCAGGCCUGACAUAGUGUAUUCAGUACGUACACUAAGUCAAUUCAUGAACACACCUCGGAAGCCGCACUGGGAAGCAGCAUUACGGGUCCUCCGAUAUAUUAAAGGAUCACCAGGUCAAGGUCUUUUUCUUCCAUCUGAAAAUAAUUUAACACUCAGCGCAUUUUGUGAUUCAGAUUGGGGAGGAUGUCGUAUGUCAAGACGUUCCGUUUCUGGUUAUUGUGUUUUCCUCGGAUCAUCACUCAUCUCUUGGAAAUCAAAAAAACAAACGAAUGUUUCACGUUCGUCAGCAGAAGCAGAGUACAGAGCAAUGGCGAAUACUUGCCUGGAAUUGACUUGGUUGAGGUACAUACUUAAAGAUUUGAAGGUUGAAUUGGACAAACCAGCACCAUUGUUUUGUGAUAAUCAAGCAGCUUUAUAUAUUGCGGCUAACCCAGUUUUUCACGAACGUACUAAACACAUUGAGAUUGAUUGUCAUAUAGUUCGAGAAAAACUUCAAGCUGGGGUAAUUCGUCCGUGUUAUGUUUCUACAAAAAUGCAGUUGGCGGACGUUUUUACAAAGGCACUUGGCAGGGAGCAGUUCGAAUUUUUGUGCACCAAGUUGGGAGUUCUUGAUUUGCACUCUCCAACUUGAGGGGGAGUAUUAAGGAAAUUAUAUGUUAGUUAUUGUAUGAUUAUCUUGACAUAAUUAGCUGAUUGUAUAGGAGCAUAAUUAGCCUUAUAUUUCUGAUUCUGUAGCUAUAAUUUAGGAGAAGAUUAGAUCAAACAUGUGUAUAUAUAUACUACAUUCUGUUAAUGAGAAAAGUAUCCAAUUUGAAGCCAAUCUCUUCAUUCUUGUUACCCUCGCCUAUUUUCAAGUAAAUCCAAAAAGGUCCGGAAACCCAAGAAUGAAAUUGGAAACUAAGUGAGCCCAUUGCCAGAGCUCAUUGCAGAGCCAACUGGGGCUCACCCGAUGUCAUUUUUGAAGGCGCACGAGUAUAUAUGCACCUGAAAUCAUCAAGGGUGAAGGUCAUGGCAGUGCAGAGGACUGGUGGACCUUUGGAAUUUUUUAAUAUGAGCUACUCUUUGGUAAGACUCCUUUUUAAAGGAUUCGGGACUCUGAACCCCUUGCAAGACUUUCAGUUGCUACACAAUGCUACCUUUUGCAACAAUGGAUAAUAGCAAGACGCCAAUGUGGAGGGGCUUAUCAGCAUGGCGCGCUUCUCAGUCGUGAUUCGGCCAUCAGGUCGCAUUUCUUGGUACUUCUGGAACGGAAACGAAAGUCGUCUAUAGUUAGUCCUUGUAGACAGGAGGGCUUCAUCAUAGUGUUUGAAUUUUGAUGAUGGGUUGAAUAAUCUGUUUGCAUUGUGUAGCUCUGCUGCUAGGGACCUCUUUUAUUCCUCAGAAAGUGAGUGGGAAUUAUAAAAAUUAUGUGAAGCGGAAGUUUCUGCAUCGGGUCUUCAGGUCCGCGUUUCAGGUCCUUGCUACACAGGCAAUGUUUCAGGCAAUGGAAGCCGAACACUCUAGAUUCAUCUCAUCUGCUGCUGCCCUGAACUGGGUCUUGAAGAAUGGUCUUGGACAUUUAUUGUAGGUGUAUCUACACAGCAAGUCUUGCAUCCGCUUUUGAUACCAAACUAAAGUGGGUAACCUUGGUGGAAUUUCAGCAAAGACACAGAUCCGAAUGGUUGACGGAUCAAGUUUAAAUCCAUUUGAGAACGAGAACAAAGACUAUGAUGUCACCCAUCCUAUUACAGCAGAGGAAGCGGUGUCGAAGGUCAAUUCAUCAUCGCAUGGAAAUUGGCUAAGGUGAUAUUACCAGGAGUUCUGGGUUUGAAGAUACAGCAUGAAAAUUUGAUUCACCUUUGGCUUCUGGAAGUUAUGGAGCCCAGACAAGUGUUCCUCAUAAUGGGUACGUCAAUGGGGUGGUGAAACAUGUGGAUGGCCAGCUCAUAUAGAAAGCUCAAGUGAUUCAGUUGAAGAUAGACUAUUGAUACAGAAAACAUAGUGAUACUCCGAGAUUCACACCUAUAUGGUCUGCAUUCUCCAUUUUUUUCAUUUAUGCAUGGACUGCAUAUGGCCGCCUUUGACCCACGUGCUAUUUCCCAUUUUACCAUCUUGUACUUUUUAAAAUAAUUUUCUAAAUAUUUUCCUUCAAAUAAAUUUCUGGGUUAUAUUUUCUAAAUAGUACCAACUCCAAGGUGACAUUUGUUUUUUUGGCUUGAUUCUAAAUAGAACUUAUAUUUAACUUAAUACUAAAUAGUGAUUAAUAGUAUUAAGUAUUAAGUUGUUUGUUUUUUUAAUAUUUUAUUUCUAUUAAGUAUUACGUUGUUUGUUUUUUUAUAUACUAAAAAUCAAUAUCUUAAUAUUUUAAUGUAUUAAAAAAAUAUAAAUUUAAAGUAUUUCUAAAAAGUUCAAAAUAAUAAAAUUGUUAUAAUAAAUAAUUUAUCAUUAUCAUUCUUACAAAAUAUAAUUAAUAUAUUUAUUUUUUAUAUAAUUAAAAUAAAAUAUUUAAACUUAAUAAUCUAAAAAACAAUAGAUUGAUAAAACCUGAAAAAUAAAUUUUGGAUAGAAAACAAUUUAUUAAGAAUUUUUUUUGUAAAUACGUAAUUAUUUAAAAACAAUUAAGAUGUUUUAAAACUUUAUUUGAGAGUGCUAUUAUCAACAAUGGAAAUAAUGAAUAAUAUUGAAAAAGUAAAUAAGUUUUUUUUUUUACUUUUACCUUCAUGAAGAAUAAUAACAAAAAAAAAAAAAACUAUUUUGUAUAUUUGAGAAUAAUUAAAAACUGUUCUUAAAAAUUAUUUUAAAAAAUUACUAUAUUUUAAAACAAUCUCAAAUUAAACACCCUUCUAUCCUUAACUACUAAACUAGGAAUCUCCAAUGUCUCUUUAUUUUUUUCGCCUUUUUGGAGCCGUAAUUAUUGUUUUUCAAUUUCUUUAGAUUGGAUUGCCAAGGUUACCAUCUUCAAUCUCAAAUUAAUUUAAUAACUUUAAAUUAUUUCAUCUUAAUGCAUCUUAGAUUCUUAAACCAAGGCCUUCAAAAUUUGGAAGAAACUUGACUAGGGCAAGCUAUUUCCAGGAUUACUUCCUAUCCGAGCCAAGGUUGGGACUAGCACGGAUUUGCAGCCAAAUAAGGACCUUAGGGUUUUACAAGGGUUUGACUCACAGAAUGUGCCAUUGCUACUGCCGGUGACCUUUUCUGCCAGAAAUCAUGAAUUUCAGGUUUCAAAACCUCCUGGGAGCUCCAUACAGAGGUGGAAACGUCGCCUCUUCGAACAAAACUCUCCUCAUCUCUUCCGUUGGCAACCGUAUCUCCGUCAUCGAUCUCCUAAAAUCCCAAACUCAAACUCUCCCUACAUAGUCCUCCUCCAACAUCGCUCGCAUCGUCAUCUCUCCUUACGGCAAUUUCCUCCUCGCUGUUGUAGAGAGCUACAAGGGAUGGGUGGGUAGGUUUGGGCAUCGGGUUGCAAUUGUAUUUGGUAAAGGUUUAAAAAAUUGGCUUUUUCUAAAUAGAAAAGGCCAAAUAUUUAGCUUUUUCUAUUUAGUUAAAAAUUUUAAAAAUUCAGUAAUAAGUCAUCAAAAAUUAAAAAAACAAACAACCUAAAUUCUAAAAGCAAAUUACUUUCAGUAAAAAACCAAAAAAACAAACGCCACUCAAGUCUUUUUUUCAUCCUUAGAGUUUUCAGGUCUUAAAAGUCUCAUUUUCAAUAAAAUUUUGCUACUAUUUUUCUUUCUGGCAAAUAACUUUCAUAACUCCUCUGAUUUUUUUUUAAUCGUUUUAAAAUAAGCAAGAAUUAAUUAUGUAAUUUCAAGUGAUGGAAUUUAUGGAAUUAAUUCAUAAAAAAAUAAAUUGGACUAUGGUGGAGCCCGACAUCAAAUAAAUUUUCUUUAAAAUAAAAAUGGAUUUGAAUGAAAUAUCAUGCAUACUAUCGGUGGUUAUUCAUCUUGUUUGGUGAUAUGAGUGACAUAUUUUAUAUUAAUUAAUUGUGCACUAACCUCGUUUCUUGAUAGCGCAUGGUGGCUCGUUGCCCAGGUACGCAUCCUUCCCCAUUCUAGUCAUUCUCUAUGCAUGUUUUGAUUCUCAUAUGGGCAUGAUAGUUCCGGGUAUUCAUUGAUUUCCUCAUCAAUUGCCAUGUUAGCUUCAUUUUAUUAGUAAAGACUCGUUCUUAGGGAUUUAGAGGGUGCUACGGUCUUUACUGUACCUUCCCAAUGAGUAACCUGACCCCCGAACCCGAUCCGGUUUCUCACAUACCACCUUUUCCAAAAUAAGGAGUCACACUAAGGGUUUUUCUUUCUUAUUUUGUUUACCCUUUUAAAAAUAAAACAAAAAUAAGUGGUGACUCCAAGUCAUUUUCCAAUAAAUAAAAUCAUUUUUUCAAAUAAAAAUUGAACUCGCCAUCGAGUGGAAAACGUAUGAGUCGAAAUGCGGGGUCCACAUUCUGUUAUGCCGCUUAAAUGUACUUUGUCUAGCUGAUUAUUCUUCCAUAAUUAGGGUGCAUUAGGUGGUCCACUUUAAUUGAGGCUUUAAGCUUAUCCAAGGUACCCAAAAUUAAUGCUAUCCCACUACUGUCUACUUAAGCCUUGGGCCACGUUAUUAUGGUGUAGACCCCAAAAUUUGUCCCAAUUUUAUUUUUACAUUAAUUUUGAGCUUAAUUUUAAAUCUCAAUUACAUGUGUUAUUUUAGGCCCACUCACCCGUUAAUUUUUUAUCUUUAUUAAUUUGUAAAUUAUUAUUUUUUUAUAUUUUAUUUUAUUUUAUUUAUUAUUAUCAUUAUUAUUAUUAUUAUCAUGUUUAUUAUUAUUAUUAUUAUUAUAUUAUAUUUUUAUAUUUUUAUUUUAUUUUAUUAAUUUUCUAUUUUAUUAUUUUAUUUUUUCUCUCCUCUCUCUUCCUUUUUUCUCCCCCACUUACCUUCACCUACCCACUUCUUCUCUCUUUCCUCCCACACCACCGGCCACCAUCAAAAUCUCUCGUUAUUUUAUUUUAUUUUUUAUUUAUUUUUAUUCUCUUUUCAUUUUCCCCCCAUUUUUCCCUUCCCACGCGGGGACCCCUCUAUUCUCCUUCCCCCAACUCUCUAGCCCUUUUCUCUGCCAAAAGACACCCACAUGGCUGGAUUUUUUUUUGGUCGGCUCCCUAUGUUUUUUUCUUCUUUUUUCUCUCCCCCAAGAGAACACACCCGACGGCCAUCUCCCCAGCUCCGUCCUUCCUUUUUUUUUUUUUUUCCCUUCCCAACAACACAUGUCGACCCAUUCUUUCCUCCCAUCUCUUCUUCCCCCCAACUCAUUUCUUCCAUUUUCAUUUUCAUUUAUUCAUUUACUAUUAUUAUUAUUAUUAUUUUCUCUUUCCCCCCUUAAACUCUCACAUUGCCGGCGGCGUGACGCCGGUGCCUUUUCUGGCCCCCCUCCAUUCCCAUUUUCUCCCAUUUUAUUUAUUUAUUUAUUUUUAUUUAUCUUUAUUCUAUUUUAUUUUUGUUUCCAAAAAGCUAUCCACUGCCACCGGCGAGCCCCAGUCGGCCGAUAAUCUCUUCCAUUUUUCUCUCAUCUCUCACUUUCCCGUAUCACUCAUUUUCCCUUAUUAUUGUUGUUGUUGUUGUUGUUGUUGUUGUUAUUGUUAUUAUUUUAUUUUAAUAGUAAUUGUUGUUUGUAAAAUUUGGACUGUUGAAUUAAUAUGAAAUUUAGGGUUAAUUUGUUGUUGGUAGAUUAAUAUGUAAUUUGGUUUAAUUUAUUGUUAGUGAAUUAAUUUGAAAUUUGUUAAUUUGGGUUUAUGGGUAUAUUGCAUUUGGUGAUUAAUUUGGGAUAUUUGGAUUAUAUCAAUUGCAUACUGUUUAUUUGGACUUGAGCCUAUUGUUAAUUUAUUAUUUAUUUGGGCUCGUUGGAUUGAACUUAAUACAUUAUUACCUUUGGCUAUAUAUAUUAUUAAUGUGGGCUUGUUAAUUGGAUAUUUCUUUGGACUUAUUAGAUUGGCCUUGAAAUAUUAUUUCCUUUGACCAUGUAUAUUUUUUUUUAUGUGAGCUUGUUAAUUGAUGUGAAUUUUGGGGCUCAUAAUGUAAGUGAGAUUUGUUGGAUUAUUUGAAUAUUUUAUAUGGGCUUGGCCAAUUUGAAUUAUUUAAUUUGGACAUGGGACAAUUGUGGUGUAUAUUAAAUUAGGCUUAAAUUAUGGAAUAUUAAAUUUAGGCCUAGUAGAAUUUAUUUUAAUUUAUCCAAUUUUAGGUUUGGUUGAUUGUGUUUGUAUUUUUGGUUAUUAAUUUGGAUGUUCUAGGUAAAGACCUAUAGUAAUUUGGGCUUAUUUUAAUUGGUGAAAUUUAUGGGACUAAUUUGAAAUUGGAAUUUGGGUUUCAAUAUUUGUUUGGGAUUUUGUAUAUCUCUGGAUAUUUACAUUUGUACUAUUCUUGUUUUUGCAUGGACCCACUUUGCAAUCUUGUUAGCGAAGUACGAAUUGAUGACACGUGGAGCUUGUUAUAAGUUUAUUUGAGUACAUAUUUCAUUUCCCACUUUUAUUUUAUUUUAUUUUUUAUUAGUUCGUGUAAAUAUUCGUUCGUAUGUAUUUAUUGAGUGUGUACAGAAUUGAACAUCGAACAAACUGUAAAUUUUGUUUAAAUGAGAGGAAGAAUUUAGUAAAUAUGUUUUGAUAAAACAAUAAUUUUAAAAUAUUAUUUUUAAUAAAAGAAAGUUUUUUUUUCAUUAUUUAUAAAAAUUCAGAAAAAUGCGUUUAGAAAAAUCCAAAAAAAUUGUUUUUAAUAGAAUUCGAAAAUUUUUUUAAUAACAUUGUCCAAAAAUUUCUUUGUUUAAUAAAAAUUGUCCAAAAAUUUAUUUUUGUAAUUAAAGUUGUCCCAAAAAUUAUUUUUUAAUAAAAUUGUCUAAAAAUAUAUAUAUUUUUUCAAACGAAUUCUUUUUCCUUAAUUAAAAUGAGAUUAAAAGUGUUUUUAAAAAAUAGAGGAUUUAAAUCUUUGUGUUUUUUUUAAUUAAAAUUUCUUUUGCAAAUAAAGUUAUGUCAUUUUAAAUAAUUUGUAAAAAUCUCUUCUUCUUUUUUUAAUAAAAAUGAAUCUAAAUACUUUUAUAAAUAAAAUUGUAAAAAUUCAUUAUUUUCUAGUAAAAGUAAGUAAAAAUAAUUUUUGUACCAAAAUUGAAAUUUUGUAAUAAAUUCUUUUGAUACAAUAAGUGUAAAUAGCUUUUUUUUUUUUUUUAAAUUGAAUACAAGUGAAAUUGAGAAAAUAAAUUAAUUCUUUUUGUAAGUAAAUAAAUUGAAAUCACUAAUUCAAAAUCAUUUUUAAUAAAAUCCAGCUGAAAUUUCUUUAAAACUUUUUUUUAAUAUCUUUUAUUUAUUUAAUUCAACAAAUCAUUUUGCAUAAUUCUCUUAUUAUUUAUUUUGUAUAUUUUUUGUAAUUAGAUUUCAUCAUUGUUUUAGUGUAUAUUGAUUUCUAUCAUGACUUGUACAUUGAUUAUUUUUCUUGGUAUCCAUAAUUGAUUAAUUAAUUGCCACAAUUCCCUUAAUUCGUUUAGUAGAGGCCAUAUGUAUACGGGUUUAGAGGGGUGCUGCGACUCACCACCGUACCUUCCCAAUGAGUAACCUGAUCCUUAGACCCAGACUUAGUUUUUCACAAACCUGUUUUUCCUUCAGGAGUCACACUUAGGGUUUUUUUUUCUUAUUUUAUUUUUCCCUUUAAAAAAAUAAAACAAAAAUAAGUGGUGACUCCAAGUCAUUUUCUAAUAAAUAAAAUCAUUUUAAAAUAAAAUCAAGCUCUCCAUCGAGUGGAAGUGCAUGAGUAGAAAUGCGGGGUCCACGUAUGGCUUUUUUAAUAUUCUCCAAGCCAACUGUUUCACCUAUCUUAACCCCUUUUUGUCGUCUUCAUACCAAUCGAGUUCAUGGAAUGGUUGAAAAAGGCCAAUACUUCCCCUUGGACUAGACUCUAAAUCAUAUGGUCGAAAAAGCCAUUCAGGGGACCCAAAUGACCUUCCCGUUGAAAAUUUGAAAAUGGGUAAUUAUAUUUUGGACCUAAUUGAGCUCAAAAAUGAAACUUUGGUUCAUAUAAGUUCAUUAUUUAAGCCCAAGAUCCAGAGAAAGUGUGAAAAUUGGGAAGGAGUAUAAGAAUUUUAUAUUUCCGAAAAUGACCUUUGUUGACUAUGAAAAAAGAGAGUAGAAAAUCAUUAAUUUAAAUUUUAUUUCUUUUGUAAACCUCAAUAAAAUUCAAUAUAAUUUAGUGAUUUGGAAAAAAAUACACAAUUUUCCAAAAAAAUAAAAUAAAUUAUUAUUAUUAUUAUUUAAAAAUCAAACAUUUUAGAAAAUAUAUAUUUUUGAAAUUGUGUAUAUAAAAAAUAACUAAAAAUAUGUCAAAUUUAUUUUUUUUAAAUGAUAUAUUUUUAGAAUAUAUUUUUUAAAACAUUAGUUUUUUAAAAAUAAUAAAUUUUUAGAAUAAUUAUUAAAAAAAAUUAAAAUAAAAAGGUUUGUUAAAUAUUAUGGUAGAAAAUAGUUUUGAAGAGUAUAUCGGUCUUCAUAUUUUAUAUCAUUCCCAUCAAUUAUAUAAUUUAUAAUAAUAAAGGUUAAUUUUUGGCCCAAGUCAAUAACACAAUUGUCCCAAGGUUGCCAGGUGAACAUUUAGUAUGGCGUUGCAGAAGUUGCCAUCCACCACCAUAAAGGUUAAUUUAUUUAACGUGGUGCCGUUUGAGAAAGGGCAUUGAUGUGGAGAUUGAUACGACGCGAAGGAGUGGAGCCUUAUUCACUGCUGAUGCUGGGUGGUCGGGUCACGGAUGUUAUUCACCUGAAACUGAAAGGGAGGUCUCCUAACUCACAUUAUCACACCUGCUCUCUUCCCUCUCCUCUUUCCCAAUUCCCAACCCAGAUACCCAAUAUGGUGUCCGGUUUUUUACCAAGAUAUUCUUUUUUGAAACAAUUUUCCAAUGCAAACGAACCAAGACCUAUUUUCCAAAUAAAAAUAUUUUGUUUAAUAUGAUGGUUUUUGAAACAAAUUUUUGUUUGCAAAGUCAAUUUUAUUUUUUAUCUAUUCAUUGUAUUAAUAAUUGUUCAUUAAAAUAUUAUUUGAAAAACGCUUAAAGAACAUCUCAAAUUUAUUUUUAAAAUUCAUCAUGGUUUUAAGAAUAAUUCCUGAAAAGCUAUUUUCAAUAUAAAAAUUAUCAUGCAUAUUUUUAUAGUUAAAAAUCAUAAUCCUUUUUUUUUUAUUUUAAGAUAUCUCGGGUAAGCAUAAAUGAGAUUAACCUAGUUGAAUAUGAUUUAUCCGAUAUAAUAAUUGGUACAAAAAUUAAAAAUAAUUUUUUUUAAAUAUUAGGCAUAAUAUAUUUUUAUUUUAAAAAUAUGAAAUAUCAGAAAAGAAUUAAAAAAAAAAAUUGUUAUAAAAUAUGUUAAAAUAUUAUAUUCCACCUCUCUUAAGUCUUUACCAACAAUCAUUGUGGAUGCCCAAAAUAGUCCACUUUAUUAUUAUUUAUUAUUUUUAUUUUUUGUGUUUUUAAUUCUCAUAUCAUAUUCAAAUAUGUUGUCGUUUGAAUACCUGGGGAGGUCGCUUCUAUCAUCCUUAAAGUCUAUGCAUCAGAAUUUGAAAUUUGAUUCCAUUGUUUUACUUUUAAUAAAGUAGAAAUAUGAGUCAUGGAUGUAUUGGGCAAAAAUUUCGCUUGAGGGGAGGGGAGGGAUAGGGGAAGGUGGUACGGGCAAUGCCAUUAAACUAUCAUUUCAACACAAAUUAAUUAUUCUAUAUAUAUAUAUAUGUUGUGAAUCAAAACUGGGAAAAAUCCACCUCUAUUGAUCAACAACCUUGGCUAAUAAAAUAGCCUUACAAUAACUAAUUGAUAAGAAAAAUAGCUCACGUUUUACACUAACAAAUAACGUAGUAAAGAGUAGAAAAUAAGUCAAAACUGGAAACUACCCUGCUUAAUAGGGAUUAUUAAAACAAAAAAAACUAAACAAUCAGAAACUUAAAUCUUGACAAUAUAUAUAUAUAUAUAUAUAUUAUUUUAAUUUGAAAAUUAAUAAUUAAAAAGAUUAAGCACAUUGUAGCUCUUUGGCCCUGGCUGUGUCCACGGCCUGGCCCUGCUCUCCAAUGCCGCCGCCAAUGCUUGGUCUAUGGUGAUGAUUUCUGGCUCUUGCAACUUCCAGGAGCUUGAUAAGGUGGCCGCCGUCGAGCCUUUCUCCAAGUUAUGUGCAAAAGCCACUGAUAUUAAUUUCCCAAAUACCUAAGAGCCCUUUUAAAGUCCUGAUCAAGCUCUUUCUGGUCGGCCCGAUGGUUGUUACUUGGAUCUUCCAAAUGAUAUUCUCCACCAAACUGUUUCUCAAUCCGAGGCCGAGAGUCUGUCGGAUGCUGUUGAGGACAAAGCCACAAUUGUGUCAUCCAAUAAAUGUUGUUCUUUUCUAUUUUUCAUAAUAAAACAAGGGAAAAUCAUCUAAUCAUACACUAAAUACAAAAAAUAUGAGAUUUUGGAAUUUUACCAUUUUCUUUUUAAUUUUGGUGUAAAAUGGAAAAAAGUAUUGUCUAUUCAUGCACUCCAAUAGUGCUUUCAAAUUUGUUUCACAAUUACCCUUAAAAGUAAAGGAAAAAGUAUAAACCAAUUUAAUACCACAUGUUAACAAGUACACGUGUCAUUUAUUUUUAUUAUUUUUCUCACAUCAACAUAUUUCCCUUACCACUCGUCACGUUUCUUUUUUUUUUUUUUCUUCUUCUUCUGCCACCAUAAUCCAUUGUCACCUAUUAUAGUUUUUAUUAUUCAUUUUUUCCCUUUAUAUUGUUUUUAAUAUGCUCGUGUAUUUUCUCAUUAAACUUCUUUAAUCUUAAUUUAUUUUUACUCUCUAAUUUGUCUAUAUUUAUUGAUUUUAAUUAUUUUUUUGACAUAUUAAACUUAAAAUGAUAAUAUAUAAUAAAUAAUUAAUAUAACAAAUUAAAUAAAGACAAAAUAUAUAAUGGACAAAAAUAAAAGUAUUAUCCCACAAAUAAUAAUGAUUUUAAAUAUUAAUUAUAAUAAUACAUUUUAUAAAUUAAGGUUUAAAUUUAAAAUUUCCAUUUUAUUAUUCAGAAGUUUAUGAUAUAAGAUUUUUUUAUAUUAAUACUAAACAAAAGAUUUAUUUAUUUUGUAAAUUCUAUCACAUGUAAAAGUAAAAAUAUCAUUGUAAUACUAUUUUAUUAUUUACAUUAUUUUUCUUUUAAUUUUCAUUUUAAAUUUAUCAUAUAAAAAUCACAAUAAGUGAUGGUGCUUUUAUCAUUUUUCUUAUAAUUUUAAAUUGUUGUGGAUCUAAACUUUUUUUUGGUUAAUCUUUAAUUUUUAAUUAAAAUAAAAUAUAAAAGAAAAUAUAUUUUUCAUAAAAAAUUGUAUUUAGCCUUUUAUAUUAAUUUCAUAAAAAAUAGGCACAUCCUUAAAAAAAAAAAAGGUAAAUUAAUGUUUAGGAGAACCGGAAAAACUAUCAUACUUAUCAUGGUGUAUAUAUUCCUUUGGGACCCUCGAUAAGUAAUUGGAGGUCUUUGCUCACCCCAAAAAGAACUUUGGGAUCAUAGGUAUAUCCAUUCUUAGAGGGGACCCCAAUUUUCAUUUUCAUGGUUUAUAUAUUCCUUGGGGGAGCCUUGAGAAAGAAUUAGAGGUUAUUCCCCACUCUAAAAUGGACAUUGGAACCCAAGGUACAUCCUAAAGACAAUUUGGUACAUCAUUUAUAAAAUUUGGUACAUAUUUAAUAAAAUUUGGCAUAUCCUUAAAAAAAUUUUGUACAUCCAAUCCAUGAGCUACCAGGACCUCUAUAUUAUUACCCGUGGUUCGUUUAUUUCUUUAGGGAUCUUUAGGAAGUAAUUAAAGGUCAUUCCCUACUCCGAAACGAACUUUGGAACCCUAGGUAUAUCCUUAAGGAGAUUUGGUGCAUCGUUAAGAAAUUUUGGUACAUCCAAUCCUCGGGCUAUCGAGACCCCUAUCUAUCUUCUGAUGGUCCAUAUUAUCCUUUGAGGAUCCUUAGGUAGUGAUUGAAGGUCAUUACCCACAUCAAAAUGAACUUUGGCACUUUUGGUACAUCCUUUACAAAAUUUGGUACAUCCUUAAAAAUAUUUGGUACAUGCUUAAGCUAUUGAAACCUCUAUCUUAUUACCCAUGGUCUGUUUAUUCCUUUAAGGAUCUCUGGGAAGUGAUUGGAGAUCAUUCCCUACUCCGAAAUGGACUUUGGAACCCUAGGUACAUCAUUGAGAAAAUUUGAUACAUCAAAUCCUUGAGCUAACGGAACACUUAUCUCCAUUUCCAUAGUCCAUUUUUUCCUUUGGAGACCCUUAGGAAGUUAUUGAAGGUCGUUCCCUACCUCAUAAUGGACUUUGGAAACAUUGGUACAUCAUUUACAAAAUUUGGUACAUUCUUCACAAAAUUUGGUACAUUAUGAAGGAUGUAUCAAAUUUUGUUAAGAAUGUACCAAAGGUUCCAAAGUGCAUUCCAAGGUGGGGAUCGGCCCCUAAUCACUUCCUUAUGGGUUCCAAAAUGAAAUCAUGUACCAUCCAUGUUCAAAUGGGGGACCUGAAAACAAUAAGAUCGAAUGAACCAAAUUUAAUGAAGGAUGUACCAAAUUUUGUGAAGUUUGUACCAAGCGUUCCAAAGUGCGUUCCGAGGUGGGGAUCGGCCCCUAAUAACUUCCUUAUGGGUUCCAAAAUGAAAUCAUGGAUCAUUCAUGUUCAGAUGGUGGUCCUAGAAACAAUAGGAUCGGAUGUACCAAAUUUAAUGAAAGAUGUACCAAAUUUUGUGAAGGACGUACCAAGGGUUCCAAAGUGCGUUCCGAGGUAAGAAUCGGCCCCCAAUCAGUUCCUUAUGGGUUCCAAAAUGAAAUCAUGAACCAUCCAUGUUCUGAUGGGGGACCCGGAAGCAAUAGGAUCGGAUGUACCAAAUUUAAUGAAAGAUAUACAAAAUUUUGUGAAGGGUGUAUCAAAUUUUGUCAAGGAUGUACCAAGGGUUCCAAAGUGUGUUCUGAGGUGGGGAUCAACCCCCAAUCACUUCCUUAUGGGUUCCAAAAUGAAAUCAUGGAUCAUCCAUGUUCAGAUGGGGGACUUGUAAACAAUAGGAUCGGAUGUACCAAAUUUAAUGAAGGAUGUACCAAAUUUUAUGAAGGAUGUACCAAACGUUCCAAAGUGCGUUCCGAGGUAGGGAUCAACCCCCAAUCACUUCCUUAUGGGUUCCAAAAUGAAAUCAUGGAUCAUCCAUGUUCAAAUGGGGGUCUCAGAAACAAUAAGAUCGGAUGUACCAAAUUUAAUGAAGGAUGUACCAAAUUUUGUGAAGGAUGUACCAAGGGUUCCAAAGUGCGUUCCAAGGUGGCAAUUGGCUCCCAAUCACUUCCUUAUGGGUUCCAAAGUGAAAUCAUGGACCAUCCAUGUUCAGAUGGGGAACCCGAAAAUAAUAGGACCUAAUGUACCAAAUUUAAUGAAGGGUGCACCCCUACUUUGCCUUCUGCAUGUAGCAUAGUAAUAUAAUGUCAUUCACACAUAGGCAUUCCUUUCAAAUGGAAGGUGCACCCCUAGAUUGCCUUCUGCACAUAACAUACAAAACUAAUGUUAUUGUAUAAAAAAAUUCCUUUGAUUCUAAGGGUAUAAUGUAAAUGUUCGAAUGUCUUCCCAAGGUGUUAAUGGGUCAACCUCCCUUUUACUGACUCCUCACAUAACACGAAUCAAAUCCCCACCUCAACGAUUUGGCACAUUCUUCACAAAAUUUGGUACAUCCUUCAUUGAAUUUGGUACAUCCAAUCCUAUCGCUUUCGAGACCACCAUCUGAACAUGAAUGAUCCAUGAUUUCAUUUUGAAACCCAUAAGGAAGUUAUUGGGGGCCGAUCCCCACCUCGGAAUGCACUUUGGAACCUUUGGUACAUCCUUCACAAAAUUUGGUACAUCCUUCAUUAAAUUUGGUACAUCCGAUCUUAUCACUUUCGGGAUCCCCAUCUGAACAUGGAUUGUCCAUAAUUUCAUUUAGAAACCCAUAAGAAAGUGAUUGGGGGCCGAUCCCCACCUCGGAAAGCACUUUGGAACCCUUGGUCCGUCCUUCCCAAAAUUUGGUACAUCCGAUCCUAUUGCUUAUGGGACCCCUAUCUGAACAUGGAUGGUCCAUGAUUUCAUUUUGGAAUCCAUAAGGAAGUGAUUGGGGGUUGAUCCCUACCUCAGAACGCACUUUGGAACGCUUGGUACAUCAUUCACAAAAUUUGGUACAUUCUUCAUUAAAUUUGGUAUAUCCAAUCCUAUCGUUUUCAAGUCCCCCAUCUAAACAUGGAUGGUCCAUGAUUUCAAUUUGGAACCCAUAAGGAAGUGAUUGGGGGUUGAUCCCCACCUUGGAAUGCACUUUGGAACCCUUGGUACAUCCUUCACAAAAUUUGGUACAACCUUCAUUAAAUUUGGUACAUCCGAUACUAUUGCUUUCGCGACCCCCAUUUGAACAUGGAUGGUCCAUGAUUUCUUUUUGGAACCCAUAAGGAAGUGAUUGGGGGUCGAUCCCCACCUCGGAACACACUUUGGAGCCGUUGGUACAUCGUUCACAAAAUUUGGUACAUCCUUCACAAAAUUUGGUAGAUCCUUCAUUAAAUUUGGUACAUCCGAUCCUAUUGCUUCCGAGACUCCCAUCUAAACAUGGAUGAUCCAUAAUUUCAUUUUGGAACCCAUAAAAAAGUGAUUAGGGGCCGAUCCUCACGUUGGAAUGCACUUUGGAACCCUUGGCACAUCCUUCACAAAAUUUGGUACAUCCUUCAUUAAAUUUGGUACAUCCGAUCUUAUUGUUUCCAUGACCCCCAUCUGAACAUGGAUGGUCCGUGAUUUCAUUUUGGAACCCAUAAGGAAGUUAUUGGGGGUCGAUCCCUACCUCAGAACGUACUUUCGAAUGCUUGGUACAUCCUUCACAAAAUUUGGUACAACCUUCAUUAAAUUUGGUACAUCUGAUCCUUUUGUUUCCGGGUCCCCCAUUUGAACAUGGAUGGUCCAUGAUUUCAUUUUGGAACCCAUAGGGAAGUGAUUGGGGGUUGAUCCCCACCUUGGAAUGCACUCUGGAAUCCUUGGUACAUUCUUCACAAAAUUUGGUACAUCUUUCAUUAAAUUUGGUACAUCCGAUGUUUUUGCUUUUGGGACCCCCAUCUAAACAUGGAUGGUCCAUGAUUUUAUUUUGGAACCCAGAAGGAAGUGAUUGGAGGCCGAUCCCCACCUUGGAAAUCAUUUUGGAACCCUUGGUACAUCCUUCACAAAAUUUGGUAAAUCCUUCUAUUGCUUUCGGGUUCCCCAUCUGAACAUGGAUGGUCUAUGAUUUCAUUUUGGAACCCAUAAGGAAGUGAUUAGGGGCCGAUCCCCACCUUGUAACGUAGCUUGGAACGCUUGGUACAUCUUUUACAAAAUUUGGUACAUUCUUCAUUAAAUUUGGUACAUCCGAUCCUAUUGUUUUCGGGAUCCCCAUCUAAACAUGGAUGGUCCAUGAUUUCAUUUUGGAAGCCAUAAGGAAGUGAUUUGGGGCCGAUCCCCACCUCAGAACGCACUUUGGAACCCUUGGUACACCCUUCCCAAAAUUUGGUACAUUCUUCAUUAAAUUUGGUACAUUCAAUCCUAUUAUUUCCGGGACCCCUAUCUGAACAUGGAUGGUCCAUGAUUUCAUUUUGGAAGCCAUAAGGAAAUGAAUGGGGGCCGAUCCCCACCUCAUAACGCACUUUGGAACGCUUGGUACAUCCUUCAUUAAAUUUGGUACAUCCGAUCCUAUUGUUUUCGGGUCCCCCAAUUGAACAUGGAUGGUACAUGAUUUCAUUUUGGAACCCAUAAGGAAGUGAUUGGGGGUCGAUCCCCACCUUGGAAUGCACUUUGGAACUCUUGGUACAUCGUUCACAAAAUUUGGUACAUCCUUCAUAAUGUACCAAAUUUUGUGAAGGAUGUACCAAAUUUUGUAAAUGAUGUACCCAAUUUUUGAAAUGAUGUACCAAUGUUGCCAAAGUCCGUUAUGAGGUUGGGAAUGACCUUUAAUAACUUCCUGAGAGUCUCCAAAGAAAGAAAUGGACUAUGGAAAUGGAGAUAAGUGUUCCAUUAGCUCAAGGAUUGGAUGUAUCGAAUUUUCUCAAUGAUGUACCUAGGGUUCCAAAGUCCAUUUUAGUGUAGGAAACAAUCUCCAAUCACUUCCCAAAGAUCCCUAAAGGAAUAAACGGACCAUGGGUAAUAAGAUAGACGUUUCAAUAGCUCAAGUAUGUACCAAAUAUUUUUAAGGAUGUACCAAAUUUUGUAAAGGAUAUACCAAGGUGCCAAAGUUCGUUCCGAUGUGGGGAAUGACCUUCAAUCACUACCUAAGGGUCUUCAAAGCACUAGAAGAAAAAAGGUCAUUGUUGACAUAUAUUAUCUUGACUUAAGGUGAUAUGUGUCAAUAUUGCCUAAUUAAAUGAACAACUAUGACAUAUACAACUUGUUUAAACCAAUAAUGACAUAUAUAAAAUUUUGUUGAAUUCUUUUAUGACUUAUAUAAUAGAAUCUUGACAGAUAAUUUAUGAGUCAAUGUAUAGUUAGUAUCUUCAUAUGUCAAGGUACUUAUAUAAUGUGGCUAGCUUGACAUAAAAUCAAAAGUCAAGGUACGAUUUUAAACAUAUAUGCCAUUUUAAUUCUAGUAAAAUGAUCUUAAAUGACCUAUGGAUUAUAAGUCAAGAUAUCAUGUUAUAAUUACUUGUCAAGGUUCCCUGUGGUAUUUACAAAGAACACUCCUCAUUUUCUCAAAACCCGAUAUUCAUUUUGAGAGCUUAGGGUUUGAAACUUUUUGCUCUAAACCAAGGAUGAAAAUAUCGGUAAUUACGAAUAUAUCAAUACUUCGAUAUUACAGAUAUAUCAAAAAUAUCGGAAAAAUAUCGGUGGAUAUUUUUUUACAAAUAUCGGUGGAGCGAAAAUUAUUUAAAAUUUAUAGGAAUGCUUGGAAAAACUCCAAAAAAUGAUAAAAUAAGUAAGAAUUCAUAUUUUAAAGUUAUUUUGUAAAUAUAAUUGAUAUAAAUAUAUCAAAAACAAAAACAUCCGUAGAUAGAGAUAUAUCAAUAAAUUUGAUAUUUGAAUUUUAAGAAUAAUAAAUAUGAAUUUUGGAAGUUUAUAAAGUUAGAAUUGAGUUAAGAAAUAUUUGACUUUAUUGAAUAAAAAUAAUUUAUAUAUAAAUAUAAUACAUAUGACAUUGCAAUAGUCUUAGUAUCAAAAUGAAGAUUGAUGUGGUUCCACCAUAUUGUUAGAUGAAGGGAGCCCAUCUUGUUGAAGACAAUAUUUAUUUAAAAAUUUUUAAAAUAUUUUUAUUAAAACACGUUUUAUUAUAUUUUAAAUGAAAAAUUAAAUUAAUUUAUAUAAAAUAUUUUAUUUGAGAUUUAAUUUCUAAAAUUUUAUUAAAAAUAUGUGGUAACAACUUUUUCUAUUAAUAUUAAUUUAUUUAAAUAAUUAAGAUUAUUAAUAAUUUAUUUUAUCAAAUUAAUUUUAAUUCAUAAAAUAUCAUCCAUAAAAACGGAAAUUUCAAUGUGAUUUAAUCAAAAUAAAGAUGGGUAACUAAUAAUUAUUUAUAUAGAGAGAGGAAACUUGUUCUCAUUUUUUAUUAUUUUUAUCUCUACUAACUAUAAAAAUCAAAAGGGCCACCGCUUCUCUCACUUGGGGCCUCGGGCAUCAAGAAGCCCUUUUCUAAAGUUGCUCUCGAGACGAGAGAAUCCGCCCUUCUCUGUGACUCUCAAUCCUCAUAGGUACUAAUUAUCGUUUUUUUUUUUUGCAACCCCCGUUUGAUUCCCAAGAAAAUCCAUUCCCCAUUCGAUUUUUGGGAAAAUUCAUCCUUGUUUGAUUUUCGAGAAAAUCCAUGCAAAACCCCUAAGGAAAACCACAAAAAUUGCUUUGUUUUUUUUUUGCUCCCUGUGUUUUCUCUUUGCAAAACCCCCAUUUGAUUCCUAAGAAAAUCCAUCCCCCAUUCGAUUUCCGGCAAAGUUCAUCCUCGUUCGAUUUCCGAGAAAAUCCAUGCAAAACCCCUAAGGAAAACAAAAAAAAUUGCAUUUUUUUUUGCUUCCUGUGUUUUCUCUUUGCAAAACCCCCAUUUGAUUCCUAAUAAAAUCCUUUCCUCAUUCGAUUUAUGGGAAAAUUCAUCAUCGUUUGAUUUCCGAUAAAAUCCAUGUAAAACCCUUAAGGAAAACAAAAAAAAAUUGCUUUUUUUUCUUUGCUCCCUAUGUUUUCUCUUUGCAAAACCCCCGUUUGAUUCCCAAGAAAAUCCAUUCCCCAUUUGAUUUACAAGAAAAUUCAUCCUCGUUUGAUUUCCGAGAAAAUCCAUGCAAAACCCCCAAAGAAAACCGAAAAAAUUGUUUUUUUAUUUUUUUUUUUGCUCCUUGUGUUUUUUUGGAUCUGUUCUAGGGGUCUCUUUUGCUUUUGUGCCAUUGGAUUUAAAUUUCACGAACCCCAAAUCCACUAUUUUUGAGCCAGGCUAAAAAACACAACUUUUGCCUGCAAAUCAUGAUUAGAUUACCAAAUAGCAUCUUAUGUUUUUUUUUUUUUUUUUUUAAAAAAAAAAAAAACUAGACAGAUUUUGUAUCCUAUGUGCGGGCUGGACUAGUGGGAAAUAUUGGGAAAUUUCUUGAAAAAUCGGUAAAAAUACCGAUAAAUACAUGUUUGUUGGGUUUCAAAUCAAAUGGGUUCUUCUUCUCUAGGCACUUAAUUUUGUGGCUUUGAAUGGGUCUUUGCCUCUUUCAAUCGAUUAAAUGAAGGUGUGGAAAUGGUAAUAUUUCAUCUUUUUAUUUGUUCUUGUUAGUUAAAUUCUAAUAAUCUAUUUUCCUAUUUUGGUCAUGUAGAACAUCAUUGAAUCAAGAUUAUGUUGAUUUUGGUUUCACCUACAUUAACCUUGAGAUAAAAAACCUCAAAUUUUCCACAUAUUAGAUCUUUAGUUACUGGGUAUGUUCUGGUUUGCUUUGUGAUUUAUUGAAGAAAAAGUGUGGAUUGUGUGAUGGUUGAAAUAUUUAGUUAUUGGGGUUUUUUGGUUCUGAGUCUCAAAUGGACUUGUCAAGUUGUAAGCAUUUGAGAUUCUUUGGCUACCAUUUGAAUUCUAGACAUACAAAUGUCUUGCUCUGGUUUUUGGUUUUUAGAGUUGUUUUGCUCCCCACAUUCUUUGGCUUUGGUGGGGUUGUUCAUAACAACUUUUUGGUGAUCAACAAUAGUUCAUUAUCCUCAAAUUCCAAGCUCCAAAUGUGGAAAGACAAGUUCUUGGAGGUUCCUUAGAUUUUAUAAGGAUAAGUUCUUUUUGUAUAGAAAAAUAAUUAUAAAAAAAACCUUAAAUGAGUAGUUUUAGAUGAAACCAGAUAUAGUUUGCAUUUACAUAAAUUUGGAGUUGUUAUACUUCUUGCUAAAUUUGUUCAUUUAUUUUUCCUAUCCUCAUUCAAUAUGAUGUCAUAUUUAUUUUUUUUCAUGUACCUUUCUAUAGAGCUUGGUAAACUAUAGUUGGUUGUAUUGUCAUUUUUUUCUUGGUCUUUCUAAGCAACCAAAUGAAGCAUUUGUGCAUGAUUUGUAGGCUAUCUUUGACUUGUAUAGUUUGAUGGAAACCUUGGACAUUUCAGGGAAAGUGUUAGGUUAAAAAAUCGUAAUAAUGAUCUAAAGAGUUAAAUAUCUUGGUUGAAGUUGGAUCAAAACAAUAACUUCAUUAGGUUAAAAUGAUUUAUGUUUUAGGUUUUGCUCCUAGGUUUAGCCUUCAUAUGUUUUUGCUAUAUCAAUAUUUUAAUAUUUGAGAGUUGGUUUGUUUACCUGUGUUAUUAAGAAAUAAUCUAUUAUUGUCUAAUAAAGGUGUAGUGUCUAGCUUGCUAUUAAAAUUCUUCAUAAAGCUUGAUAUUUGAUUGCUCCUCAUUAUACAUUUUUCUUUUUAAUUUGUUAAUAUGCUCUAUAUUUUUUGCUACAGAUUCAAAGUUUGGGUGUUGGAAAUUUAAGGUUUUCCUAUAAAGUAAUGCUUCAAGAUGGAGGCAAGAGACUUGGUUGUAGAUAUAUACAUGAGCAACUUAAUUUAAGUUUAUGUAUAUUGUCUUAUAGUAUGUUUUUAAUUUCGUUGUAUAUUAUAUGAGUUUCUUCUAUAUAGAGAAAUUGGGGACAACUUUAAACAAGUUCAUUGAUUUGUGCUUUAAUUAAUAAUUAAAUGCAUAUUAAAUAUGUUUUGAUUAUAUAUAAAAUCAUGAUAAUUUGAUUGUCAUUAUCAUUCUUAAAUAAUAUCAAAUUGAUUGUACAUGGCAACAGGUUCAAUUUUUCAUAUUAAAAAAUAAUUUUAAAAUUUUUUGAGGGGAACCUUGACAGUUGUACUUAUUCCCUACAUUGACAUAUAUAAGCCAAUUAUGAUAUAUAUAAAAUCUAACCUUGACAUAUGUAUCUAAAAGCCUUGAUAUAUGUGGGGUUAAUCAUGACAUAUAUGAUACCUAACCUUGACAUUUGUUGGACUAAUCUUAACAAAAGAGUGAGUUAACAUUGACAUAAGAUUAAGUAAUCUUGAUAUAAGUUGAAUCCAACCUUAACAUAUAUGAAAGAAAUAUUGACAUAUCAUAUACUAAUAAGAUUUCAUCAUUUGUAAAAAUAGAGAAAAUCUUAACAUAUGUAUAUGUCAAGUUACCUUUAAACUUUUCUUGUCACUAGCAUAGAUAACAUAUAUGAACAAUAACCUACCUUCACAGAUAUACCUUACAUUGACAGUGAAAAACUGUCAACGAAGGCUUUUUUAAUUUCUUGUAGUGAAGGAUAAUAUGGACCAUGGGAAGAUAGAUAGGGGUCUCGAUAGCCCAAUGAUUGGAUGUACCAAAAUUUCUUAACAAUGUACCAAAUUUCCUUAAGGAUGUACCUAGGGUUCAAAAGUUCGUUUUGGAGUAGGGAACGACCUCUAAUUACUUCCUAAAGAUCCCUAAAGAAAUAAACGAACCACGGGUAAUAAUAUAGAGGUCUUGGUAGCUCAUGGAUUGGAUGUACAAAAUUGUUUUAAGGAUAUGCCAAAUUUUAUGAAUUAUGUACCAAACUUUAUAAAUGAUUUACCAAAUUGUCUUUAGGAUGUAUCUUAGGUUCCAAUGUUCGUUUUAGGGUGGGGAAUAACCUCUAAUUCUUUCUCAAGGGUCUCUAAAGGAAUAUAUGAACCAUGGAAAUGAAAAUAGGGGUCUUGGUUCCUCUAAGAAUGGAUAUACUAGGAUCCCAAAGUUCUUUUUGGGAUGGGCAAUUGAGGGUCCCAAAGGAAUAUAUACACCAUGAUAAAUAUGAUAGUGUUUCCGGUUUUCCUAAGCAUUAAUUUACCUAUUAUUUUUAAGGAUGUACCUAUUUUUUAUGAAAUUAAUAUAUAAAGUUAAAUACAAUUUUUUAUGAAAAAUAUGUUUUCUUUUAUAUUUUAUUUUAAUUCAAAAUUAAAGAUUUUAACCAAAAAAAGUUAGAUCCAUUUAAAAUUAUAAGAAAAAUGAUAAAAACACCAUCACUUAUUGUGAUUUUGAUAUGAUAAAUUUAAAAUGAAAAUUAAAAGAAAAAUAAUGUAAAUAAUAAAAUAGUGUUACAAUGAUAUUUUUACUUUUACAUGUGAUGGAAUUUACAAAAUAAAUAAAUCUUUUGUUUAGUAUUAAUAUAAAAAAUCUUAUAUCAUAAACUUCUAAGUAAUAAAAUGAAAAUUUUAAAUUUAAACCUUAAUUUAUAAAAUGUAUUAUUAUAAUUAAUAUUUAAAAUCAUUACUAUUUGUGGGAUAAUAUUUUCAUUUUUGUCCAUUAUAUAUUUUGUUUUUAUUUAAUUUGUUAUAUUAAUUAUUUAUUAUAUAUUAUCAUUUUAAGUUUAAUAUGUCAAAAAAAUAAUUAAAAUCAAUAAAUAUAGACAAAUUAGAGAGCAAAAAUAAAUUUAAAUUAAAGAAGUUUUAUGAGAAAAUGCACGACCAUAUUAAAAAGAAUAUACAAGAAAAAAAUGAUAAAAAUUAUAAUAGGUGACAAUGGAUUAUGGUGGCAGAAGAGGAAAAAAAAAAGAAAAAAGAAAAAAGUGGAAACGUAACAAGUGGUAAGGGAGAUAUAUUGAUGUGAGAAAAAUAAUAAAAAUAAAUAACACAUGUACUUGUUAACAGGUGGUAUUAAAUUGGUGUGUACUUUGUCAUUUACUUUUGAGGGUAAUUGUAAAAAAAAUUUGAAAGCAUUAUUGGAGUGCAUGAAUAAAUAAUAUUUUUUUUUCCCAUUUUAUACCAAAAUUAAAAAGAAAUAAGUAAAGUUCCAAAAUCUCAUAUUUUUUGUAGUUGGUGUAUGGUUAGAUGAUUUCCUCCCUUUUUUUUUUCUUUCUAAGAUGGUUUCCUUUUCCUUGAUUUUUUUUUUCUUUUUUAAUUGCCUCUUUGGGUUAUUUGAUUACAUGCAUUUUUGGGUGCGAUUUCUUGUGUAGAUGCUGUAGGUUGUUCAUUAGUGGGCUUCUUUAUUAUAUACGAUUAUAAAGUCCAGUAGUGAGUAUAAUAGUCGUUAUCCUUGCCUUUUUGUGAGCUAUUAUUUCAGAACAAUGCUCCAAAAUUUGGGACCAGACCCAGAUAUAUUCCGUACUAUGAAUGGUGUUUGUCUUCUGUGCCUUUGAAAUUUUAGUUAUAUACCUAAGAAGGGACGAACUAAUUAAUUUUAGUUAAAAAUUAAAGGUCUAAACGCUGUGUUCGGAAUUGACCUACAAAAUUUCUUCUUUUCACACGGUAUUUAAACUCUAGAAUUUUGGAAUUGCAUUUAAGAAUUCAAAUGAGAUCCUUCUAUUAACCUAGUCGUGCACCAGGAAAGCACGUGCUUCCGUCCAACAGUAUCCUAAUUAUAUUGCAUGUUGAUGCUUGUGCCCCUUAGUAGUUGACUUUGGAGGGAAUUCGGAAUAUCUUAAGAUUUACUUAGAGUAUGUUUGAUAGUAAUUUUAAGAAGUAUUUUCAACAUUUAUAAUAAUUGAAAAUUUUCAUUCUUCAAGUAUUAAAAAUAUUAUAAAUACUUCUAUAAUUAUUGCUAAACGCACUCUUAAUGGAGGGGCAGAAGGCAGCUACUGGUGCACUUGGGCUAUCCGCAGACUUUGAUGCUAAUCUUCCAAAAAUCACUGUUAGUUUAUUGUCCUUUAUAUUUUGUGAAGUUGAAAAUCUAGCAAUUAACCACCAUCGAUUAACAUAGAGCCUCAUAACUAAUAGAAUUUAUAAUUUUAAUUACCCAAAAAAAGGGCCAUUUGCAGAUGUAGUUAGACCUAGCUCAUUUAUGCAGAAUAUUGCUACAAAGGCAUCAACAGUUGUCUUGGAGCUCUUAGCAAUAAGAUGGAAGUUCUAGCCUUCCUUUUAGUGAAAGAAUGAGACAGCAUUAUCAAAUUAAAAAUCAAUUUAACCCCAUAUAGUAGUCUUCCCACAAUGGUUAUAAACCAUUAUUUUCUUGUAUCUUUUGGAAUAGUGUAGAAUAAUGAUUUGAUAUUGGGUGUUCAUCAGUCUAAUAUAUGGAGAUGGAUUUAGGUUAUGAUGUUGGCCUAGCUAAUUAAUUUGCUAGUUUGCUUUGUUAAUGAAUUCAGCCCUUUGUUAAGAGAAUUGCAAUCUCCGUUACUCGGAAUAUCCAAAGAGAGAAACAAGGUCUAAUUGAAGAACAAGAAAGGUACAACUUAUUAAUAGGCCGGGCAUGAUCCAUGCUAAACCUCACAUGAUGGAGCAAUUAGGUUCAUCUGCGUAGCCCAUGCUAGCAAUUAAAACCUGUUGGCUUUGACAACAAGUCUUCGGAGCUGGCUUCGGAUCUGGCUUUGGCUUUUCCUUUACUUCUUCCACGCUUACAAUAGUCGCAUACCCAAGCUUCUUCCCCAGGCAGUGGGUCAAGCUAGCUGAAUCAACUCCGUCUCCAAUCACCACAACCCGAUCUUUUUCUGCUCCUUCUAUAGCCACUGAGAUCACACCUGUCACAUAAUCACAAAAGCCCAAAAAUGGAUCGACUGGGACUAUGAAUAAAUGAUUUGAAAUAACAAGGCUUUAUACUUUCUGUGAACUUCUUGUGGAAAGAAGAAAAAUAGUGUUGAAAUGUGUAUCAUACCUUCUUCAACUGCAGCAAUCUUCAUGGCUUUGGCUCUGCAUUUGUCACAGUUCAUUUGCACUUUCACAAUUAUCUUUUGCUACACCAUCACACAAGGAACAUAUCCAAAUCUGUUAUAGCUAUAAUUUCACAUGCUUCUUUUUGGAUCCAGCUAGAACAGAUUAAGCUACACAAUAAACAAAAAGCAUCAAUGGAGUUCCAGAUCAAAAGGCUCACCUUCAUGUUUUGUACUAGGCGAACACAAGGCAACUUUUCUGAAUCUCUGACUGAAUCUCUGUGAACUUAAUUGGCAAUGAUGCCGAAGGGGAAGACUGACUUCCUCUUAUAUAUGAGAGUUUCAGGGCAGACUUCUUCUGUUUAACUUCGAAUACAGCCAGAUCUAUUCAUAAUAACUUUUGAGAUUUAGACAGUGUAUCUGACCAUCUCAACACUGCAGUUCUAUAGACUAAGUCAAUAUUCAUCCAGCAUGUGCAAGUAAUUUUCAAGGCUGUUUUGUGGUAUGUUCUUACCUGAUUAAUUUAUUCCCCGCCAGCUUGCAAUUCAUGAAAAUUCAAUGCCCACCAGUAACUUUUAUCAAGAAAAUCAAACUUACUAGAAGCUAAAUUAGAGUCGGUGAUUUUAAAAAGUGUUUUUAAGAUUUUUAACACUUUAAAAUUUUUAUCAUUUAAAUCUUAGAAAUGUUGAAAACAUUUUCUAAAAUCAAUACCAAACGUACUCUUCAUUGAAUUUCUUUAACAAUUGUAUAUUUCUGCAAUCCAUAUUGUACAUUUAUGCAGCAAAUUGUCUCGGGCUAUGUUUGAUUUCUAGAAAAUUUAAGAGAAAAAAGCAAGAGAAAGACAAAAAAGAGAAAGAAAAUAAAAAAUAAAUUUAAAGUUAGUAAAUUAUUUUUAUAUAUUACUUAAAACUUAUUUAAUUUAUUUUAAUUUUUCUAUAUAAAAAAUAAAUAAUUUGAAAAUAUAUAAAUUUUUAACUAAUUUGAAUUAUAUUCGAUCUUCUUUCCUAUUUUUCAUAAUAAAACAAAAUAUGAGAAAAUCAUUUUACUUUAAUUUUUUUUUCUUAAUUUCUUUGAUACUUUCAAAACCCAAAGAUAACCAAGUUUUACAUUUUUUCUUCGGUCAUUUAAAAAAAAAAAGUAAUAAGUAAAAGAAAAAUUUUUAAAAAACAUUUAAAGCAUUCUGAAAGCAAAUUGUAUUCGGUAUUAAACUAAAAAAACAAGCAUCAUAUUAAUCUUCUCUUUUAUUAGUUGUAUGUUGACAAGGCUACUCUUCUUUUCAUGAUUUUGACUAGUUUAAUAUAUACUUUUAGAAAUACUAAUAAGUGGGUUGAUGGAGUUGUUAAAAGACACUUAAGGUGAGGUGCUUCUAGAAAAAACGGACUUAUGUUUUUCUUUUGUUUUUAAAAACCGAUGAAAACAACUCCUACUUGUUUUCUAAAAUUUUUUCUCUAUUUCACUUUGUUUUUAAAAAUUGUUUCUAGAGAACAACAACCAAGUAGUGUUAAAUUUUUUAAAACAGUUUUUUGUUUUAAAAAUUGAAAAUUGUUUUUAAACCGCACGACCAAACAGGCUCUACAUGACGCAAAUUUACUAUUUAAUUUUAGUAGUUAAAAGAUUCUUAUUUUUGACAAAGAAAGGAAAAGUAGAGAAUAGUCUUAGAACUUUAAGGUGAUUCACAAUUAGGGAUGAUGAAAUGGAAUCAGUCUUGAUAUGUAUGAAGAACAUCAACAUUAAAUUUGAAAAUAUUAACAAAUAAUUGCAAACAAUAAUGUAGAAAUAUGAGACAAAAAAAAUGGUUAGAGUUUUGUGACUUAGAUUCUUUUUCGUGUGACCUGAAAAGCUCGUGGUGCUAUAUAUAUGAUGAAACUAACAUUAUGAGACUUUUUGGGGGAUUUGUGGUGGUCGCAAAGGGGUCAGGCCUAUGCAAGGGCUUGCCUUUGCGAAAAAUUGUAUAUAUGUGAUGAUGUAUAAUCUUAAGGUUAUGAUAAUUAUACUUCUAUCAUAGUUGCUCUAAACUCUCCCCUCUUGCACCAAUUUUUAACAUAGUGGAUCAUCUUCUCCUCUUCCUAUAGUGUUUUUCGUCUAGGGUUUUCCACAUAAAUCUAAAUAUAUAUAUAUAUAUAUAUUAUUGCCUAUUCUCAUUUGCACUUUGACAAUUAUCCUCUAUUGCACCAUCAUGCAAGGAACAUAUCCAAAUCUGUUAUAGCUAUAAUUUCAUAUGCUUCUUUUUAGAUCCAGUUAGAACAGCUUAAGCUACACAAUAAACAAAAAGCAUCAAUGGAGUUCCAGAUCAAAAGGCUCACCUUUCAUGUUUUUCACUAGGCGAACAUAACUCAAUUAACAAUGAUGAAGAAGGAGAAGAGACUGACUUCCUAAAUAUGAGAGGUUCAGGGCAAAAUUCUUCUGUUUGACUUCGAAUACAACCAGAUCUAUACAAUAAUAACUACUGAGAUUAGAUAACUUGUAUUUAACCAUCUCAACGAUGCGGUUCUAUAGACCAUAAGUCAAAUAUUAAUCCAACAUGCAGCAUGUGCAAGGAAUUUUUAAGCCUAUUAUUGGUAUGUUCUUACUUGAUUUUCGGCACCAGCUUGCAAUUCAUGAAAACACAAUGGCCAAUGACUUUUAUCAAGAAUGUGAAGAUAUGCAGAAUUGCAAAUGAAAAUAGAGGAGCACUUGAACGUGUAUUGAAGCAGAAAUUCUCCUUACAUUCAGAUGAAAUAAAAAUGUACAAGUGAGGUCUAUUUAUACACUUGAAAUGGAUCAAUAAAGCUGUUAAGUAUUGACAAUUGGCAUAACUAAUUUAACUGACAUUAGUUAGAUGAAUUCUGUUUGGCUACUUGUGAUUUUAACUCUAAUUCAUCUAUCAGAUUUUGGAUAUUCCAACCCCCCCUCAAGAUGAGAAUGAAUGUUUAUCAUUCCCAUCUUGCUGAUAAGAUGAUGAAAAUUGAGACAUUUGAGAGGUUUGGUCAAUAUAUCUGCGAGUUGAUGCUUGGAAGGAAUGUGGAUUAUUUUGAUCAAACCCUCUAGCAAUUUCUCUUUAACUAGAUGGCAAUCGAGCUGUAUAUGUUUUGUUCUUUCGUGGUGUACUGGGUUGGAAGCUAUUUCUGAAGCAGGUUUGCUGUCAGUAUAUAGCAGUGCUGGUUAAGGAUGCUUAACAUUCAAAUCAGCCAACAAAUAAACCAACCAUUGAAGCUCACAAGUUGUAGUGGCUAAAGCUCUGUAUUCAGCUUCUACCGAGGACCUACUUACAGUAGGUUGCUUAUUUGAUUUCCAAGAUAUAAGAGAGUCUCCUAUGAAAACUCUGAAACUAGUAACACUUUGCCUAGUGUCAAUGCAGCCACCCCAAUCACUAUUAGAAUAUGCCUUUAAAUGUAGAUCAGAUGAAGCCUUUAGGAAUAAACCUUAACCUGGUGUUGCCUUAAUGUAUCGAAGAACUCUUUCUGCAUCUUGUAAAUGUGUUGAAUGAGGAUUAGACAUAAACUGGCUGAGAGCUUGUAUUGCAUAUGCCAAGUCAGGUCUAGUGAUUGUUAAGUAAAGGAGUCUGCCAAUGAGUCUUCUGUAUGAUGCAGGAUCAGACAAUAAAGGACUUGAAUCAUUGGCAGUAAGUUUUAAACUUGAUUCCAUAGGAAAACCAACUGGUUUAGAGCCAGAGAAACCACUAUCUUUCAAUACAUCCAGAGCAUACUUUCGUUGAGACAACAUAAUACCUUUUGCUGAUCUGGCUACUUCAAUGCCUAAAAAAUAUUUCAGUUCACCUAAAUCUUUUAUAGUAAAAGAUUCAUGGAGAAACUUUUUCACAACAUCUAUUUCCUUGAGAUCAUUUGAAGCUAUUAUAACAUCAUCAACAUAGAUUAAUAGAGCAAUGAAACUAGUUGAUGUUUGUCUGAUAAAAAGGCUUGAAUCUGUCUUUGCUUGACUGAAACCAAACUUGAGUAAAGAUGAAGACAACUUUGAGUACCACUGCCUCGAAGCUUGUCUCAAACCAUAUAAACUCUUUUUGAGUUUACAAACCCGAGGGUCAUUUGGUGUUGAAAAACCUAGUGGCAAUUGCAUGUAGACCUCCUCAUUUAAGUCUCCAUGUAAGAAGGCAUUAUUCACAUCAAGUUGAUGUAAAUACCAUUGUUUAGUUGCUGCAAUAGCAAGAAACACUCUAACUGUUGUCAUAUUUGCAACAAGAGAGUAUGUGUCAAAAUAAUCAAGCCCCUCUUGUUGAGUGUAGCCCUUGGCUACAAGCCUGGCUUUGUACCUUUCUACACUUCCAUCCGCCUUAAAUUUCACUCGAUAUACCCACUUACAACCUAUAGCAAUUUUGUUUGGAGGUAAAAUUGCAAGAUCCCAAGUUUUAUUAUGCUCAAGAGCUUUUAUUUCAUCAGUCAUGGCAGUUUGCCAAUGAGGAAUUUAGACAGCUUGUUUGUAAGUUUUUGGUUCAAAAGUGGAUGAAAUAACAGAAAUGAAAGCUUUGUAUUUGGAGGAUAAUCUGGAAUCAGAUAAAAAAGAGAAUAUGCAUUAGGGCUUACCAGAUGAGGAGCAGCUUGAAGGUGCUUGAGUUGCUGAAUCAAUCUUAGUCAUAUUACCACAAUAGUAAUUCUACAAGUAUUUAGGUAAAUGCUUAGUUCUUUCAGACCUUCUAAGACUAUUAGCAUCAUUGUUUGCAUGAAUUGUAUUUUCAGGAAUUGAAAGUUCAAUAACAGAGGUUGGAUCAAUAGAAUUUGUAGAACCAAAAUUUAUAGAAACUGAGUUGUUUGGUUUGCAGGAUUUGGAUUCAUAUAUUUGGGGAAAAUCUGGAAAAACAAUAGGUUUGUGAAUUGUGUUUGGAAUAGAGGGAAAUGUAGAUUCAUGAAAAAGUACAUUCCGAGAAACAAAAGUUUUGAGAGUUGUUAAGUCAAGAACUUUGUAUCCUUUAAUAUUUGGUCGAUAACCAAGAAAAAUACAUUUUGUUGCUCUUGGCUAGAAUUUGCCUCGAUUGUUUGUGAUUGUACUAGCAAAGCAUAAACAACCGAAGACUUUGAAGUAAUUGUAGUUAGGUGGCUUUUGAAACAAUAAUUGAUAUGGUGUUUGAUUAUUUAGAAUGGAUGAUGAAGUACGAUUUAUCAGAUGUGUCGCUGUUAAUACACAAUCUGUCCAAUAGGAUAAGGGUAAUUUUGACUGAAACAUGAGAGAUCUAGCUACAUUCAAUAGGUGUUGAUGUUUUCUUUCAACCCUUACAUUUUGUUCAGGUGUUUCAACACAUGAUAAUUGAUGAAUAAUGCCAUGUUCUUAAUAGAAAGUAGGCAUAUUAAAUUCUUGACCAUUAUCUGAUCUAAGAGUUUGAAUAUUAGUGUUGAAAUGAGUGUGAACAUAAGCUAGAAAGUUGGUAAGUAUAGCUUGAGUUUCUGUUUUGGUUUUCAUUAAGAAUAACCAAGUGAAUCUUGUGAAAUCAUCAACAAUAGUUAGAAAGAAUUUGUAACUAGAAUAUGAAGGAAUGGAAAAAGGCCCCCAAAUGUCAAUGUGAACCAAUUGAAAGGCUUUAUUUGAUUGACUAUUUGAUAUAGGAAAUGGUAGCUUUUUCUGCUUAGCUAAUGGACAAAUCUCACAAACUUUGUUAUGAAUAACCUUUACAGAAGAAUCAGAACUAUUUAUGAGUUGUAUUUUUGCAUUUGGAAUAUGGCCUAAACGAAAAUGCCAUAGAUCAGAAUUAACAGUACAAGACUCAACUAAAGAACUAGAAGGUAAACCAAUUGAACUAGAAAGCAUUUCUUUAUUUUUUUGAGCAGAUAAUUGUUGAAGAUGGCAUAGACCAGAUUGAACUUCAGCAAGCCCAAUCAUCCUCCAUUUGCUAAGGUCCUGUAAGAUACAUUUGGAUUGAAGAAAAAAUAAUCCAAUUGAAUUAUCUUUAGUUAAUCUUGAUGCAGAAACAAGAUUGACAUUGAAAGAUGGAACAUAAAGAGCAUUGUGUAAAGUAAUAUCAGGUGAGAAUUUUACAGAUCCAGUGAAGAUAAUUGGAACUGUUUUUCCAUUUGGUAAAUGAACUUUGGAAGAUGUUUUAGGUAAAACAAUCGAGUCAAAUAGAAGGGGAGAAUAGAUCAUAUGAUCUGUUGCUCCUAUAUCAAGAAUCCAAGUAAACUGGUUCUUUGAUGAAGAAAUUGUAUUGUAGAAGAAGGAAUUACCUGAGAUGGAUGCAACAUUGGAAGUUGCAUUAAAAUUUGUGUUUGAGUUGGAAAGGCUAUUUGCUAGAGUAAGCAGAUUUUGGAUUUGUUCUUGAGAAAAAAUCAUGUUGGAAUUACUUGAAUUUUGCUCCAAAACAUUAGUAUUAUUUGCAGUGGGCAAUCUUUGAAAAUUUUUUGCUGCAGUUGGUGUAGAGUUGAAUCUUUUUCCUCUUGGUCCUUUCCAUCUAGGAGGAUAUCCAAUCAGCUGAAAACAUUUAUCAACUAAGUGACCUGAAUAACCACAAUGAGAGCAGAUUGCAUCAGACUUUCCUUUUUGCUUUGUGAAUUGAGUAUUACUUGUUGAAACAGUUCUUGAUGAUUGUUCAGCAACCAUUGCUUGUGAAUCAAUGGAAAUGCCAACUGCAUUAGUUAAUGAUCUUUGACUCUCUUCUUGUAAAAGUAGGGAGAAAACUCUGCUCAUAGAUGGUAAAGGAGAUUGCAGUAGCAAUUGACUUCUAAUUGCUGAAUAAGAAUCGUGAAGCCCCACAAGAAAUUUCAUUACAUAGUCUGAUUGUUGUCUAUCAGUCAAGUCCUUCAAAAUAUUACAUGAACAACGAUUAAGGUUCCCACAUCUGCAACUGGGAAUAGGACGGUAGCUAAUGUAUUCAUCCCAUAAAGCCUUGAAUUCACUGAAAUAUUCAGUGAUAGAUUUCGAAUUUUGAGAAAUGGAACUUAAGGAUUUUUCCAGGGAGAAAACCAUUGGUCCAUCACUUCUGAGAUAUCUGAUUUUCAGCUCCUCCUAGAUAUCAAAUGCAUUUGUGAAAUAGAGAAGACUACCACGGAUUUCUUUGGCAAUUGAAUUCAUUAGCCAAGACAGGACAAGAUUAUUGGCUCUUAGCCAAGCAACACGAAGAUGAGGAUCAUUAGUGAUCGGUUGAACCAAAGAACCAUCAACAAAUGCAAUUUUAUUUUUCACUGUUAAAGCAAUUGACAUAGAUUGACUCCAUGCAAUAUAAUUCUCACCAGUGAAUAUCUCGGAAACCAGAAGUGCACCAGGAUUAUCAAAUGGAUGUAAGUAAUAGCAGCUGGAUGAAUCAUCCGAAAGAUUCUGUACAGGUCCAUUUAAUGAAUGAGAGUUAGCCAUAGAAGCAUUUUCUUUCUCAGUCAUUGUGAAGUAACAAUCAACCAGGAAAGAUGAAGAAGAAUCAAGAAAGAUCAAGAGCAGCGGAAGAUAUCAAGCUCUGAUACCAUGUGAAGAUAUGCAGAAUUGCAAAGGAAAACAGAGGAGAAAACAGAAGGUGUAUUGAAGCAGAAAUUCUCCUUACAUUCAGAUGAAAUAAAAAUGUACAAGUGAGGUUUAUUUAUACACUUGAAAUGGAUCAAUAAAGCUGUUAAGUAUUGACAACUGGCAUAACUAAUUUAAUUGACAUUAGUUAGAUGAAUUCUGUUUGGCUACUUGUGAUUUUAACUCUAAUUCAUCUAUCAGAUUUUGGAUAUUCCAACAAAGAAAAUCAAACUUACAAGAACCUAAAUUAAUUGAACUUUUUUAACUACCAAAAUCUUAAGCAUAUUUCUGCAAUCCAUCUUCUACAUUUCUAGAGCGGAUUCUCUUUUGAUUUUCGGAAAAUUUAAGGAAAAGAAAAUAAAGAAGAAAAUAAUAAGGAAAGUAAAAAAUAGAUUUAAAAUUGAUAAAUUAUUUUUAUAUAUUAUUUUAAAUUCAUUUCAUUUAUUUUAAUUUUCCCACAUAAAAAAUAAACAUUUUGAAAAUAUAUAAAAAUUUAACUAAUUUUAGUUUUAUUUAAUCUUUUUUCUAUUUUUGAUAGUAAAAGAUGAAAAAAAUCAUUUCCUUUAAUAUUUUUUUCUUAAUUCCUUUAAUACUUUCAAUAACCAAUAAAAACCUUUGCAUGCCUUUUGAUGUCUCCAAAAGAGUUUCACAUCUUACUAGUAAUUUCUCAAAUCUCUAGAUGCACAUUUUCAUGUAGAGAAAAAUGGAGAACAGAAAAGGCUGCAUUUCGACUGAGGAAUGGCAACAGAGAACCAAUCAACAUAUGAACCUCCAAAUGUUGUGUUUUACUACAGAGCCUACUAGAAAGCACUGUUUUUUUUUUUUUUAACUUAAAUCUAAAUAAAAAUUAAUUUAACUUAAUUUUAUAUACAUAUAUAAAUAUUAAGUUAUUUAUUUAUUUAAUAUUUUAUUUCCAUUAAACAUUAACCAUUAAUAAAUAAGAUGAGAGUCAUGUUAAGAUUAUGUUUUGCCGGUUAAAUGUACUUUGUCUAGCUGAUUAUUCUUCCAUAAUUAGGGUGCAUUAGGUGGUCCACUUUGAUUGAGGCUUUAAGCUUAUCCGAUAGGUACCCAAAAUUAAUGCUACCCCACUCCUGUCUACUCAAGCCUUGGGCCACGUUAUUAUGGCUUUUUUAAUAUUCUUCAAGUCAACUGUUUCACCUAUCUUAUUUUUGUCGUCUUCAUACAUAUUGGGUUCAUGGAAAGGUUGAAAAGGCCAAUCAAUCAUUUGAGUCAAAUGACUUCCCCUUGGACUAGGCUCUAAAUCAUAUGGUCGAAAAAGCCAUUUAGGGACCCAAAUAACCUUCGUUUUAGAUCCAAUUGGCCUCAAAAAUGAAACUUUGGUUCAUAUAAGUUUAUCAUUUAAGAUCAAAAUCUAGAAAAAAAAUAUAAAAAUUAGAAAAAAGUAUAAGAAUUUUUUAUCUUUCCAAAAAUGAUCUUUACUGACUAUAAAAAAAAGAGAGUAAAAAAUCAUUAAUUUAAAUUUUAUUUAUUUUGUAAACCUCAAUAAAAUUUAAUAUGAUUUAGUGAUUUAUAAAAAAAUACACAAUUUUUCAAAAAAAAGAAAAAUAAAUUAUUAUUAUUAUUAUUUAAAAAUCAAACAUAUUGAAAAAUAUAUAUUUUUAAAAUUGUAUAUAUAAAAAAUAAAUAAAAAUAUGUCAAAUUUAUUUUUUUUAAAUGAUAUAUUUUUAGAAUAUAUUUUUUAAAAUAUUAGUUUUCUAAAAGUAAUAAAAUUUUAAAAUAAUUAUUUAAAAAAAUUAAAAUAAAAAAGUUUGUUAAAUAUUAUAAAAAAAAAUAGUUUUGAAGAGUACAUCCGUCUUUAUAUUUUAUAUCCUCCCAUCAAUUAUAUAACUUAUAAUAAUAAAGCUUAAUUUUUGGGCAGGUCAUAACACAAUUGUCCCAAUUGAAGAUUGAAAUCCUGGUAGACAGGUGACAUUUAGUAUGGCGUGGCAGAAGUUGUCAUCCACCACCAUAAAGGUUAAUUUAUUUAACGUGGUGCCGUUUGAGAAAGUGCAUUGAUGUGGAGAUUGGUACGACAGGAAGGAGUGAAGCCUUAUUCACUGCUGAUGCUGGGUGGUCGGGUCACGGAUGUUAUUCACCUGAAACUGAAAGGGAGGUCUGUCUCCUAACUCACAUUAUCACACCUGCCCUCUUCCCUCUCCUCUUUCCCAAUUCCCAACCCAGACAGACCUAUUUUCCAAAUAAAAAUAUUUUGUUUAAUAUGGUGGUUUUUGAAACAAAUUUUUGUUUGCAAAGUCAAUUUUAUUUUUUAUCUAUUCAUUGUAUUAAUAAUUGUUCAUUAAAAUAUUAUUUGAAAAACGCUUAAAGAACAUCUCAAAUUUAUUUUCAAAAUUCAUCAUGGUUUUAAAAAUAAUUCCUGAAAAGCCAUUUUCAAUAUAAAAAUUAUCAUGUAUAUUUUUAUAGUUAAAAAUCAUAAUUCUUUUUUUUUUUUAACGAUAUCUCGGGUAAGCAUAAAUGAGAUUAACCUAGUUGAAUAUGAUUUAUCCGAUAUAAUAAUUGGUACAAAAAUUAAACAUAAUUUUUUUUUAAAAUAUUAGACAUAAUAUAUAUUUUAUUUUAAAAAUAUAUGAAAUAUCAGAAAAGAAUAAAAAAAAUAUUGUUAUAAAAUAUGUUAAAAUAUUAUAUUCCACCUCUUAAGUCUUUCCCAACAAUCACUGUGGAUGCCCAAAAUAGUCCACUUUAUUAUUAUUUAUUAUUUUUAUUUUUUGUGCUUUUAAUUCUCAUAUCAUAUUCAAAUAUGUUGUCGUUUGAAUACUUGGGGAGGUCGCUUCUAUCGUUCUUAAAGUCUAUGCAUCAGAAUUUGAAAUUUGACUCCAUUGUUUUACUUUUAAUAAAGUAAAAAUAUGAGUCAUGGAUGUAUUAGGCAAAAAUUUCGCUUGAGGGGAGGAGAGGGAUAGGGGAAGGUGGUACAUGAGGGCAAUGCCAUUAAACUAUCAUUUCAACACAAAUUAAUUAUUCUAUAUAUAUAUUAUUUUAAUUUGAAAAUUAAUGAUUAAAAAGAUUAAGCACAUUAUAGCUCUCUGGCCCUGGCUAUGUCCACGGCUUGGCCGGGCUUUCCAAUGCCGCCGCCAACGCUUGUUCUAUGGUGAUGAUUUCUGGCGCUUGCAACUUCCAAGAGCUUGAUAAGGUGGCCGCCAUCGAGCCUUUCUCCAAGUUUUGUGCAAAAGCCACUGAUAUUUCCCAGAUACCUAAGAGCCUUUUUAAAGUCCCAGAUCAAGCUCUUUUUGGUCGGCCCGGUGGUUGUUACUUGGAUCUUCCAAAUGAUAUUCUCCACCAAACUGUUUCUCAACCCGAGGUCGAGAGUCUGUUGGAUGCUACUGAGGACAAAGCCACAAUUGUGUCAUCCAAUAAUUGUUGUUCUUUUCUAGUUUUCAUAAUAAAACAAGGGAAAAUCAUCUAAUCAUACACCAGCUACAAAAAAUAUGAGAUUUUGGAAUUUUACUUUUUUCUUUUUAAUUUUGGUGUAAAAUGGGAAAAAAUAUUGUCUAUUCAUGCACUCUAAUAGUGCUUUGAAAUUUGUUCCACAAUUACCCUCAAAAGUAAAUGGGAAAAUUCUAGGGUACCUCCUCGAUACCUACCCAAAAAGCUUUUCAAGUCAUUGGAUGUCCAAGAUUACAUCUUGGCCAUCCAUUUUCAAUUUGAAAUAAAAACUCCACUUAACCAGUUAAGGGAAGAAUCGGUUGUGGCAUUCUUUCUUCCUUCAUUCUCAAUGUUAAAGUAUAUUGUAUUGUGGGCUCUAGGCCCAGGGGCCCAGUUAGGUUACUUGUAUAGUACUUGUACUAUACACUUGUACUACACCUUUGUACUACACUUGUACUACACCUUUGUACUGCACCCUUGUACUACACAUAUAUGCCUCCUAUAUAAAGGCACUGAUGUAUACUCUUUUAUUCACAGAAUAGAAUACAAUUAUUCUAUAUUUCUAACAUGGUAUCAGAGCCACUGCUCUGACCUCUUCUUUUUUUUUUUUCUUCUUAGCAGUCUUGUCUUCAUUAGUGUGACUUCCUUUUUCACUAAGCGCUUCCGCCAUCACAACUGCCGCUGUAGCCUCUUGCCGUUGAACCUCCGACGUCAUCCAGUCGUCAUCCCUGGGUUCCGGACCUGCAACCGCAGUCAUUAAGAAGUCUCACACUGCACAGACCACUGCCCCUUUGCAUCAUCGCUGCGAAUAUUGCUCCGAUUUCACUUUUGAAGGUACCACUGAGAUCGUCCAGCGCCGAUCUACACAUUCGUGGAUAUCUCGCCGCCAUCGGAGCCCCCACGCGCCCCCACGCGCUGCCACAUCAGCACUAGCUCGUCAGGCCUCCACGCGCUGCCACGUCAGCCCUAGCUGCGUCAGCAUCCACUGAUCUGCUGACGUCAUCUCCAGUCGUUGACCGUUGACCAUUGACCGUUGACCGUUGACCAUUGACCGUUGACCAGCGUUGACCGUUGACCGAACCUUGACCGUUGACUUUGACCGUUGAUCGUCCAGUUGACUUUUUCCCCGGCCAGGUUCUCCUUACCCAGUUUUUCGUAUAGAUUUCAUUUCUGCAGUCGGUUUUUGCAUAUUGCGUCCCUAAAUGGAUAAGAAGGAUGUUUUUCUUCCUCGCCCCAUCCAUACUGUAUUGGAGGGGACUAAAAAUUACUUAUCCUGGUCUCAAGCUAUGCGCAGUUUUCUUAAGAGCCGCAUGCUCUGGCAUUAUUGUACUGGUGCAAUGACUAUUCCUGUCAAAGGAGCAAGUGAAGAAGAUGCUGUCUUUCUUAGUCUCAUGAUUGAAUGGGAUAGUCAUAACCACAUGAUCCUCACAUGGAUCCGGAACACUUCCAUUCCCUCUAUUUCCAACCUAUUGGGCAGCUUUGACGAUGCAAAAUCUGCAUGGGAUAUGUUGACCAAAAGGUACUCCACUACUCAUGGAUCCAUGAAAUAUCAGUUAGUGGUUGAAUUGCAUCAACUCAGGCAAGAACCGGGGCAAUCCAUCAAUGACUAUUAUGAUCAGCUUCGCUUCAUUUGGGACCAAAUUGACCUUUCUGAUCCAACUUGGGGAUGCUCCACAGAUGCUCAGCAAUAUGCUACCAUUAGAGAUGAAUUUCGCCUCUAUGAAUUCUUGAUGUCACUUCACAAGGACUUUGAGCCCAUUCAUGGUCAGCUGUUAAAUCGCAGUCCUGCUCCCUCUCUUGAUACUGCUGUGAAUGAGUUGGUUAGAGAAGAAGCUCGUCUUGCAACCCUUCAAGCCCAGAAUAAGCUCAAUAUUUUGGCUAUUACUCCAUCUACUCCACUCAUAGAGCAACCUCAGCAAUUAGGUGAUUUUUCUGGCUCUAGCAAUCGUCGCAAGCAAACCAACAAGAAGUUCUGCAACUAUUGCAAGCGUCCUGGCCACACCAUUGAGACUUGUUACCGUCGUAACAAAUCUACUGCUGCUGUUGCUAAUACUGCACCUACUCCGCCAACGGUUUCCACGUCCCAGUCUUCUAGAUCUACUAUCAACCUCUCUUCCACUGAACUACAGGAGAUCAUAGCUCAGGCUGUUCGUAUGGUUGGUAAUGCAUCUCUUUCCACUGCCUUAUCUGUUCUACCUGGUAAGUCUCAAACUUGGCUCUUUGAUUCUGCCUGCUGCAAUCACAUGACACCUCACUCAUCCCUGUUCACCAACCUUGACCCUGCACCACAUCCUCUAAAUAUUCAUAUAGCCGAUGGUUCCACCAUGCAUGGAAAUAGUCUAGGUUUUGUUUCAACUUCUACCCUUUCUGUUCCUGGAGUCUUUCACGUACCUGACCUAUCCUAUAAUUUGUGCUCUGUGGGACAAUUAGCUGAACUCGGUUAUCGCCUUAUUUUUUACUAUUCUGGGUGUAUUGUACAGGAUCCGAGGACGGGGCAGGAGCUUGGGACCGGUCCUAGAGUUGGGCGUAUGUUUCCCGUGAACAAUCUUCAUCUUCCACCUGUUGCUCCUGUUUCUGUUGCUGCUGCAACAGCUGCAGUUUCUUCCUUACCUUCUCUUGCGCUUUGGCAUUCUCGUCUUGGUCAUGCACCAUCUUCUCGGGUACAACAGUUAGUGUCUAGAGGUCUGUUGGGUUCUGUGUCUAAAGACAAUUUUGAUUGCACUUCAUGUCAGUUAGGAAAACAACCAGCUUUGUCUUUCAAUAACAGUGACUCCAUUUCUAAAAGUAUUUUUGAGUUAUUCAUUCUGAUGUUNNNNNNNNNNNNNNNNNNNNNNNNNNNNNNNNNNNNNNNNNNNNNNNNNNNNNNNNNNNNNNNNNNNNNNNNNNNNNNNNNNNNNNNNNNNNNNNNNNNNNNNNNNNNNNNNNNNNNNNNNNNNNNNNNNNNNNNNNNNNNNNNNNNNNNNNNNNNNNNNNNNNNNNNNNNNNNNNNNNNNNNNNNNNNNNNNNNNNNNNNNNNNNNNNNNNNNNNNNNNNNNNNNNNNNNNNNNNNNNNNNNNNNNNNNNNNNNNNNNNNNNNNNNNNNNNNNNNNNNNNNNNNNNNNNNNNNNNNNNNNNNNNNNNNNNNNNNNNNNNNNNNNNNNNNNNNNNNNNNNNNNNNNNNNNNNNNNNNNNNNNNNNNNNNNNNNNNNNNNNNNNNNNNNNNNNNNNNNNNNNNNNNNNNNNNNNNNNNNNNNNNNNNNNNNNNNNNNNNNNNNNNNNNNNNNNNNNNNNNNNNNNNNNNNNNNNNNNNNNNNNNNNNNNNNNNNNNNNNNNNNNNNNNNNNNNNNNNNNNNNNNNNNNNNNNNNNNNNNNNNNNNNNNNNNNNNNNNNNNNNNNNNNNNNNNNNNNNNNNNNNNNNNNNNNNNNNNNNNNNNNNNNNNNNNNNNNNNNNNNNNNNNNNNNNNNNNNNNNNNNNNNNNNNNNNNNNNNNNNNNNNNNNNNNNNNNNNNNNNNNNNNNNNNNNNNNNNNNNNNNNNNNNNNNNNNNNNNNNNNNNNNNNNNNNNNNNNNNNNNNNNNNNNNNNNNNNNNNNNNNNNNNNNNNNNNNNNNNNNNNNNNNNNNNNNNNNNNNNNNNNNNNNNNNNNNNNNNNNNNNNNNNNNNNNNNNNNNNNNNNNNNNNNNNNNNNNNNNNNNNNNNNNNNNNNNNNNNNNNNNNNNNNNNNNNNNNNNNNNNNNNNNNNNNNNNNNNNNNNNNNNNNNNNNNNNNNNNNNNNNNNNNNNNNNNNNNNNNNNNNNNNNNNNNNNNNNNNNNNNNNNNNNNNNNNNNNNNNNNNNNNNNNNNNNNNNNNNNNNNNNNNNNNNNNNNNNNNNNNNNNNNNNNNNNNNNNNNNNNNNNNNNNNNNNNNNNNNNNNNNNNNNNNNNNNNNNNNNNNNNNNNNNNNNNNNNNNNNNNNNNNNNNNNNNNNNNNNNNNNNNNNNNNNNNNNNNNNNNNNNNNNNNNNNNNNNNNNNNNNNNNNNNNNNNNNNNNNNNNNNNNNNNNNNNNNNNNNNNNNNNNNNNNNNNNNNNNNNNNNNNNNNNNNNNNNNNNNNNNNNNNNNNNNNNNNNNNNNNNNNNNNNNNNNNNNNNNNNNNNNNNNNNNNNNNNNNNNNNNNNNNNNNNNNNNNNNNNNNNNNNNNNNNNNNNNNNNNNNNNNNNNNNNNNNNNNNNNNNNNNNNNNNNNNNNNNNNNNNNNNNNNNNNNNNNNNNNNNNNNNNNNNNNNNNNNNNNNNNNNNNNNNNNNNNNNNNNNNNNNNNNNNNNNNNNNNNNNNNNNNNNNNNNNNNNNNNNNNNNNNNNNNNNNNNNNNNNNNNNNNNNNNNNNNNNNNNNNNNNNNNNNNNNNNNNNNNNNNNNNNNNNNNNNNNNNNNNNNNNNNNNNNNNNNNNNNNNNNNNNNNNNNNNNNNNNNNNNNNNNNNNNNNNNNNNNNNNNNNNNNNNNNNNNNNNNNNNNNNNNNNNNNNNNNNNNNNNNNNNNNNNNNNNNNNNNNNNNNNNNNNNNNNNNNNNNNNNNNNNNNNNNNNNNNNNNNNNNNNNNNNNNNNNNNNNNNNNNNNNNNNNNNNNNNNNNNNNNNNNNNNNNNNNNNNNNNNNNNNNNNNNNNNNNNNNNNNNNNNNNNNNNNNNNNNNNNNNNNNNNNNNNNNNNNNNNNNNNNNNNNNNNNNNNNNNNNNNNNNNNNNNNNNNNNNNNNNNNNNNNNNNNNNNNNNNNNNNNNNNNNNNNNNNNNNNNNNNNNNNNNNNNNNNNNNNNNNNNNNNNNNNNNNNNNNNNNNNNNNNNNNNNNNNNNNNNNNNNNNNNNNNNNNNNNNNNNNNNNNNNNNNNNNNNNNNNNNNNNNNNNNNNNNNNNNNNNNNNNNNNNNNNNNNNNNNNNNNNNNNNNNNNNNNNNNNNNNNNNNNNNNNNNNNNNNNNNNNNNNNNNNNNNNNNNNNNNNNNNNNNNNNNNNNNNNNNNNNNNNNNNNNNNNNNNNNNNNNNNNNNNNNNNNNNNNNNNNNNNNNNNNNNNNNNNNNNNNNNNNNNNNNNNNNNNNNNNNNNNNNNNNNCUCAAACCUAUCGUGAGGCCUCUACUGACCCUUUAUGGCAGAUUGCAAUGAAAGAGGAACUUGAUGCAUUAACCAAAAACCAUACUUGGGACCUGGUUACUCUCCCUCCUGGACAGUCUGUGGUUGGUUGUAAGUGGAUCUAUAAGAUCAAGACUCGCUCUGAUGGAUCCGUUGAGCGCUAUAAGGCUCGUCUUGUUGCCAAAGGUUUUACACAAGAGUAUGGGAUUGAUUAUGAAGAGACGUUUGCUCCAGUUGCUCGUAUCUCAUCUGUUCGUGCUCUCUUAGCUGUUGCUGCUGCUCGUAAAUGGGAUCUUUUUCAGAUGGAUGUUAAAAAUGCCUUCCUUAAUGGGGAUCUGAGUGAAGAAGUCUAUAUGCAACCUCCUCCUGGUCUCUCUAUUGAAUCAAACAAGGUUUGUCAUCUCCGACGUGCACUUUAUGGUCUCAAACAAGCCCCACGUGCUUGGUUUGCCAAGUUUAGCUCCACUAUUUUUCGCUUGGGCUACACCGCCAGUCCAUAUGAUUCUGCCUUAUUUCUUCGUCGUACUGAUAAAGGCACUAUUUUGCUUCUUCUCUAUGUGGAUGAUAUGAUCAUAACUGGUGAUGACCUUAGUGGCAUUCAAGAACUCAAGGAUUUUCUCAGUCAGCAGUUUGAGAUGAAAGAUCUUGGACAUCUCAGCUAUUUCUUGGGUCUUGAAAUUACUCAUUCCACAGAUGGUCUUUAUAUUACUCAAGCCAAGUAUGCUUCUAACCUGUUGUCUCAAGCUGGGCUCACUGACAGCAAAACAGUUGACACUCCAGUUGAACUUAAUGCGCAUCUGACACCCUUGGGGGGGAAACCAUUGUCUAAUCCUUCUCUUUACAGACGAUUGGUUGGCAGCUUAGUUUACCUCACAGUUACUCGUCCAGACAUCUCCUAUGCUGUUCAUCAGGUGAGCCAGUAUUUGUCUGCUCCACGAUCAACUCACUAUGCUGCUGUUCUGCGCAUUCUUCGAUACCUGAAGGGUACCCUUUUUCAUGGCCUUUUCUACUCAGCCCAGUCUCCUCUUGUACUCCGUGCAUUCUCAGAUGCUGAUUGGGCAGGAGAUCCUACUGAUCGCAGGUCCACUACAGGUUAUUGCUUCCUCCUUGGUUCUUCUUUGAUUUCUUGGCGAAGUAAGAAACAAACCUUUGUGGCCCGCUCCAGUACUGAAGCAGAAUAUCGUGCCCUUGCUGAUACCACAUCUGAGCUCCUUUGGCUAAGAUGGCUCCUUAAGGAUUUGGGUGUAUCCACCUCCUCUGCUACUCCUCUUUAUUGUGACAACCAGAGUGCUAUUCAUAUUGCUCACAAUGAUGUCUUUCAUGAAUGGACUAAACACAUCGAGAUUGAUUGUCAUUUUAUCCGUUAUCAUCUUCUCCAUGGUGCUCUUAAGCUUUUCUCCGUCUCCUCCAAAGAUCAACUUGCAGAUAUCUUCACCAAGUCUCUUCCUAAGAGACGCACUCGUGAUUUAGUUGACAACCUCAAGUUGGUCUCACAUCCACCUUGAAGUUGAGGGGGGCUGUUAAAGUAUAUUGUAUUGUGGGCUCUAGGCCCAGGGGCCCAGUUAGGUUACUUGUAUAGUACUUGUACUAUACACUUGUACUACACCUUUGUACUACACUUGUACUACACCUUUGUACUGCACCCUUGUACUACACAUAUAUGCCUCCUAUAUAAAGGCACUGAUGUAUACUCUUUUAUUCACAGAAUAGAAUACAAUUAUUCUAUAUUUCUAACACUCAACAAUUUUGGGUUUAAAUAAAAUAAAUAUUAGAUAAAAAUAGAAUUGGAAAAAAAUAAAAAAUAAAAUGAUAUAAAAUUUGAAAACAUAUUUAUUAACAAAAAAAAUCAUCAUAUAUCAUAAUUACAUUAUUUUAUUUUUAAAAAAUUAUUAAACAUUUAAAUUCAACAUAAAAAUGAAUAUGGUAAUAUUUUAAUAUGAAAUGAGUAUUUUAAUAAAAAUUCAACAUUUUGGUAAUUAUAUGUAAAGUUUAGGUAAUUAGAUCGUCCUAAUUUUUUUCCGUACUCUCCAAAUUUUACAUUUUUUGAAUUUAAGAUUUUUAAAGUUAAAUUACAAUAAAAUAAAUUACUAAUACUCUUUUAAGUUACAAAUGAUAGUAUUUUCGAAAAUAAAUUUGUAAUUUCAAAAAUUUUAAAACUAAAAAUCAAUAUGAAAAAUGUGAUAAAAGUACCAAACAUGUAUUUAUCACAUUUUUCAUACUGUUCUCAUAUUUUUCGUACCCUAAAUUAUUUAUAUUUUUAAAAUUUUAGAUUUACUUUUUAACUUGAAAUAACAAUAACAUAGUUUAAUAAUAUUAUUUUGAGUUAUUAUUGAUAGAAUUGUUAAAAAAAAUUAAGCAUUAAAUUUUUUUUAAUUGGAAAUAAUGUAAAUUAUCCUAAAAAAUUUAAAAAUUAAAACACUAAAAAAUUAGAGAGGAUAUGAAAAAGGGAGAAUUACCCUUAAGGGUAGGUUGGGGAAAAAUAUGACUGAUGAGGGUGGGUAAAUUUGAUAAUUAUUGUGAUGGGUAGGGUGAAAUUAUGAUAAUUCAUCCAAAAGCCUUAUUUUGUUUAAAUACCAAAAUUACCCUUAAUAAGUGAAAAGCAAAGCAAAGUGAAAAGUAACAGGAAAGAAAAAAGAGUUUUUUUCUUUAACCUACCUGCAACUUGUCGGUGUUGUAGAAGAAAAAAAGGAAAGGAAAAAGGUCCAGCACUUCAAAUCAUUAUCUACAACCGUUUACACAAAGCUUGUUUUUUUGUGUGAAUCUAGCAAGAAAUCCAUUAAAGGUAAGUUUUUUUUUUUAAUACCAAAAAAAAAAUGUAAGUUUAUGGAAAAAAAUAAAUAAAUAAUUUAAAAAUCGGAUUGAAUGAAUGAAAAGUUAAUAAUUUUAACAAUGUAACUGUAAAAUAUUAGAUCUAAAAUAUUGAAGAAGGUUUUGAGAAAGAAAUUACAUUUUUUUGUGUAAAAUGUUAUUUAAAUUUAUUAUUUUGAAUUUUUUUUUAUAUUAUUUUGGUCAUAUUGAAGAUGUGUUUUUAUUUUUAAUUUAUUUUUCGAGUGGGUUGUUUGAUAUGAUUAUUAUUGAUUUCCAUUGAAAAGGUUUGCACUUUAGUUUUGUUGUUAAGACUUUUUGACAUGGUUGAAGAAAAAAUGUUCUCAGUUGUUUUAUGCUUGUUUGGGAUCACUUUGUUUGUGUAUUUAUGAACAAUAUUUGGAUUUUCAUUGAAAACUGAAAUCCCCUUUGUACGAGACCACCUUGUCUUUUAUUAUGAAUUUGUUAAAGAGUUAAGAUCACUAUAUUUUGUUAUGAAUUUGUUACCUUUUUGUAUAAGUAUUAUGUUGGUAUGAUGAGUUGAAUGUCUAGUAGUUUGAAGGUUGUGUAAAAGAACCAUUACUUCAGUUAUAAAGUAUAAGUACAAUACAAAUGCAAUAUAAUUACUUUAGUUGAAUGUCUAGUACCCUCUCUUAGAAAGUUCGUACCCACUCUUAGAAAGUUCGUACCCUCUCUUAGAAAGUUCGUACCCAUUCUUAGAUAGUUCGUACCCUCUCUUAGAAAGUUCGUACCCUCCCUUAGAAAGUUUCAUACCCUCCCUUAGAAAGUUCGUACCCUCUCUUAGAAAGUUCGUACCAUCUCUUAGAAAGUUCGUACCCUCCCUUAGAAAGUUCGUACCCUCCAUUAGAAAGUUCGUACCAUCUCUCAGAAAGUUCGUACCCGAUCUUAGAAAGUUCGUACCCUCUCUUAGAAAUUUCGUACACUCUCUUAGAAAUUUCGUACCCUCUCUUAGAAAGUUCGUACCCUCCCUUAGAAAGUUGACACCCUCCCUUAGAAAGUUCGUACCCUCUAUUAGAAAGUUCGUACCCACCCUUAGAAAGUUCGUACCCACCCUUAAAAAGUUCGUACCCUCCCUUAGAAAGUUCGUACCCUCCCUUAGAAAGUUCGUACCCUCUCUUAAAAAGUUCGUACCCACCCUUAGAAAGUUCGUACCCUCCCUUAGAAAGUUCGUACCCUCCCUUAGAAAGUUCGUACCCUCUCUUACAAAAUAUUGAUGACAAUUUCAUAACAAAUUACUAAAUGCUCUCAAUUUGAUUAAAAAUAACUCAUAAAAAAUUAAAAAAUCUAGAUAUUAUAAAUCAUUACAUAUUUAAAUGUCAUUUAACAUGACAUUUCUACCUACAAUAGUUAUAUGUAAAUGGAAACAAAAAAUCAAAUGUUACCUUUUAACACUUGUAAUCACUUGACAUCCUUCAAGACAUAUAAAGCUUCAUCUUCAAAUUUAAUCUAUAAACAAAAAAAAAUAUUAUAUAAAAAUAUUAAUAACAAUUUGAUAACAAAAUUUUAUAAUAAACUCAUAAAAAAUUCUAAAAUCGUUAUUUAACAUCACAUUUCUUCCUACAAUAAUUAUAUUUGGAUAAAAAAAUAUCAAAUAUUACCUUUGACACUUGUAAUCACUUGAAAUCUUUCAUCUUCUUCAUAUAAUACAAAUUUUAAAUUUUCUCUCUCAAAAAGUUUUGAACUUGAUCUUGAAAUUUGAUUCAUCAAAAUACAUCUUACAUAUUUUGUAAUUUGGUAGUUGAAAUUAUUUAAUUUUCAUAUUAAAUUACUAUCUUUUUUUAUAUAUAUGAAUAAUGAGAGUAUAAGAGUAGUAGGUAAGAUUUUCUUUUUUUAGAUAGGGUUAGGUAAUGCAUUAAAUAACAAAUUAUAUUUGAUAUUUAAUAAUAAAUUAUAAAAAAUUGUAAUAUUUAGAUAUAUAUGAAAUGCAUGUGAUUAUUUCUCACCAACAAGUCAUCUUUACCGGUUUGAUAAGUUUUUAUAAAUUUUUUAGUGAUAUGUACUUUACACAUGUCAUAUUUUUAUUGGGGUCAAAUGUGGGUAGGUACCCCCAAAAUGAAGAGUGGGUACCAUAGAACAACCCAAGUAAAUGACAAAGUACAAACCAAUUUAAUACCACAUAUUAAUAAGUACACGUGUCAUUUAUUUUUAUUAUUUUUCUCACAUCAAUAUAUCUCUCUUACCACUUGUUACGUUUCCAAUUUUUUUUUCCCUCUCCUGCCACCAUAAUCCAUUGUCACCUAUUAUAGUUUUUAUUAUUCAUUUUUUUCGUUUAUAUUGUUUUUAAUAUGCUCGUGUAUUUUCUCAUUAAACUUCUUUAAUCUUAAUUUAUUUUUACUCUCUAAUUUGUCUAUAUUUAUUGAUUUUAAUUAUUUUUUUGACAUACUAAACUUAAAAUGAUAAUAUAUAAUAAAUAAUUAAAUAACAAAUUAAAUAAAGACAAAAUAUAUAAUGGACAAAAAUGAAAGUAUUAUCCUACAAAUAAUAAUGAUUUUAAAUAUUAAUUAUAAUAAUACAUUUUAUAAAUUAAGGUUUAAAUUUAAAAAUUCCAUUUUAUUAUUUAGAAGUUUAUGAUAUAAGAUUUUUUAUAUUAAUACUAAACAAAAGAUUUAUUUAUUUUGUAAAUUCUAUCACAUCUAAAAGUAAAAAUAUCAUUGUAAUACUAUUUUAUUAUUUAUGUUAUUUUUCUUUUAAUUUUCAUUUUAAAUUUAUCAUAUCAAAAUCACAAUAAGUGAUGGUGCUUUUAUCAUUUUUCUUACAAUUUUAAAUUGUUGUGGAUCUAAACUUUUUUUUGGAUCAUCUUUAAUUUUUAAUUAAAAUAAAAUAUAAAAGAAAAUAUAUUUUUCAUAAAAAAUUGUAUUUAACCUUAUAUAUUAAUUUUAUAAAAAAAUAGGUACAUCCUUAAAAAUAUAGGUAAAUUAAUGCUUAGGAGAAUCGGAAAAACUGUCAUACUUAUCAUGGUGUAUAUAUUCCUUUGGGACCCUCGAUAAGUAAUUGGAGGUCUUUGCCCACCCCAAAAAGAACUUUGGGAUCAUAGGUAUAUCCAUUCUUAAAGGAACCAAGACCCCGAUUUUCAUUUUCAUGGUUCAUAUAUUCCUUUGGGGACCCUUGAGAAAGAAUUAGAGGUUAUUCCCCACUCUAAAACGGACAUUGGAACCCAAGGUACAUCCUAAAGACAAUUUAGUACAUCAUUUAUAAAAUUUGGUACAUAUUUCAUAAAAUUUGGCACAUCCUUAAAAAAUUUUGUACAUCCAAUCCAUGAGCUACCAGGACCUCUAUAUUAUUACCCGUGGUUCGUUUAUUUCUUUAGGGAUCUUUAGGAAGUAAUUAGAGGUCGUUCCCUACUCUGAAACGAACUUUGGAACCUUAGGUAUAUCCUUAAGGAAAUUUGGUGCAUUGUUAAGAAAUUUUGGUACAUCCAAUCAUUGGGCUAUCGAGACCCCUAUCUAUCUUCCCAUGAUCCAUAUUAUCCUUUGAGGAUCCUUAGGUAGUGAUUGAAGGUCAUUCCCCACAUCAAAACGAACUUUGGCACUUUUGGUACAUCCUUUACAAAAUUUGGUACAUCCUUAAAAAUAUUUGGUACAUACUUGAGCUAUUGAAACCUCUAUCUUAUUACCCAUGGUCUAUUUAUUCCUUUAGGGAUCUUUGGGAAGUGAUUGGAGAUCGUUCCCCACCUCAUAAUGGACUUUGGAAACAUUGGUACAUCAUUUACAAAAUUUGGUAUAUUUUUCACAAAAUUUGGUACAUCCUUCACAAAAUUGGGUACAUUAUGAAGGAUGUACCAAGGGUUCCAAAGUGCAUUCCAAGGUGGGGAUCGACCCCCAAUCACUUCCUUAUGGGUUCCAAAAUGAAAUCAUGUACCAUCCAUGUUCAAAUGGGGGACCCGGAAACAAUAGGAUCGGAUGUACCAAAUUUAAUGAAGGAUGUACCAAAUUUUGUGAAGGAUGUACCAAGCGUUCCAAAGUGCAUUCCGAUGUGGGGAUCGGCCCCCAAUAGCUUCCUUAUGGGCUCCAAAAUGAAAUCAUGGAUCAUUCAUGUUCAAAUGGUGGUCCCAAAAACAAUAAGAUCAGAUGUACCAAAUUUAAUGAAGGAUGUACCAAAUUUUGUGAAGGAUGUACCAAGGGUUCCAAAGUGCGUUCUGAGGUGGUGAUCAACCCCCAAUCACUUCCUUAUGGGUUCAAAACAAAAUCAUGAACCAUCCAUGUUCAGAUGGGGGACCCGAAAGCAAUAGGAUCACAUGUACCAAAUUUAAUGAAAGAUGUACAAAAUUUUGUGAAGAAUGUAUCAAAUUUUGUGAAUGAUGUACCAAGGGUUCCAAAGUGCGUUCCAUAGUGCGUUUCGAGGUGGGGAUUGACCCCCAGUCAUUUCCUUAUGGGUUCCAAAAUGAAAUCAUGGACCAUCCAUGUUCAGAUAGGGGUCUUGCAUUCUAAGGUGGGGAUCAGCCCCCAAUCACUUCCUUAUGGGUUCCAAAAUGAAAUCAUGGACCAUCCAUGUUCAGAUGGGGGACCCGGAAACAUAGGAUCAAAUGUACCAAAUUUAAUGAAGGAUGUACCAAAUUUUGUGAAGGAUGUACCAAAUGUUCCAAAGUGCGUUCUGAGGUAGGGAUCAACCCCCAAUCACUUCCUUAUGGGUUCCAAAAUGAAAUCAUGGACCAUCCAUGUUCAGAUGGGGGUCUCAGAAACAAUAAGAUCGGAUGUACCAAAUUUAAUGAAGGAUGUACCAAAUUUUGUGAAGGAUGUACCAAGGGUUCCAAAGUGCGUUUCAAGGUGGCAAUCGGCCCCCAAUUACUUCCUUGUGGGUUUCAAAAUGAAAUCAUGGACCAUCCAUGUUCAGAUGGGGGACCCGGAAACAAUAGGAUCGGAUAUACCAAAUUUAAUGAAGGGUGCACCCUUACUUUGCCUUCUGCAUGUAGCAUAGUAAUAUAAUGUCAUUCACACAUGCAUGCCUUUUAAAUGGAAUGUGCGCCCCUAGAUUGCCUUCUACACAUAACAUACCAAACUAAUGUUAUUGUAUAAAAAAAAUUCCAUUGAUUCUAAGGGUACAAUGUAAAUGUUCGAAUGUCUUCCCAAGGUGUUAAUGGGUCAACCUCCCUUUUACCGACUCCUUACAUAACACGAGUCAAAUCCCCACAUCAAUGAUUUGGCACAUCCUUCACAAAAUUUGAUACAUCAUUCAUUAAAUUUGGUACAUCCAAUCCUAUCACUUUCGAGACCACCAUCUGAACAUGAAUGAUCCAUGAUUUCAUUUUGGAACCCAUAAGAAAGAUAUUGGGGGUCGAUCCCCACCUCGGAAUGCACUUUGGAACCCUUGGUACAUCCUUUACAAAAUUUGGUACAUCCUUUACAAAAUUUGGUACAUCAUUCACAAAAUUUAGUACAUCCUUCAUUAAAUUUGGUACAUCUAAUCCUAUCGCUUCCGAGACCCCCAUUCGAACAUGGAUGGUCCAUAAUUUCAUUUUGGAACCCAUAUGGAAGUGUUUGGAGGUCGAUCCCCACUUCGGAACGCACUUUAAACCCUUGGUAUAUCCUUCACAAAAUUUGGUACAUCCAAUUCUAUCGCUUCCGAGGCCCCCAUCUGAACAUGGAUUGUCCAUAAUUUCAUUUAGAAACCCAUAAUAAAGUGAUUGGAGGUCGAUCCCCACCUCGGAACGCACUUUGGAACCCUUGGUACGUCCUUCCCAAAAUUUGGAACAUCCUUAACAAAAUUUGAUACAUCCGAUCCUAUUGCUUAUGGGACCCAUAUCUGAACAUGGAUGGUCCAUGAUUUUAUUUUGAAACCCAUAAGGAUGUUUUUAGGGGCGGAUCCCCACCUCGGAACGCACUUUGGAACCCUUGGUACAUCCUUCACAAAAUUUGGUACAUUCUUCAUUAAAUUUGGUACAUCCAAUCUUAUCACUUAUGGGACCCCCAUCUGAACAUGGAUGGUCCAUAAUUUCAUUUAAAAACCUAUAAGAAAGUGAUUGGGGAUCGAUCCCCACCUUGGAACGCACCUUGGAACAUUCUUCCCAAAAUUUGGUACAUCCUUAACAAAAUUUGGUACAUCCGAUCCUAUUGCUUAUGGGACCCACAUCUAAACAUGGAUGGUCAAUGAUUUGAUUUUGAAACCCAUAAGGAAGUUNNNNNNNNNNNNNNNNNNNNNNNNNNNNNNNNNNNNNNNNNNNNNNNNNNNNNNNNNNNNNNNNNNNNNNNNNNNNNNNNNNNNNNNNNNNNNNNNNNNNAAAUUUGGUACUUCCGAUCCUAUUUGCUUAUGGGACCCACAUCUAAACAUGGGAUGGUCAAUGAUUUGAUUUUGAAACCCAUAAGGAAGUUUUUGGGGGCUGAUCCUCACCUCAGAACGCACUUUGGAACCCUUGGUACAUCUUUCACAAAAUUUGGUACAUCCUUCAUUAAAUUUGGUACAUCCGAUCCUAUCGCUUUCGGGACCCCCAUCUGAACAUGGAUGGUCCAUAAUUUCAUUUAGAAACCCAUAAGAAUGAUCAGGGGUCAAUCCCCACCUCGGAAAGUACUUUGGAACCCUUGGUACAUCCGUCACAAAAUCUGGUACAUCUUUUAUUAAAUUUGGUACAUCCGAUCCUAUUGCUUUUGAGACCCCCAUCUGAACAUGGAUGGUCCAUAUAUUCAUUUAGAAACCCAUAAGAAAGUGAUUGGGGGUCAAUCCCCACCUCGGAAAGCACUUUGGAACCCUUGGUACAUCCUUCACAAAAUUAGGUACAUCCAAUCUUAUCACUUCUAGGACCCCCAUCUGAACAUGCAUGGUCCAUAAUUUCAUUUACAAACCCAUAAGAAAGUGAUUGGGGACCGAUCCUCACCUCGGAACACACCUUGGAACCCUUGGUACAUCCUUCCCAAAAUUUGGUACAUCCUUAACAAAAUUUGGUACAUCCGAUCCUAUUGCUUAUGGGACCCACAUUUGAACAUGGAUGGUCCAUGAUUUCAUUUUGAAACCCAUAAGGAAGUUUUUGGAGGCUAAUCUCCACCUCGGAAUGCACUUUGGAACCCUUGGUACAUCUUUCACAAAAUUUGGUACAUCCUUCAUUAAAUUUGGUACAUCAAAUCCUAUCGCUUUCGGGACCCCUAUCUGAACAUAGAUGGUCCAUAAUUUCAUUUAGAAACCCAUAAGAAAGUAACCAGGGGCCAAUCCCCACCUCAGAAAGCACUUUGGAACCCUUGGUACAUCCUUCACAAAAUCUGGUAGAUCCUUCAUUAAAUUUGGUACGUCCGAUCCUAUCGCUUCUAGGUCCCCCAUUCGAACAUGGAUGGUCCAUAAUUUCAUUUUGGAACCCAUAAGGAAGUGUUUGGGGGCCGAUCCCCACCUCGGAACGCACUUUGGAACCUUUGGUACAUCCUUCACAAAAUUUGGUACAUCCGAUCCUAUCGCUUUCGGGACCCCCAUUUGAACAUGGAUGGUCCAUAAUUUCAUUUAGAAAGCCAUAAGAAAGUGAUUGGGGGUCAAUCUCCACCUCGUAAUGCACUUUGGAACCCUUGGUACAUCUUUCAUAAAAUUUGGUACAUCCUUCAUAAAAUUUGGUACAUCCUUCAUUAAAUUUGAUACAUCCGAUCUUAUUGCUUUCGGGACCCCAUUUUGAACAUGGAUUGUCCAUAAUUUCAUUUAGAAACCCAUAAGAAAGUGAUUGGGGGCUAAUCCCCACCUCGGAACGCAUCUUGGAACCCUUGGUACAUCAUUCCCAAAAUUUGGUACAUCCGAUCCUAUUGCUUAUGGGACCCCUACCUGAACAUGGAUGGUCCAUGAUUUUAUUUUGGAACCCAUAACGAAGUUUUUGGGGGCUGAUCCCCACCUCGAAAUGCACUUUGGAACCCUUGGGACAUCCUCCAUAAAAUUUGGUACAUCAUUCAUUAAAUUUGGUACAUCUGGUCCUGUCACUUCUAGGACCCCCAUCUGAAAAUGUAUGGUCCAUAAUUUCAUUUAGAAACCCAUAAGGAAGUGUUUGGGGGCCGAUCUCCACCUCAGAACAUACUUUGGAACCCUUCGUACAUCAUUCACAAAAUUUGGUACAUCUUUCAUUAAAUUUGGUACAUCCGAUCCUAUCACUUCCAGGACCCUAAUCUGAACAUGGGUUGCCUAAAAUUUCAUUUAGAAACCCAUAAGAAAGUGAUCGGGGGCUGAUCCCCACCUCGGAACGCACUUUGGAACUCUUGGUACAUCCUUCACAAAAUCUGGUACAUCCUUCAUUAAAUUUGGUAAAUCCGAUCCUAUUACUUCUGGGACCCCCAUUCGAACGUGGAUGGUCCAUACUUUCAUUUUGGAACCCAAAAGGAAGUGUUUGGGGGCCGAUCCCCACCUCGGAAAGCACUUUGGAACCUUUGGUACAUCAUUCACAAAUUUUGGUACAUCCAAUCCUAUCGCUUCCAGGACCCCCAUCUGAACAUGGAUGGUCCAUAAUUUCAGUUAAAAACCCAUAAGAAAGUGACUAGGGGUCAAUCCCCAUCUCAGAACGCACUUUGGAACCCUUGAUACAUCCUUCAUAAAAUUUGGUACAUUUUUCAUUAAAUUUCGUACAUCCGAUCUUAUCACUUCCGGGAUCCCCAUCUGAACAUGGAUUGUCCAUAAUUUCAUUUAGAAACCCAUAACAAAGUGAUUGGGGGUCGAUCCCCACCUUGGAACGCACUUUGGAACCUUGGUACGUCCUUCCCAAAAUUUGGUACAUCCUUAAGAAAAUUUGGUACAUCCGUCCUAUUGCUUAUGAGACCCCUAUCUGAACAUGAAUGGUCCAUGAUUUCAUUUUGGAACCCACAAGGAAGUUUUUGAGGGCCGAUCCCACCUCAAAAUGCACUUUGGAACCCUUGGUACAUCCUUUACAAAAUUUGGUACAUCCUUCAUUAAAUUUGGUACAUCCGAUCCUAUCGCUUUUGGGACCCUCAUCUGAACAUGGAUGGUCCAUAAUUUCAUUUAGAAACCCAUAAGGAAGUGUUUGGGGGUCGAUCCCCACCUUGGAACGCACUUUGGAACCCUUGGUACAUCAUUCACAAAAUUUAGUACACCCUUCAUUAAAUCUAGUACAUCCGAUCUUAUUAUUUCCAAGACCCCCAUCUGAACAUGGAUGGUCCAUGAUUUCAUUUUGGAACCCAUAAGGAAGUGAUUGGGGGUUGAUCCCUACCUCCGAAACCACUUUGGAACGCUUGGUACAUCAUUCACAAAAUUUGGUACAUCUGAUCUUAUUGUUUCCAUGACCCCCAUCUGAACAUGGAUGAUCUGUGAUUUCAUUUUGGAACCCAUAAGGAAGUGAUUGGGGGUUGAUCCCCACCUCGGAACGCACUUUGGAACCCUUGGUACAUCAUUCACAAAAUUUGGUACAUCCUUCAUUAAAUUUGGUACAUCCGAUACUAUUGCUUUCGUGACCCCCAUUUGAACAUGGAUGGUCCAUGAUUUCUUUUUGGAACCCAUAAGGAAGUGAUUGGGGUUCGAUCCCCACCUCGGAACGCACUUUGGAGCCGUUGGUACAUUGUUCACAAAAUUUGGUACAUUCUUCAUAAAAUUUGGUACAUCCGAUCCUAUUACUUCCAGGAACCCCAUCUGAACAUGGAUGAUCCAUAAUUUCAUUUUGGAACCCAUAAGGAAGUGAUUGGAGGCCGAUCCUCACGUCAGAACGCACUUUGGAACCCUUGGUACAUCCUUCACAAAAUUUGGUAUAUCCUUCAUUAAAUUUGGUACAUCCAAUCUUAUUGUUUCCAUGACCCCCAUCUGAACAUGGAUGGUCUGCGAUUUCAUUUUGGAACCCAUAAGGAAGUUAUUGGGGGUCAAUCCCUACAUCAGAACGCACUUUCGAAUGCUUGGUACAUCCUUCACAAAACUUGGUACAUCCUUCAUUGAACACAAGGCAUCAAUGGAGUUCCAGAUUAAACAUUAAGGUUCUAUUUAGAAUUAAGUAAAAAAACAAACACCACCUAAGUGAAUAUUCAUCCAGCAUGUGCAAGUAAUUUUCAAGGCUGUUUUGUGGUAUGUUCUUACUUGAUUAAUUUAUUCCCCGUAAGCUUGCAAUUCAUGAAAAUUCAAUGCCCACCAGUAACUUUUAUCAAGAAAAUCAAACUUACUAGAAGCUAAAUUAGAGUCGGUGAUUUUAAAAAGUGUUUUUAAGAUUUUUAACACUUAAAAUUUUUUAUCAUUUAAAUCUUAGAAAUGUUGAAAACAUUUUCUAAAAUCAAUACCAAACGUACUCUUCAUUGAAUUUCUUUAGCAAUUGUAUAUUUCUGCAAUCCAUAUUGUACAUUUAUGCAGCAAAUUGUCUCGGGCUAUGUUUGAUUUCUAGAAAAUUUAAGAGAAAAAUGCAAUAGAAAGAAAAAAAAAAGAAAAAAAGAAAAAAUAAAUUUAAAGUUAGUAAAUUAUUUUUAUAUAUUUCUCAAAACUUAUUUAAUUUAUUUUAAUUUUUCUAUAUAAAAAUAAAUAAUUUGAAAAUAUAUAAAUUUUUAACUAAUUUGAAUUAUAUUCGAUAUUCUUUCCUAUUUUUCAUAAUAAAACAAAAUAUGAGAAAAUCAUUUUACUUUAUUUUUUUUUUUCUUAAUUUCUUUGAUACUUUCAAAACCCAAAGAUAACCAAGUUUUACAUUUUUUUCUUCGGUCAUUUAAAAAAAGAAGAAGUAAUAAGUAAAAGAAAAAUUAAAAACAAACAUUUAAAGCAUUCUGAAAGCAAAUUGUAUUCGAUAUUAAACUAAAAAAACAAGCAUCAUAUUAAUCUUCUCUUUUAUUAGUUGUAUGUUGACAAGGCUACUCUUCUUUUCAUGAUUUUAAUUAGUUUAAUAUAUACUUUUAGAAAUACUAAUAAGUGGGUUGAUGGAGUUGUUAAAAGACACUUAAGGUGAGGUGUUUCUAGAAAAAACGGACUUAUGUUUUUCUUUUGUUUUUAAAAACCGAUGAAAACAACUCCUACUUGUUUUCUAAAAUUUUUUCUCUAUUUUACUUUGUUUUUAAAAAUUGUUUCUAGAGAACAACAACCAAGUAGUGUUAAAUUUUUUAAAACAGUUUUUUGUUUUAAAAAUUGAAAAUUGUUUUUAAACCACACAACCAAACAGGCUCUACAUGACGCAAAUUUACUAUUUAAUUUUAGUAGUUAAAAGAUUCUUAUUUUUGACAAAGAAAGGAAAAGUAGAGAAUAGUCUUAGAACUUUAAGAUGAUUCACAAUUAGGGAUGAUGAAAUGGAAUCGGUCUUGAUAUGUAUGAAGAACAUCAACAUUAAAUUUGAAAAUAUUAACAAAUAAUUGCAAACAAUAAUGUAGAAAUAUGAGACAAACAAAUGGUUAGAGUUUUGUGACUUAGAUUCUUUUUCAUUUGACCUGAAAAGCUCGCGGUGCUAUAUAUAUGAUGAAACUAAAAUUAUGAGACUUUUUGGGGGGUUUGUGGUGGUAGCAAAGAGGUUGGGCCUAUGUAGGGGCUUGCCCUUGCAGUAUAUACAUGUGUAUAUGUGUGAUGAUAUAUAGUCUUAAGGUUAUAAUAAUUAUGCUUCUAUCAUAGUCGCUCUAAACUCUCCCCUCUUGUACCAAUUUUUAACAUAGUGGAUCAUCUUCUCCUCUUCCUAUAGUGUUUUUCGUCUAGGGUUUUUCACAUAAAUCUAUAUAUUCUUUUUUUUUUUUAUUGCCUAUUCUCAUUUGCACUUUGACAAUUAUCCUCUGCUGCACCAUCAUGCAAGGAACAUAUCCAAAUCUGUUAUAGCUAUAAUUUCAUAUGCUUCUUUUUGGAUCCAGCUAGAACAGCUUAAGCUACACAAUAAACAAAAAGCAUCAAUGGAGUUCCAGAUCAAAAGGCUAACCUUCAUGUUUUUCACUAGGCGAACACAAGGCAGCCUUUUUGAGUCUCUGACUGAAUCUCUAUCAACUCAAUUGGCAAUGAUGAAGAAGGGGAAGAGACUGACUUCCUAAAUAUGAGAGGUUCAGGGCAAAAUUCUUCUGUUUGACUUCGAAUACAACCAGAUCUAUACAAUAAUAACUACUGAGACUAGAUGAAUUGUAUUUAACCAUCUCAACGCUGCGGUUCUAUAGACCAAGAAAAUCAAACUUACCCGAACCUAAAUUAAUUGAACUUUUUUAACUACCAAAAUCUUUUGCAUAUUUCUGCAAUCCAUUUUCUACAUUAGGUGGUCCACUUUGAUUGAGGCUUUAAGCUUAUCCGAGGUACCCAAAAUUAAUGCUAUCCCACUACUGUCUACUUAAGCCUUGGCCACGUUAUUAUGGCUUUUUUAAUAUUUUUCAAGUCAAAUGUUUCACCUAUCUUAUUUUUGUCGUCUUCUACAUAUUGGGUUCAUGGAAAGGUUGAAAAGGCCAAUCAAUCAUUUGACUCAAAUGACUUGCCCUUGGACUAGGCUCAUGUGGUCGAAAAAGCCAUUUAGGGACCCAAAUGACCUUCGUUUUGGAUCCAAUUGAGCUCAAAAAUGAAACUUCGAUUCAUAUAAAUUCAUCAUUUAAACCCAAAAUCUAGAAAAAAUAUGAAAAUUAGGAAAAAGUAUAAGUUUUUUUUUAUCUUUGACUAUAAAAAAAAUAAUAGAAAAUCAUUAAUUUAAAUUUUAUUUCUUUUGUAAACCUCAAUAAAAUUCAAUAUAAUUUAGUGAUUUGAAAAAAAAUACACAAUUUUCCAAAAAAAAUAAAAAUAAAUUAUUAUCAUUAUUAUUAUUUAAAAAUCAAACAUCUUGAAAAGUAUAUAUUUUUAAAAUUAUGUAUAUAAAAAAUAAUUAAAAAUAUAUUAAAUUUAUUUUUUUUAAAUGAUAUAUUUUUAAAAUAUAUUUUUUAAAAUAUUAGUUUUCUAAAAAUAAUAAAUUUUUAGAAUAAUUAUUAAAAAAAUUUAAAAUAAAAAAAUUGUUAAAUAUUGUGAUAGAAAAUAAUUUUAAAGAGUAUAUUGGUCUGUUCAUAUUUUAUAUUCUCCCCACCAAUUAUAUAACUUAUAAUAAUAAAGCUUAAUUUUUGAGCCCAGGUCCAUAACACAAUUGUGACAAUUGAAAAUUAAAAUCAUGGUAGACAAGUGAACAUUUAGUGUGGCGUUGCAGAAGUUGUCAUCCACCACCAUAAAGGUUAAUUUAUUUAACGUGUUGCCGUUUGAGAAAGUGCAUUGAUGUGGAGAUUGGUACGACAGGAAGGAGUGAAGCCUUAUUCACUGCUGAUGCUGGGUGGUCGGGUCACGGAUGUUAUUCACCUGAAACUGAAAGGGAGGUCUGUCUCCUAACUCACAUUAUCACACCUGCCCUCUUCCCUCUCCUCUUUCCCAAUUCCCAACCCAGAUACCCAAUAUGGUGUCCGGUUUUUUACCAAGAUAUUCGUUUUUGAAACAAUUUUCCAAUGCAAACGAACCAAGACCUAUUUUCCAAAUAAAAAUAUUUUGUUUAAUAUGGUGGUUUUUGAAACAAAUUUUUGUUUGCAAAGUCAAUUUUAUUUUUUAUCUAUUCAUUGUAUUAAUAAUUGUUCAUUAAAAUAUUAUUUGAAAAACGCUUAAAGAACAUCUCAAAUUUAUUUUCAAAAUUCAUCAUGGUUUUAAAAAUAAUUCCUGAAAAGCCAUUUUCAAUAUAAAAAUUAUCAUGUAUAUUUUUAUAGUUAAAAAUCAUAAUUCUUUUUUUUUUUUAACGAUAUCUCGGGUAAGCAUAAAUGAGAUUAACCUAGUUGAAUAUGAUUUAUCCGAUAUAAUAAUUGGUACAAAAAUUAAACAUAAUUUUUUUUUAAAAUAUUAGACAUAAUAUAUAUUUUAUUUUAAAAAUAUAUGAAAUAUCAGAAAAGAAUAAAAAAAAUAUUGUUAUAAAAUAUGUUAAAAUAUUAUAUUCCACCUCUUAAGUCUUUCCCAACAAUCACUGUGGAUGCCCAAAAUAGUCCACUUUAUUAUUAUUUAUUAUUUUUAUUUUUUGUGCUUUUAAUUCUCAUAUCAUAUUCAAAUAUGUUGUCGUUUGAAUACUUGGGGAGGUCGCUUCUAUCGUUCUUAAAGUCUAUGCAUCAGAAUUUGAAAUUUGACUCCAUUGUUUUACUUUUAAUAAAGUAAAAAUAUGAGUCAUGGAUGUAUUAGGCAAAAAUUUCGCUUGAGGGGAGGAGAGGGAUAGGGGAAGGUGGUACAUGAGGGCAAUGCCAUUAAACUAUCAUUUCAACACAAAUUAAUUAUUCUAUAUAUAUAUUAUUUUAAUUUGAAAAUUAAUGAUUAAAAAGAUUAAGCACAUUAUAGCUCUCUGGCCCUGGCUAUGUCCACGGCUUGGCCGGGCUCUCCAACGCCGCCGCCAACGCUUGGUGAUGAUUUCUGGCUCCUACAACUUCCAGGAGCUUGAUAAGGUGGCCGCCGUCGAGCUUUUCUCCAAGUUCUAUGCAAAAGCCACUGAUAUUUCCCAGAUACCUAAGAGCCUUUUUAAAGUCUCAGAUCAAGCUCUUUUUGGUCGGCCCGAUGGUUGAAAUUUUAGGGCCUGUUUGUUUAGUAUUUUCAAGAACUGUUUUCUGUUCUUGAAAACAAAAAACACCAAAAACUCAUUUGGUUGAGAGAGUCGUUUUUGUUUUUGUUGUUCCCCAUGUUCUCAAAAUGACACUGUUUAGAGAAUAACAAAAUAUUGUUUUCCCCGUUUUUUUACUGUUUACAGAACAAAAUUAAACAAAAAAAAACCAUCUGUUCUCCGUGUUUUUUUUUUCUUCCCGUUUUCAUCUCUUCUCCAGCACAAUCGCGUCGCCUCUUCUUGAUUUUUCCCGUUUCUCAGUUUUGAUUCAAGGUUCCUGAAAUUUAAAUCCAAUGGCACAAUAACAAAGAGACCCCUAAAACGGAUCCAGAAAACAGAGGGAGUAAAAGAAAAUCCAUUUUUUUGGUUUUCCUUGGGGUUUUUGCUUGGAUUUUCUCGGAAAUCAAACGAGGAUGAAUUUUCUCGGAAAUCGAAUGGGGGAUGGAUUUUCUUGGGAAUCAAACGAGGGUUGCAGGGUUUUUGCUUGGAUUUUCUCGGAAAUCAAACGAGGAUGAAUUUUCCCGAAAAUCGAAUGGGGGAUGGAUUUUCUUUGGAAUCAAACGGGGGUUGCAAAAAUAAUAAUAAUAAUAAUAACAUGAUUAGAUUAUUACCUGCGAGGAUUGAGAGUGGCAGAGGAAAAUAGGGCCUUUUAGGGAUUCUCUCGGCUGGAGGGCAACUUCAGAAAAGGGCUUCCUUCAGAAAAGGGCUUUUUGAUGCCCUAUGAGAGAAGUGGGUGGCAUUUUGAAUUUUAUAUUUAGUAGAGAUAAAAAAAAUUAACAAAUCAUGAGAACAAUUUUAUCUCAACUUAAUAGAAUAUGCUAUAAUUUUUAAUAAAGUUAAAGAUUAACUAAAAAAAUAUUAAUAAAAAUGAUUUUAUUAUGUUUGAUUUAUUUUAAAAAAAUAUAAAAAAUAUUUUUAUUUUUAAAUUAAUAAAAUAAAUAAUUUUUUUAAUUUAAAUGAACUAUAUAUCUAAAAAUUAUUUAUAAAUUUAUAAUAUAAAAUUACUUGAAGAAAAUAUUUUAUUAAUUAGAAAAGAAAAAAAAAAUCUUUCAAACGUGUUUUUUAUUUUAUUUGUUCUAAAUUUUUUUUUUUUAUUAACUCAACCAAGCAUGUUUUUUUGUUUUUGAGAACAAAAACUGUUUUUCAAAAUUUAGUUCCUAAACACAAUUUUUUAAAAAAAAACACCAAAAACUGUUCUUAAAAAUUGUUCUCAAAAACUGUUUUCUAGAACAGUUUUCAAAAACAGCAACCAAACAGGCCCUUACUUUUUUCUUUUUAAUUUUGGUGUAAAAUGGGAAAAAAAUAUUAUCUAUUCAUGCACUCCAAUAGUGCUUUCAAAUUUGUUCCACAAUUACCCUCAAAAGUAAAGGACAAAGUAUAAACCAAUUUAAUACCACAUAUUGACAAGUACACGUGUCAUUUAUUUUUAUUAUUUUUCUCACAUCAAUAUAUCUCUCUUACCACUUGUCACGUUUCCAAUUUUUUUUUCCUCUCCUGCCACCAUAAUCCAUUGUCACCUGUUAUAGUUUUUAUUAUUCAUUUUUUUCUUUUAUAUUGUUUUUAAUAUGCUCGUGUAUUUUCUCAUUAAACUUCUUUAAUCUUAAUUUAUUUUUACUCUCUAAUUUGUCUUUAUUUAUUGAUUUUAAUUAUUUUUUUGACAUACUAAACUUAAAAUGAUAAUAUAUAAUAAAUAAUUAAUAUAAUAAAUUAAAUAAAGACAAAAUAUAUAAUGGACAAAAAUGAAAGUAUUAUCCCACAAAUAAUAAUAAUUUUAAAUAUUAAUUAUAAUAAUAUAUUUUAUAAAUUAAGGUUUAAAUUUAAAAAUUCCAUUUUAUUAUUUAGAAGUUUAUGAUAUAAGAUUUUUUAUAUUAAUACUAAACAAAAAAUUUAUUUAUUUUGUAAAUUCUAUCAUAUGUAAAAGUAAAAAUAUCAUUCUAAUACUAUUUUAUUAUUUACAUUAUUUUUCUUUUAAUUUUCAUUUUUAAUUUAUCAUAUCAAAAUCACAAUAAGUGAUGGUGCUUUUAUCAUUUUUCUUAUAAUUUUAAAUUGUUGUGGAUCUAAACUUUCUUUUGGUUCAUCUUUAAUUUUUAAUUAAAAUAAAAUAUAAAAGAAAAUAUACUUUUCAUAAAAAAUUGUAUUUAACCUUUUAUAUUAAUAUCAUAAAAAAUAGGUAGAUCCUUAAAAAAAAAGGUAAAUUAAUGCUUAGGAGAAUCGGAAAAACUAUCAUACUUAUCAUGGUGUAUAUAUUCCUUUGGGACCCUAGAUAAGUAAUUGGAAGUCUUUGGCCACCCCAAAAAGAACUUUGGGAUCAUUGGUAUAUCCAUUCUUAUUGGAACCAAGACCCCUAUUUUCAUUUUCAUGGUUCACAUAUUCCUUUGGGGACCCUUGAGAAAGAAUUAGAGGUUAUUCCCCACUCUAAAAUGGACAUUGGAACUCAAGGUACAUCCUAAAGACAAUUUGGUACAUCAUUUAUAAAAUUUGGUACAUAUUUCAUAAAAUUUGGCACAUUGUAGACCCCAAAAUUUGUCCCAAUUUUAUUUUUACAUUAAAUUUGAGCCCAAUUUUGUCAAUAAAUUUUAAAAUUUUAAAUCCCGAUUAUAUGUGUUUUUUGGCACACUCACCCUUUAAUUUUUAUUUUAAUUUUAUUAUUAUUAUUUUAAAAUUGUUUUAAUUUUAUUUUAUUUGCUAUUAUUAUUAUUAUUAUAUUCUAUUUUAUUUAUUUUAUUUAUUUUCUCUCUCCUCUCUCUUCCUUUCUCCUCCACCUACCCUCACCCACCCACUCCUUCUCUCUACUCACCACCGGCCAUCAUUUCACAUUUCCUUUUUAAUUUUUAUUUUUAGUUUUUAUUUUAUUUUGGAUUUUCAUUUUUUCUCCCUCAAUUUUUUACCUCCCACUCUUCUCUCUGUUCCCCAAAAACUCCCUUUGGCCGACCCCCCCUCCAUUUUCCUUUCACUUCAAUUUCUCCCCUCAUUUCCCAAGAAGGGCAGCCCCCAAUUCCCAAGAACGACUGCCAUUUUUUUUGGGGCCCCCCUUCUUCUUCUUCCUCUCCCGGGUCUGCUACUGGAGGUAGAGGGGGCUCCUCCAUUUUUUUUGGGUUCUCCUCACAGCCCGGAUUUUUUUUCCUUUUUUAUUUCAUUUUUUUCUUCCUUCCCGGACACCCAUUUUGGGACGGCCAGGAGCCGAGACUUCGCCCAUUUUUUUUUCUUUCCUUUUUUCUUUCUUUCUUUCUUCUCUUCCAUCAUACUCGACUUUCAAAGGCACCAGGUCCUCCCUUCUCCCAUUUCAUCUCAUUUCCUUCCAAUCAUUUUCCAUUUUUUUUAUUUUUUAUUUUUUACCCACCAAUCUCCCAUUGUCGCCGGCGAGCCUCGGCCAGUCGCCACCGGUGAGCCAUUGCGGCCGACGACCCAUUCCUCUUCUCUCUCACUCCCUCAUUCCCUCACUUCCCCCAUCCCAUCCGUUUUCAUUAUUAUUAUUAUUAUUAUUAUUAUUAUUAUUAUUGCCAUUGUUAUUGUUAUUAUUAUUGGUAUUGAUAUUGUUAUUGUUGUUGUUAUUAUUUUCUUUAAUUUUAAUAGUAAUUGUUGUUUGUGAAAUUUGGAUUGUUGAAUUAAUAUGGAAUUUGGGGUUAAUUUGUUGUUGGUAGAUUAAUACAUAAUUUGAUUUAAUUUAUUGUUAGUGAAUUAAUUUGAAAUUUGUUAAUUUGGGUUUGUGGGCAUAUUGUAUUUGGUGAUUAAUUUGAGGAUAUUUAAAUUAUAUCAAUUGCAUAUUGUUUAUUUGGACUUGGGCCUAUUGUUAAGUUGUUAUUUGUUUGGGCUUAUUGGAUUGGGUUUGAAAUAUUAUUUCUCUUGAUCAUGUAUUUUUUUUAUGUGGGCUUGUUAAUUGAUGUAGAUUUUGGGACCCAUAAUGUGGGUGAAAUUUGUUGUAUUAUUUGAAUAUUUGAUAUGGGCUUGACCAAUUUGAAUUGUUUAAUUUGGACAUGGGACAAUUGUAGUGUAUAUUAAACUAGGCUUAAAUUAUGGAGUAUUAAAUUUAGGUUUCGGUUGAUUGUGUUUGUAUCUUUGACUAUUAAUUUGGAUGUUAUAGGCUAAGACCUAUAGUAAUUUGGGCUCAUUUUAAUUGAUGAAAUUUAUGAGACUAAUUUGAAAUUGGAAUUUGGGUUUGAAUAUUUGUUUGAGAUUUUAUACAUUUCUGGAUAUUUACAUUUGUAUUAUUCUUGUUUUUGCAUGGACCCACUCUACAAUCUUGAUGGCUGAGUACGAAUUGAUGACACGUGGAGCUUACUGUAAGUUUAUUUGGGUACAUAUUUUAUUUAUCACUUUUAUUUGGUUUUAUUUUUAUUAGUUUGCAUAAAUAUUCGUUCGCAUGUAUUUAUUGAGUGUGUACAGAAUUGAACGUCGAACAAACUAGAAAUUUUGUUUAAAUGAGAGGAAGAAGUCAGUAAAUGUGUUUUAAUAAAACCACAAUUUUAAAAUAUUAUUUUUAAUAAAAGAAAGUUUUUAUUUUAUUUUAUUUUAUUUUAUUUUUUAUUUAUAAAAAUUAAAAAAAAAUGCAUUUAGAAAAAUCCAAAAGAAAUGUUUUUAAUGGAAUUUGAAAAUUUGUUUUUAAAUAAUAUUUGUCCAAAAAUUUCUUUGUUUAACAAAAAUUUUCCAAAUAUUGUUUUGUAAAUAAAGUUGUCCCAAAAAUUAAUUUUCAAUAAAAUCGUCCAAAAAAAUGUUUUUUUUAAAAUAAAUUCUUUUUACUUAAUUAAAAUUGGAUUAAAAGUCAUUUUUAGAAAUAGAUGAUUUAUUUAUUUAUUUUUAUUUUUAUUUUUAUUUUUAUUUUUUCCUUUUAAUUAAAAAUUCUUUUGUAAAUAAAGUUAUGACAUUUUAAAUAAUUUAUAAAAAUCACUCUUUUAAAUGAAAAUGAAUCUAAAUACUUUUGUAAAUAAAAUUGUAAAAAUUCAUUAUUUUUUAGUAAAAGCAAGUAAAAAAAUAAUUUUUGUGCCCAAAUUGAAAUUUUGUAAUGAAUUCUUUUGAUACAAUAAGUGUAAAUAAUUUUUUUUUUUUAAAUUGUAUACAAUUAAAAAUUGAGAAAAUAAAUUGUUUCUUUUUAUAAGUAAAUAAAUGGAAAUCAUUAAUUCAAAAUCAUUUUUAAUAAAAUCCUUUGAAAUUUCUUUAAAACUUUUUUUAAUAUCUUUUAUUUGUUUAAUUCAAUAAAUCAUUUUGCAUAAUUCUCUUAUUAUUUAUUUUGUGUAUUUUUGUAAUUAGAUUUCAUCAUUGUUUUUGUGCAUAUUAAUUCUCACCAUGACUUGUAUAUUGAUUAUUUUUCUUGGUAUCAAUAAUUAACCAAUUAAUUGCUACAAUUCCCUCAAUUAGUUUAGUAGAGACCGUAUGUAUACGGGCUUAGAGAGGUGCUACGGCUCACCACCGUACCUUCCCAAGAAGUAAUCUGACCCCCGGACCCAGACUUGGUUUUUCACAAAUCCAUUUUUCCUUCAGGAGUCAUACUUAAGGUUUUUCUCUUUCUUAUUUUUUUUUCCUUUAAAAAUAAAACAAAAAUAAGUGGCGACUCCAAGUCUUUUUCUAAAAAUCAAAUUUCACUAAAUAAAAUAAAAAGCGAGUUUCGCCAUUGAGUGAGAACACAUCAAGCAAAAUGCGGGGUCCACACACAUCCUUAAAAAUUUUUGCACAUCCAAUCUAUGAGCUACCAGGACCUCUAUAUUAUUACCUGUGGUUCGUUUAUUUCUUUAGGGAUCUUUAGGAAGUAAUUAGAGGUCGUUUCUUACUCCGAAACGAACUUUGGAACCUUAGGUAUAUCCUUAAGGAAAUUUGGUGCAUUGUUAAGAAAUUUUGGUACAUCCAAUCCUUGGGCUAUUGAGACCCCUAUUUAUCUUCCCAUGAUCCAUAUUAUUCUUUGAGGAUCCUUAGGUAGUGAUUGACGGUCAUUCCCCACAUUAAAAGGAACUUUGGCAUUUUUGGUACAUCAUUUACAAAAUUUGGUACAUCCUUAAAAAUAUUUGAUACAUAUGUGAGCUAUUGACACCUCUAUCUUAUUACCCAUGGUCUGUUUAUUCCUUUAGGGAUCUUUGGGAAGUGAUUGGAGAUCGUUCCCUACUCCAAAAUGGACUUUGUAACCCCAGGUACAUCAUUGAGAAAAUUCGAUACAUCAAAUCCUUGAGCUAACGGAACACUUAUCUCCAUUUCCAUAGUUAUUUUUUCCUUUGGAGACCCUCAGGAAGUUAUUGAAGGUCGUUUCCCACCUCAUAAUGGACUUUGGAAACAUUGGUACAUCAUUUACAAAAUUUGGUACAUUCUUUACAAAUUUGGAACAUCCUUCACAAAAUUUGAUACAUUAUGAAGAAUGUACCAAAUUUUGUGAAGGAUGUACCAAGGGUUCCAAAGUGCAUUCCAAGGUGGGGAUCGGCCCCCAAUCACUUCCUUAUGGGUUCCAAAAUGAAAUCAUGUACCAUCCAUGUUCAAAUGGGGGACCCGAAAACAAUAGGAUCUGAUGUACCAAAUUUAAUGAAGGAUGUACCAAAUUUUGUGAAGGAUGUACCAAGCGUUCCAAAGUGCAUUCCGAGGUGGGGAUCGGCCCCCAAUAACUUCCUUAUGGGUUCUAAAAUGAAAUCAUGGAUCAUUCAUGUUCAAAUGGUGGUCCCGAAAACAAUAGGAUCGGAUGUACCAAAUUUAAUGAAGGAUGUACCAAAUUUUGUGAAGGAUGUACCAAGGGUUCCAAAGUGCGUUCCGAGGUGGGGAUCAACCCUCAAUCACUUCCUUAUGGGUUCAAAAACAAAAUCAUGAACCAUCCAUGUUCAGAUGGGGGACCCAAAAACAAUAGGAUCACAUGUACCAAAUUUAAUGAAAGAUGUACAAAAUUUUGUGAAGAAUGUACCAAAUUUUGUGAAGGAUGUACCAAGGAUUCCAAAGUGCGUUCCAAAGUGCGUUUCGAGGUGGGGAUCGACCCCCAGUCAUUUCCUUAUGGGUUCCAAAAUGAAAUCAUCGACCAUCCAUGUUCAGAUGGGGGUCUUGCAUUCCGAGGUGGGGAUCAGCCCCCAAUCACUUCCUUAUGGGUUCCAAAAUGAAAUCAUGGACCAUCCAUGUUCAGAUGGGGGACCUGUAAACAAUAAGAUCAAAUGUACCAAAUUUAAUGAAGGAUGUACCAAAUUUUGUGAAGGAUGUACCAAACGUUCUAAAGUGCAUUCUGAGGUAGGGAUCAACCCCCAAUCACUUCCUUAUGGGUUCCAAAAUGAAAUCAUGGACCAUCCAUGUUCAAAUGGGGGUAUCAGAAACAAUAAGAUCGGAUGUACCAAAUUUAAUGAAGAAUGUACCAAAUUUUGUGAAGGAUGUACCAAGGGUUCCAAAGUGCGUUUCGAGGUGGCAAACGGCCCCUAAUCACUUCCUUAUAGGUCCAAAAUGAAAUCAUGGACCAUCCAUGUUCAGAUGGGGGGCCCGGAAACAAUAGGAUCAGAUAUACCAAAUUUAAUGAAGGGUGCACCCCUACUUUGCCUUUUGCAUGUAGCAUAGUAAUAUAAUGUCACACAUAGGCAUGCCUUUCAAAUGGAAGGUGCGCCUAGAUUGCCUUUUGCACAUAACAUACCAAACUAAUGUUAUUGUAUAAACAAAAUUCCAUUGAUUCUAAGGGUAUAAUGUAAAUGUUUGAAUGUCUUCCCAAUGUGUUAAUGGGUCAACCUCCCUUUUACUGACUCCUCACAUAACACGAAUCAAAUCCCCACAUCAUUGAUUUGGCACAUCCUUCACAACAUUUGGUACAUCAUUCAUUAAAUUUGGUACAUCCAAUCCUAUCACUUUCGGGACCACCAUCUGAACAUGAAUGAUCCAUGAUUUCAUUUUGGAACCCAUAAGGAAGUUAUUGGGGGCCAAUCCCCACCUCGAAAUGCACUUUGGAACCCUUGGUCCAUCCUUCACAAAAUCUAGUACAUCCUUCAUUAAAUUUGGUACAUCCGAUCCUAUUGCUUUUGAGACCCCCAUCUAAACAUGGAUGGUUCAUAAUUUCAUUUAGAAACCCAUAAGAAAGUGAUUGGGGGCCGAUCCCCACCUCGGAAAGCACUUUGGAACCCUUGGUACAUCCUUCACAAAAUCUGGUACAUUAUUCACAAAACUUGGUACAUCCAAUCUUAUCACUUCCGGGACCCCCAUCUGAACAUGGAUGGUCCAUAAUUUCAUUUACAAACCCAUAAGAAAGUGAUUGGGGACCGAUCCCCAUCUCGGAAUGCACCUUGGAACCCUUGGUACAUCCUUCCCAAAAUUUGGUACAUCCUUAACAAAAUUUAGUACAUCCAAUCCUAUUGCUUAUGGGACCCACAUUUCAACAUGGAUGGUCCAUGAUUUCAUUUUGAAACCCAUAAGGAAGUUUUUGGAAGCUGAUCUCCAUCUCGGAAUGCACUUUGGAACCCUUGGUACAUCUUUCACAAAAUUUGGUACAUCCUUCAUUAAAUUUGGUACAUCUGAUCCUAUCGCUUUCGGGACCCCUAUCUAACAUGGAUGGUCCAUAAUUUCAUUUAGAAACCCAUAAGAAAGUGAUCGGGGGCCAAUCCCCACCUCGGAAAUCACUUUGGAACCCUUAGUACAUCAUUCACAAAAUCUAGUACAUCCUUCAUUAAAUUUGGUACAUCCGAUCCUAUAGCUUCUGGGUCCCCUAUUCGAACAUGGAUGGUCCAUAAUUUCAUUUUGGAACCCAUAAGGAAGUAUUUGGGGGCCGAUCCCCACCUCGGAACGCACUUUGGAACCUUUGGUACAUCCUUCACAAAAUUUGGUACAUCCGAUCCUAUCGCUUUCGGGACCCCCAUCUGAACAUGGAUGGUCCAUAAUUUCAUUAAGAAACCCAUAAGAAAGUGAUUGGGGGUCAAUCCUCGCCUCGGAAUGCACUUUGGAACCCUUGGUACAUCCUUCACAAAAUUUGGUACAUCCUUCAUUAAAAUUUGGUACAUCUUUCGUUAAAUUUGAUGCAUUUGAUCUUAUUGCUUCCAAUACCCCAUUUUGAACAUGGAUUGUCCAUAAUUUCAUUUAGAAACCCAUAAGAAAGUGAUUGGGGGCUGAUCCCCACCUCGGAACGCACCUUGGAACCCUUGUACAUCAUUCCCAAAAUUUGGUACAUCCGAUCCUAUUGCUUAUGGGACCCUUACUUGAACAUGGAUGGUCCAUGAUUUUAUUUUGGAACCCAUAAGGAAGUUUUUGGGGGCUGAUCCCCACCUCGAAAUGCUCUUUGGAACCCUUGGUACCUCCUUCAUAAAAUUUGGUACAUCAUUCAUUAAAUUUGGUACAUUUGGUCCUGUCACUUUUAGGACCCCCAUCUGAAAAUGUAUGGUCCAUAAUUUCAUUUAGAAACCCAUAAGGAAGUGUUUCGGGGCCGAUCUCCACCUUAGAACAUACUUUGGAACCCUUCAUACAUCCUUCACAAAAUUUGGUACAUCCUUAAUUAAAUUUGGUACAUCCUUCAUUAAAUUUGGUACAUCCGAUCCUAUCACUUUUAGGACCCUAAUCUGAACAUGGGUUACCUAAAAUUUCAUUUAGAAACCUAUAAGAAAGUGAGUGGGGGCUGAUCCCCAUCUCGAAAUGCACUUUGGAACCCUUGGUACAUCAUUCACAAAAUCUGGUACAUCCUUCAUUAAAUUUGGUACAUCCGAUCUUAUCGUUUUUGGGACCCUCAUCUGAACAUGGAUGGUCCAUAAAUUUCAUUUAGAAACCCAUAAGGAAGUUUCUGGGGGUCGAUCCCCACCUUGGAACGCACUUUGGAACCCUUGGUACAUCAUUCACAAAAUUUAGUACAUACUUCAUUAAUUCUGGUACAUCCGAUCUUAUUAUUUCCAAGACGCCCAUCUGAACAUGGUUGGUCCAUGAUUUCAUUUUGGAACCCAUAAGGAAGUGAUUGGGGGUUGAUCCCUACCUCAAAACACACUUUGGAACGCUUGGUACAUCAUUCACAAAAUUUGGUACAUUCUUCAUUAAAUUUGGUACAUCCAAUCUUAUUAUUUUCGGGUCCCCCAUCUGAACAUGAAUGACCCAUGAUUUUAAUUUAGAACCCAUAAGAAAGUGAUUGAGGGUUGAUCCCCACCUCGGAAUGCACUUCGGAACCCUUGGUACAUCCUUCACAAAAUUUGGUACAUUCGAUACUAUUGCUUUUGCGACCCCCAUUUGAACAUGGAUGGUCCAUGAUUUCUUUUUGGAACCCAUAAGGAAGUGAUUGGGGGUCAAUCCCCACCUCGGAAUGCACUUUGGAGCCAUUGGUACAUUCUUCACAAAAUUUGGUAUGUUUUUCAUAAAAUUUGGUACAUCCGAUCCUAUUGCUUUCGGGACCCCCAUCUGAACAUGGAUGGUCCAUAAUUUCAUUUUGGAACCCAUAAGGAAGUGAUUGGGAGCCGAUCCUCACGUCAGAACGCACUUUGGAACCCUUGGUACAUCCUUCACAAAAUUUGGUACAUCCGAUCUUAUUGUUUCCAUGACCCCUAUCUGAACAUGGAUGGUCUGUGAUUUCAUUUUGGAACCCAUAAGGUAGUUAUUAGGGGCCGAUCCCUACCUCAGAAUGCACUUUCGAAUGCUUCGUACAUCCUUCACAAAAUUUGAUACAUCCUUCAUUAAAUUUGGUACAUUCGAUCCUAUUGUUUCUAGGUCCCCCAUCUUAACAUGGAUGAUCCAUGAUUUCAGUUUAGAACCUAUAAGGAAGUGAUUGGGGAUCGAUCCCCACCUCGGAACGCACUUUGAAACCCUUGGUACAUCCUUCACAAAAGUUGGUACAUCCUUUAUUAAAUUUGGUACAUCUGAUUUUAUUGUUUCCAUGACCCCCAUCUGAAUAGGGAUGGUCUGUGAUUUCAUUUUGGAACCCAUAAGGAAGUUAUUGGGGGCCGAUCCCUACCUUAGAACGCACUUUCGAAUUCUCGGUACAUCCUUCACAAAUUUUGGUACAUCCUUAAUUAAAUUUGGUACAUUCGAUCCUAUUGUUUUUGGGUCCCCCAUCUGAACAUGAAUGGUCCAUGAUUUCAUUUUAGAACCCAUAAGGAAGUGAUUGGGGAUCGAUGCCCACCUCGGAACGCACUUUGGAACCCUUGGUACAUCUUUCAUUAAAUUUGGUACAUCCGAUGCGUUUGCUUUCAAGAGCCCCAUCUAAACAUGGAUGGUCCAUGGUUUCAUUUUGGAACCCAGAAGGAAGUGAUUGGGGGCCGGUUCUCACCUUGGAAUGCAUUUUGGAACCCUUGGUACAUCCUUCACAAAAUUUGGUACAUCUUUCACAAAAUUUAGUACAUCCUUCUAUUGCUUUCGGGUUCCCCAUCUGAACAUGGAUGGUUUAUGAUUUCAUUUUGGAACCUAUAAGGAAGUGAUUGGGGGCCGAUCCCCACCUCGUAACGCAGUUUGGAACGCUUGGUACAUCCUUCACAAAAUUUGGUACACCCUUCAUUAAAUUUGGUACAUCCGAUCCUAUUGUUUUCGGGACCCCCAUCUGAACAUGGAUGGUUCAUGAUUUCAUUUUGGAAGCCAUAAGGUAGUGAUUUGGGGCCGAUCCCCACCUCGGAACGCACUUUGGAACCCUUGGUACACCCUUUACAAAAUUUGGUACACCCUUCAUUAAAUUUUGUACAUCCGAUCCUAUUGUUUCCAAGACCCUUAUCUGAACAUGGAUAGUCCAUGAUUUCAUUUUGGAAGCUAUAAGGAAAUGAUUGGGGGUCGAUCCCCACUUCAUAACACAAUCUGGAGCGCUUGAUACAUCCUUCAUAAAAUUUGGUACAUCCUUCAUUAAAUUUGGUACAUUCGAUCCUAUUGUUUGCGAGUCCCCCAUUUGAACAUGGAUGGUACAUGAUUUCAUUUUGGAACCUAUAAAAAAGUGAUUGGGGGCUAAUCCCCACCUUGGAAUGCACUUUGGAACUCUUGGUACAUAGUUCACAAAAUCUGGUACAUCCUUCAUAAUGUACCAAAUUUUGUGAAGGAUGUACCAAAUUUUGUAAAUGAUGUACCCAAUUUUGUAAAUGAUGUACCAAUGUUGCCAAAGUCCGUUAUGAGGUUGGGAAUGACCUUCAAUAACUUCCUGAGAGUCUCAAAAGGAAGAAAUGGACUAUGGAAAUGGAGAUAAGUGUUCCGUUAGCUCAAGGAUUGGAUGUAUCAAAUUUUCUCAAUUAUGUACUUAGGGUUCCAAAGUCCAUUUCGGUGUAGGGAACGAUCUCCAAUCACUUCCCAAAGAUCCAUAAAGGAAUAAACGGACCAUGGGUAAUAUGAUAGAGGUUUCAAUAGCUCAAGUAUGUACCAAAUAUUUUUAAGGAUGUACCAAAUUUUGUAAAGGAUGUACAAAGAGUGUCAAAGUUAAUUCCAAUGUGGGGAAUGACCUUCAAUCACUACCCAAGGGUCCUCAAAGCACUACAAGAAAAAAUGUCAUUUUUUGUAGAUAUUAUCUUGACUUAAGGUGAUAUGUGUCAAUAUUGCCCAUUUAAAUGAACAACUAUGACAUAUACAACUUGUUUAAACCAAUAAUGACAUAUAUAAAAUUUUGUUGAAUUCUUUCAUGACUUAUAUAAUAGAAUGUUGACAGAUAAUUUAUAAGUCAAUGUAUAGUUAGUAUGUUCAUAUGUCAAUGUACUUAUAUAAUGUGGCUAGCUUGACAUAAAGUCAAAAGUCAAGGUACGAUUUUAAACAUAUAUGCCAUUUUAAUUCUAGUAAAAUGAUCUUAAAUGACCUAUGGAUUAUAAGUCAAGAUAUCAUGUUAUAAUUACCUGUCAAGGUUCCCUAUGGUAUUUACAAAAAACACUCCUCAUUUUCUCAAAACCCUAUAUUCAUUUUGAGAGCUUAGGGUUUGAAACUUUUUGCUCCAAACCAAGGAUGAAAAUGUCGGUAAUUACGAAUAUAUCAAUACUUCAAUUUUACAGAUAUAUCAGAAAUAUCGAAAAAAUAUCGGUGGAGCGAAAAUUAUUUAAAAUUUAUAGGAAUGCUUGGAAAAACUCCAAAAAAUGAUAAAAUAAGUAAGAAUUCAUAUUUUAAAGUUAUUUUGUAAAUAUAAUUGAUAUAAAUAUAAUCGAAAACAAAAACAUCGGUAGACAUAGAUAUAUCAAUAAAUUCAAUAUUUGAAUUUUAAGAGCAAUAAAUAUGAAUUUUGGAAGUGUAUAAAGUUAGAAUUGAGUUAAGAAAUAUUUGAAUUUAUUGAAUAAAAAUAAUUUAUAUAUAAAUAUAAUACAUAUGACAUUGCAAUAGUCUUUGUACCAAAAUGAAGAUUGAUGUGGUUCCACCAUAUUGUUAGAUGAAGGGAGCCCAUCUUGUUGAAGACAAUAUUUAUUUUAAAUAUUUUUAAAUAUUUUUAUUAAAACACGUUUUAUUACAUUUUAAAUGAAAAAUUAAAUUAAUUUAUAUAAAAUAUUUUAUUUGAGAUUAAUUUCUAAAAUUUUAUUAAAAAUAUGUGGUAACAACUUUUUCUAUUAAUAUUAAUUUAUUUAAAUAAUUAAGAUUAUUAAUAAUUUAUUUUAUCAAAUUAAUUUUAAUUCAUAAAAUAUUGUCCAUGAAAACGGAAAUUUCAAUGUGAUUUAAUCAAAAUAAAGAUGGGUAACUAAUAAUUAUUUAUAUAGAGAGAGGAAAAUUGUUCUCAUGAUUUGUUUCAUUUUUUAUUUUAUUUUAUCUCUACUAACUAUAAAAAUCAAAAGGGGCACCGCUUCUCUCACUUGGGGCCUCGGGCAUCAAGAAGCCUUUUUCUAAAGUUGCUCUCCAAACGAGAGAAUCUGCCCUUCUCUGCGACUCUCAAUCCUCGUAGGUACUAAUUUAAUCAUGUUAUUAUUAUUAUUAUUAUUUUUGCAACCCCCGUUUGAUUCCCAAGAAAAUCCAUCCCCCAUUGGAUUUUCGGGAAAAUUCAUCCUUGUUCGAUUUCCGAGAAAAUCCAUGCAAAACCCCUGAGGAAAACCACAAAAAUUGCUUUUUUUUUUUUUGCUCCUUGUGUUUUCUCUUUGCAAAACCCCCAUUUGAUUCCCAAGAAAAUCCAUCUCCCAUUCCAUUUUCGAGAAAGUUCAUCCUUGUUCGAUUUCCGAGAAAAUCCAUGCAAAACCCCUGAGGAAAACCACAAAAAUUGCUUUUUUUUUUUUUGCUCCUUGUGUUUUCUCUUUGCAAAACCCCCAUUUGAUUCCCAAGAAAAUCCAUCUCCCAUUCCAUUUUCGAGAAAGUUCAUCCUCGUUUGCUUUUCAAGAAAAUCCAUGCAAAACCCCCAAGGAAAACCAAAAAAAUUGCAUUUUAUUUGCUCCCUGUGUUUUCUCUUUGCAAAACCCCUGUUUGAUUCCCAAGAAAAUCCUUCCCCCAUUCAAUUUAUGGGAAAAUUCAUCAUCGUUUGAUUCCCAAGAAAAUCCAUCUCCUAUUCGAUUUCCGAGAAAAUUCGCCCUUGUUUGAUUUUCGAGAAAAUCCAUGCAAAACCCCCAAAGAAAACCAAAAAAAUUGUUUUUUUUUUUUUUUUUUUUGCUCCUUGUGUUUUUUGGAUAUGUUCUAGAGGUCUCUUUGCUUUUGUGCCAUUGGAUUUAAAUUUCACGAACCCCAAAUCCACGAUUUUUGAGCCAAGCUUAAAAACACAACUUUUGCCUACAAAUCAUGAUCAGAUUACCAAAUAGCAUCUUAUGUUUUUUUUUAAAAAAAAAAAAAAAAUUGGAUAGAUUUUGUAUCCUAUGCACGGGCUGGACUGGUAGGAAAUAUUGGAAAAUUUCUUGAAAAAUUGGUAAAAAUACCGAUAAAUACAUGCUUGUUGGGUUUCAAAUCAAAUGGGUUCUUCUUCCCUGGGCACUUAAUUUUGUGGCUUUGAAUGGGUCUUUGCCUCUUUCAAUCGAUUAAAUGAAGGUAUGGAAAUGGUAAUAUUUCAUCUUUUUAUUUGUUCUUGUUAGUUAAAUUCUAAUAAUCUAUUUUCCUCUUUUGGUCAUGUAGAACAUCAUUGAAUCAAGAUUAUGUUGAUUUUGGUUUCACCUACAUUAAACUUGAGAUCAGAAACCUCAAAUUUUCCACAUAUUAGAUCUUUAGUUACUGGGUACGUUCUGGUUUGCUUUGUGAUUUAUUGAAGAAAAAGUGUGGAUUGUGUGAUGGUUGAAAUAUUUAGUUACUGGGUUUUUUGGUUUUGAGUCUCAAAUGGACUUGUCAAGUUGUAAGCAUUUGAGAUUCUUUGGCUGCCAUUUGAAUUCUAGACAUGCAAAUGUGUUGCUUUGGUUUUUAGAGUUGUUUUGCUCCCCACAUUCUUUGGCUUUGGUGGGGUUGUUUAGAACAACUUUUUGGUGAUCAACAACAGUUCAUUGUCCUCAAAUUCCAAGCUCCAAAUGUGGAAAGACAAGUUCUUGGAGGUUCCUUAGAUUUUAUAAGAAUAAGUUCUUUUUGUAUAGAAAAAUAAUUUAAAAAAACUUAAAUGAGUAGUUUUAGAUGAAACCAGGUAUAGUUUGCAUUUACAUAAAUUUGGAGUUCAAUAAGAUGUCAUAUUUAUUUUUUUCAUGUACCUUUCUGUAGAGCUUGGUAAACUAUAGUUGGUUGUGUUGUCAUUUUUUUCUUGGUCUUUCUAAGCAACCAAAUGAAGCAUUUGUGCAUGAUUUGUAGGCUAUCUUUGACUUGUAUAGUUUGAUGGAAACCUUGACAUUUAAGGGAAAGUGUUAGGUUAAAAAAUCAUAAUAAUGAUCUAAAUAGUUAAAUAUCUUGGUUGAAGUUGGAUCAAAACAAUAACUUCAUUAGGUUAAAAUGAUUUAUGUUUUAGGUUUUGCUCCUAGGUUUAGCCUAUAUGUUUUUGCUAUAUCAAUAUUUUAAUAUUUCAGAGUUGGUUUGUUUACUUGUGUUAUUGAGAAAUAAUCUAUUAUUGUCUAAUAAAGGUGUAGUGGCUAGCUUGCUAUUAAAAUUCUUCAUAAAGCUUGAUAUUUGAUUGCUUCUCAUUAUACAUUUUUCUUUUUAAUUUGCUAAUAUGCUCUAUAUUUUUUGCUAUAGAUUCAAAGUUUGGGUGUUGGAAAUUUAAGGCUUUCCUAUAAAGUAAUGCUUUAAGAUGGAGGCAAGAGACUUGGUUGUAGAUAUAUACAUGGGCAACUUAAUUUAAGUUUAUGUAUAUUGUCUUAUAGUGUGUUUUUAAUUUCGUUGUAUAUUAUAUGAGUUUCUUCUAUAUAGAGAAAUUGGGGACAACUUUAAACGAGUUCAUUGAUUUAUGCUUUAAUUAAUAAUUAAAUGCAUAUUAAAUAUGUUUUGAUUAUAUAUAAAAUCAUGAUAAUUUGAUUCUCAUUAUCAUUCUUAAAUAAUAUCAAAUUGAUUAUACAUGGCAACAGGUUCAAUUUUUCAUAAAAAAAUAAUGUUAAAAUUUUUCGAGGGGAACCUCGAUAGUUGUACUUAUUCCCUACAUUGACAUAUAUAAGCCAAUUAUGAUAUAUAUAAAAUCUAACCUUGACAUAUGUAUCUAAAAGCCUUGAUAUAUGUGGGGUUAAUCAUGACAUAUAUGAUACCUAACCUUGACAUUUGUUGGACUAAUCUUAACAAAAGAGUGAGUUAACAUUGACAUAAGAUUAAGUAAUCUUGAUAUAAGUUGAAUCCAACCUUAACAUAUAUGAAAGAAACAUUGACAUAUCAUAUACUAAUAAGAUUUCAUCAUUUGUAAAAAUAGAGAAAAUCUUAACAUAUGUAUAUGUCAAGUUACCUUUAAACUUUUCUUGUCAUUGGCAUAGAUAACAUAUAUGAACAAUAACCUACCUUCACAGAUAUACCUUACAUUGACAGUGAAAAACUGUCAACGAAGGCUUUUUUUCUUGUACUAAAGGAUAAUAUGGACCAUGGGAAGAUAGAUAGGGGUCUCGAUAAGCCAAGGAUUGGAUGUACCAAAAUUUCUUAACGAUGCACCAAAUUUCCUUAAGGAUAUACCUAAGGUUCCAAAGUUCGUUUUGAAGUAGAGAACGACCUCUAAUUACUUCCUAAAGAUCCAUAAAGAAAUAAACGAACCACGGGUAAUAAUAUAGAGGUCUUGGUAGCUCAUGGAUUGGAUGUACAAAAUUGUUUUAAGGAUAUGCCAAAUUUUAUGAAUUAUGUACCAAACUUUAUAAAUGAUUUACCAAAUUGUCUUUAGGAUGUACCUUGGGUUCCAAUGUCCAUUUUAGGGUGGGGAAUAACCUCUAAUUCUUUCUCAAGGGUCCCCAAAGGAAUAUAUGAACCAUGGAAAUGAAAAUAGGAGUCUUGGUUCCUCUAAGAAUGGAUAUACCUAGGAUCCCAAAGUUCUUUUUGGGGUAGGUAAUCGAGGGUCCCAAAGGAAUAUAUACACUAUGAUAAGUAUGAUAGUGUUUCCGAUUCUCCUAAGCAUUAAUUUACCUAUUAUUUUUAAGGAUGUACCUAUUUUUUAUGAAAUUAAUAUAAAAAGUUAAGUACAAUUUUUUAUGAAAAAUAUAUUUUCUUUUAUAUUUUAUUUUAAUUAAAAAUUAAGAUUUUAACCAAAAAAAAGUUAGAUCCACAAUCAGUUUAAAAUCAUAAAAAAAUGAUAAAAACACCAUCACUUAUUGUGAUUUUGAUAUGAUAAAUUUAAAAUAAAAAUAAUGUAAAUUAUAAAAUAGUGUUACAAUGAUAUUUUUACUUUUACAUGUGAUGGAAUUUACAAAAUAAAUAAAUCUUUUGUUUAGUAUUAAUAUAAAAAAUCUUAUAUCAUAAACUUCUAAAUAAUAAAAUGGAAUUUUAAAAUUUAAACCUUAAUUUAUAAAAUGUAUUAUUAUAACUAAUAUUUAAAAUCAUUACUAUUUGUGGCCGGGAUAAUAUUUUCAUUUUUGUCCAUUAUAUAUUUUGUUUUUAUUUAAUUUAUUAUAUAUUAUCAUUUUAAGUUUAAUAUGUCAAAAAAAUAAUUAAAAUCAAUAAAUAUAGACAAAUUAGAGAGUAAAAAUAAAUUUAAAUUAAAGAAGUUUUAUGAGAAAAUGCACGAGCAUAUAAAAAAGAAUAUAAAAGAAAAAAAAGAAAAAUAAUAAUUAAAAAUAUAAUAGGUGACAAUGGAUUAUGGUGGCAGAAGAGGAAAAAAAAAAAAAUGGAAACGUGACAAGUGGUAAGGGAGAUAUAUUGAUAUGAGAAAAAUAAUAAAAAUAAAUGACACAUGUACUUGUUAACAGGUGGUAUUAAAUUGUUGUGUAUUUUGUCCUUUACUUUUAAGGGUAAUUGUGAAACAAAUUUGAAAGCAUUAUUGGAGUUCAUGAAUAAACAAUAUUUUUUCCCAUUUUACACCAAAAUUAAAAAGAAAUAAGUAAAGUUCCAAAAUCUCAUAUUUUUUGUAGUUUGUGUAUGGUUAGAUGAUUUUUUCUUUCUAUGAUGGUUUCCUUUUCCUUGUUUCUUUUUCUUUUUCUUUUUCUUUCUUUUUUAAUUGUCUCUUUGGUUUAUUUGAUUACAUGCAUUUUUGGGUGCGAUUUCUUAUGUAGAUGCUGUAGGUUGUUCAUUAGUGGGCUUCUUUAUUAUAUACGAUUGUAAAGUCCAGUAGUGAGUAUAAUAGUCUUUAUCCUUGCCUUUUUGUGAGCUCUUAUUUCAGAACAAUUCUCCAAAAUUUGGGACCAGACCCAGAGAUAUUCCGUACUAUGAAUGGUGUUUGUCUUCUGUGCCUUUGAAAUUUUAGUUAUAUACCUAAGAAGGGACGAACUAAUUAAUUUUAGUUAAAAAUUAAAGGUCUAAACGCUGUGUUCGGAAUUGACCUACAAAAUUUCUUCUUUUCACACGGUAUUUAAACUCUAGAAUUUUGGAAUUGCAUUUAAGAAUUCAAAUGAGAUCCUUCUAUUAACCUAGUCGUGCACCAGGAAAGCACGUGCUUCCGUCCAACAGUAUCCUAAUUAUAUUGCAUGUUGAUGCUUGUGCCCCUUAGUAGUUGACUUUGGAGGGAAUUCGGAAUAUCUUAAGAUUUACUUAGAGUAUGUUUGAUAGUAAUUUUAAGAAGUAUUUUCAACAUUUAUAAUAAUUGAAAAUUUUCAUUCUUCAAGUAUUAAAAAUAUNNNNNNNNNNNNNNNNNNNNNNNNNNNNNNNNNNNNNNNNNNNNNNNNNNNNNNNNNNNNNNNNNNNNNNNNNNNNNNNNNNNNNNNNNNNNNNNNNNNNAUUGCUAAACGCACUCUUAAUGGAGGGGCAGAAGGCAGCUACUGGUGCACUUGGGCUAUCCGCAGACUUUGAUGCUAAUCUUCCAAAAAUCACUGUUAGUUUAUUGUCCUUUAUAUUUUGUGAAGUUGAAAAUCUAGCAAUUAACCACCAUCGAUUAACAUAGAGCCUCAUAACUAAUAGAAUUUAUAAUUUUAAUUACCCAAAAAAAGGGCCAUUUGCAGAUGUAGUUAGACCUAGCUCAUUUAUGCAGAAUAUUGCUACAAAGGCAUCAACAGUUGUCUUGGAGCUCUUAGCAAUAAGAUGGAAGUUCUAGCCUUCCUUUUAGUGAAAGAAUGAGACAGCAUUAUCAAAUUAAAAAUCAAUUUAACCCCAUAUAGUAGUCUUCCCACAAUGGUUAUAAACCAUUAUUUUCUUGUAUCAUUUGGAAUAGUGUAGAAUAAUGAUUUGAUAUUGGGUGUUCAUCAGUCUAAUAUAUGGAGAUGGAUUUAGGAUAGUUAUGAUGUUGGCCUGGCUAAUUAAUUUGCUAGUUUGCUUUCUUAAUGAAUUCAGCCCUUUGUUAAGAGAAUUGCAAUCUCUGUUACUCGGAACAUCCAAAGAGAGAAACAAGGUCUAAUUGAAGAACAAGAAAGGUACAACUUAUUAAUAGGCCGGGCAUGAUCCAUGCUAAACCUCACAUGAUGGAGCAAUUAGGUUCAUCUGCAUAGCCCAUGCUAGCAAUUAAAACCUGUUGGCUUUGACAACAAGUCUUCGGAGCUGGCUUCGGAUCUGGCUUUGGC